rnacentral:lncRNA from 1 species
AAGUUCAGAAUCGAGAGACCACCAAUACAUACAAAAUACAUACAGUCCCAGCACAAGGAAGAAUACCAGGAACACACGCUAGUCCCAGGCAGAUCGAAAAUCAAUCCCAAACUGAAACUGAAGAAGAUAGAACCUGAAGAAGGCUGGACAACUCAAAACGAAGCAACGCCCAAACAAAACCUAGCUGGAAAACACUGAAAAGCACCCACCAGACGUCCAACCAAGCAAGAUGAAGAGCUUGAUUUCUACUUCUUCUUGGUGGAAAUUGAUUUUAACAUUCUGGUUUUCAUUCAUUUUAUGGUCCACAUUUGCUCUGUUUUGGAGUUUUUCUUUUCGGAUUUCUGGGUUGCCUUGGACUUCCAUAGUCAAGGUUCAGAUUCGGUACUCUGCUUGCUGUGUGGUUCAGUUCCAGUUUGUUUGAGGUUUAGUGUUAGUCGGCCUCAAGUUCAGGAUCAAGAUUUCUGGUCGUUUCUUGGCCAGUUUAGGUUCAAGCUGGUGGUCUUCUGGUUUUCUUGCUAAGGUUGGUGUUCCCAGUUUGCGUGCGGGUCUCUUCAGGUCUUCUGGGUUCCAGUUUGUUUCUUCUUACCUGUUUGUUUAUUUGGUUCCCUUCUUGCUGGAGUGUUUUGUUCCUGGGUGUUCUUGGGGUCUUCUUGCAGCUGGGAUUGUUUGUUUCUGUAUGCUUUGAUCGUGGUUAUUGAUUUGUGAUUGUUGCUGGAUUUUCUUGCUGGUCGGUUUGGUUUUCACUCUUGGUGCCGGGCUCCUCCAGUUUCCAUCUUCAGUUUUCGAAUUCUUGGAUGUUUCUAUGGUAUAUCUAUUGUGUAACUAUUGGCCUGGGCUGAUUCUUGCAUAUUUGAAUUUGGUCUUCCCUGCAAUUUUUCAGUUUUGCUGCACACGGUCAGUGGUAGGUAGCUAAUUCCUAUUUUUUUUUAAUCGGUAAAUGUAAAUAUCAUUGAUAAAAAAAUGUUUCAUAUAGAAGUACACCGGGCAUUCCCGGGCGAAUCAAAAGUCAAUAUCACAUACAAUUACUCCGGGCAUAUCCGGGGACACAAAAGAAAGUGAAAUGCAUAAAAAAUCAAUUACUCAAUGCCAAGGAUUCGAAAUGGAUUAAGACAUCCGGAUACAAGGUAAACAUAACUUUGUAUACGUGUGUCUUGAUCCGUCUCACAAUGCAUUCCAAGUCGGGUGAAAGGUCUUCGAAAAUCUUCUUAUUCCUUGUAAGCCAAAUAUAGUAUACGGUGCUAGCAAGAGGAAUCCUCUUUGCCUUACUUAGCCAUGAAAUUCCACGUGCCUCCUUUUUCAACCACUUUAAAGCACUAGCAAGUGUUGACAUAGAUCUCAUAAUUCCGAGUCAUCUCCUAAUAUUCCCCCAUAAGGUAGAUGUGAAAGAACACUUAAAAGGAAAGAUGGUCGUAAAUUUCCACAAAAUGCCCACAAAAAUCACACUUUCAAUCAAUAUUCAAGAAAAGCAAUUUGUCUUUAGUUAGGAGCUUUGAUUGGGCCCCUAACCAAAGCAUAAAAGAAUGCUUUGGUGUGAUGCACGGUAGCCAAACUUCGGCUCCCCAAGUUUUGAAAGUACCAUUAGGCCUAAAGAAAUUAUAGACAAUUUUUGUGCUGAAUUUCUCACUUGUAGAACAGCCCAGAUUUUUGUCAAAAAAUUCUAGAAACUGCAUACAGAAUGAAGCAUUAUGCCCGCCUGUAAUGCUGUCCAAAUUCUGCCCAUUUACCACCCAAUUCUCUGCAUUCCCGGCACUAUAAAUUUAGUUAGAAAUAGCGUGCCGAGAAGGGGAAAAAUCAGCCUUCAUUUGACCUGACACCCCUUGUUGUCCAUAAGUGAAAACCUGUUGGGAAGCACCAUUUACACGAAGGAUGUCCCUAAUUUCCAACAAUUUUUUGAAUAGUGGAGAAUGAUCCUUUCUAGGACGAACCUCUCAUAUGCAAGUCCCAUUAAGAUAAACAUGAUAUACCCACCGAAUCCAUAGAGUGUCCUUUUUAUUGUGAAUGUUCCAAAGGGAUUUAACAAGUAACGCUAAAUUCCAACUCUUCAAGUCCUUUAAUCCAAGGCCCCCUUCCUCUUUUGGAAGGCAAAUAUUCUUCCACGCAACUAGCGGCUUUUUAGAUCCCCAAAGGAAUUUUCGACAAAGACUAACAAUCCUUGAUAUAAUUGUAGCCGGAAUAGGAAAAAUAGAAAGCCAAAAACAUUCAACUCCUUGAAGAACCGCCCUUAUAAGUUCAAUCUUGCCUGCAUAAGAUAAUGUAGAACAAUUCCAUGCACCAAUAUAUGUUGUUAUUUUGUCAAGAAAAGGAGCAUAACAACUUACUUUAAGUUUUUUCGAAGCGAGAGGGAAGCCCAAAUACCGAAAAGGCAUACUCCCCCUCGGAACACUUGUUAAUUCCAAGAUAUCCUCAUGAAGCUGUUCAUGAAUUCCAGCAGUAAACAAGCUAGAUUUAAGAACGUUCAACCUUAAUCCCGAAACCAAUAUUUGAAAGGCAAUCCAUGAUAAUUUUUACCGACAUAACAUCUCCCCUAGCAAAUAGCAUCAAAUCAUUUGCAAAAGCUAAAUGGGUGAUCUUUUGGGGCCACAUUUUGGAUAAAAGUUGAAAUCACUAUCAUUCGUUGUAGCUUUAAGCAAUCUUGAUAGGUAUUCAAUACAAAUCACAAAUAAGAAAGGGGAGAGGGGGUCACCUUGCCGAAUACACUUCCUACCUUUGAAAAAACCAUCAAAGUCUCAUUCAAAGCUAUAGAAUAUGAUGUAGAAGUGACACAUUCCAUAACCCAAUGAACAAAUGUCGAUGGGAAUUGCAACCCAUGAAGAACGUCUCUAAGGAAAUCCCAACAAACCGAAUCAUAAGCUUUUGAAAGAUCAAUUUUUAGGAGGCAUCUUGGAGCAAUCCUUUUUCCUAUUGUAUUGCCUCAAGAGUUUUUGGGCAAAAUGAAUGUUCUCCGUGAUACUCCUACCUUCUACAAAAGCGGCUUGUGCAUGAUCGACCACGUCUCCCAAAAUGGGUCUCAAUCUAGAAGCAAGAAUUUUAGCAAUCACUUUGUAAGUAACAUUACAACAAGAGAUGGGCCUAAAAUCAACAAUAUGCGGGGUGUGAUCCGAUUUAGGCACCAAAGCAAUGGCCGUGUGAUUAAUUUGUUUGAGGAUGGAACCCGAAGAGAAAAAUUCCAUGAUAGCCCCAACAAAAUCAUCACCAAUAGUCCCCCAAGCAUUCUUUAAAAAACAAAAAGUGUAACCAUCCGGCCCGGGAGACUUUUCAUCUCCAAUAUCAAAGAGAGCAUCUUUAAUUUCCUCAUAAGAAAUGUCCUGAAUCAAAUUGUUGCCUUGUUCCAAAGAAACCAAAGGACCAUUAGUAAGAAUCCAUCUCAAUAGGCCUAGUAGGGCAAUUUUUCCCUAGCAAAGAAGUAUAAAAAUUGAUAAAUUCCAUAGCAACUUGAUGUUGUGAUGUAAUAUACCUCCCAUCUUCUUUGAGUCUAGUAGUAAUAAAAUUCUUCCUAGAAUUCCUUUUAACAAUGGAGUGAAAGAACUUUGUGCGUUUAUCACUUUCCUUAAGGAAGAUGCACUUAGCCUUUUGGUAAUAAAAACUACGUUCCGCUUCACAUAAGCCAACGGUCUUCUUCCUCAAUUUUGCAACCAAAAGCUGAAAAUGCAUAUUCAUGGGUUGAUUAUGUAGCUGUAAUUGGGCAGCCUCUAAAUCAUUUUUGGCCUCACUUGCUCUAGCCGAAAUAUGCUCAAAAUGCUUAAAAUUAAGCUCCUUCAAAGCACCCUUAAGUUUUCUCAAUUUCUUGCAAAGGAUAAAUUGUUUUGUCCCUCGCAAGUAAAAAUUCCAGCAAGCACUAAUCAAACCAUUGAAGUUCUUAUGUUUGGUCCACAUAUUAAAAAAUUGAAAGGACUUUUUGUUGUACCAACACGGUCAUGUAUCGAUACAAUGCAUGGGGAGUGGUCGGAAAGGCAUCCAGAAGAAGAGAAAUUUGCUUCAACAAAUGCCCCAUUUUGCACUCAAAAAUCAUUGACCAUUGCCCUAUCAAUUUUGCUCCAAACCGACCCAUUAGUCCACGUGUAAAAAAACCAAUGGAGCGCACAUCCGUAAGCCCACAUUAAGGCAACAAUUUGCAAGAUCUUUAAUUUCAUAAGGGGUAACAUCCGCACCAUUACAUUUCUCAUCAAACUUAAGAACAUUGUUGUAGUCACCAAGAAUCAACCAAGGCAACGACACAUUUUCAUUGAGCUCCAUAAUGAUAUUCCAAAGUGGUCUUCGGUUAACCAUAGUAUGAAAUCCAUAUACAAAACUCACAAGAAAAGUAAAAGAAGUUAUCUUGCAAGUAGCUUUACAAUGGAUAAUUUGUGGAUGAACCUUCAUCACAUCUAAAGAAACUUUGGAUGAAUUCCACAAAAUUAAUAUUCUUCCGGCUCUAUGCGUGCAAAAAUUAUUUACUUGCAUGAAGCCAUCGAACUUAUUUCGCAAAAUCCUCUUCAAUUUUUGGUCCCCCAACUUUGUUUCCAAAAUUCCCAUAAUAUCAAUGCUAUGUAGCUUGAUAAACCCCCGAAUCCCAUUUUGUUUAAGGGGUGAAUUCAUACCCCUUAUGUUUCAAGAAACGAUCUUCAUGAUGUUGAAGCAAGGGAUGAUCCCUUCUUCUCGUCAACUUUUGAUCCUAACUUCUUUUUCUCCUCGACUUUGCCUUUAAGCUUUUCAUUUCCAGAUUUACAUGAAGCUGCCUCAAUGGAAAUGGAUGAUGAAUCUGCCCAGAUUUUGAGGCCCCAACAUGAGCAGAUUUUUUCAUCUCAACAGCCCUGUUUUUCUUGGUAAUAACCUUUACAAACGGUGCCUCAAUCUGCUCGGUAUUUUCCAUCAGCUGGUAGUCCACAUUUUCACUUGCAAACUGCCCAGUUUUUUGGUUAUUAAUUUACCAUUUCAGCCCAUCCAAAGUCCUGAUCAGUUCUGGGAAAUAAAUUCACUUUUUUCGCCCUGCACAAAUUUCUGUUGGGUAGUCUCCGUGGCUUUUCCUUUUCCUUUCUCCCCACAAGUAUGUUUAUUGUUACAUCCAAUAGUCGUGUGACCAAAAACUUUACAAGAACCACAGAAUUUUGGUUCAUGCUCAAAAACGAUUUCUUGUUCCCUCAAUGUGCCAUUUGGGAACCUAAUCUUUACCUCCUGCACAAGUUCAAUGGACGCAUCAACUUCUACUAGAGCUCUUGCAAAAGAUAUUCGACCCCUAGUUGCUGUAAUUUUGUCGGUUGAGAUGGGUUUCCCAACCUUUGACACGAUUUUGCCCAAGGCAUUCGUAUUCCAAAUUCCAAAGGUAGACCUGGUAGGUUUAUCCACACCGGCAUAGUACUCACGUCCUUGUCAAGAAAAUCAAAACAAUGUGACAUAAUUUUAAGCAUUAACGGUCUCCCAAAGACCAAAUAAGGACCCCCAUGCAAAACACUUAGUCUAUCCACAUUCGUUUCGAAUUUGAAGACUAACCAACCACUAGCAUGCACAAAAUAUUUAUAACUCACCUUCUAGGAGUCACAAAGUUGGAAGAGAGCCACUUUGCCCGAAAACCGACCGGCAAAGUAUCCAACAAGCCCGUAUCCCCAAUUCUCAAUGUUGUCUUCAUCCACUUCGUCCAAGACAACUUCAUCCAAUUGAUUUACAAAAGCAUUCAACUUUAUAUUUUCUUCCAUUUUCGAAUUGUCUUUAAAACGAUUGACCCAUGGGGCUUUCAUAUCUUUCACAACCCAAUUUCCAACAACAUUGACAUGUUUAUGUUGCUCCAAUUCCACCGAAUUAGAUUCAAAAUCCGAAAAUUCAGAAUCCGUAUCAUUUUUCCCAAGUGUCAAUGAAACACUAGGUGAAGGCAAGCUGACCUUGUUUUUUUCAGCAACAUUUCCCAUAGAAGAAGUGGCAAAAAAUGGAGCAUCCACAGCUGGACGAGCAGGCAGGGGCUUAAGGGGACUGAGCCCAAGAAGAGAAGGAGAAUGGGCCUUUUUCUUACCCAUAAAAAGCAGUCCAAGAAGUCCAGUAAAGACAAAGAAGAACUGCCCAACACCAGCCCGAAUAGAGAGAAAAAUAAACUGCCCAGCAAAUAAAUUGCUAAACCACACAAAACAAUCCAAAGAAACGUCCAGAAAUCAUGCCCAACACAGGCCCAAAUUGAGGGAAAACAAAGCCCCGAAUAACAUCCAGAAUAAUACAAAUGAGAAGGCCCAAAGUGAGGAAUAAAUGAUCCACAAGAAGUCAGCCAAAACAGGCCCAAAGAAACGUCCAGAAAAGGGCCACAAAAUCCCCAAGAAAUCCGUCUAGAAAAGGCCCAAAGAAAACGUCCAGGCAGAAAAUAAGCUGAAAAAAGGCCCAACACAAACCAAUUAAGAAACAAUCCAAAGAAAGGCCCAACCACAAGAACAAAACCAGCAAUGGACCGGGUCACCAGGGGGACAAAAAUGCCAGAAAUGGAAGCUGCCAAGGAGUAAGAAUAUUGUACCACACAGAGUGCCAAACACAGACCAAGUAAGCCAAACCUACAAGAAUACAGCCACCAACCCUAACACCCAGCAGAAGAUAAAAGGAAUGUAGGGAAGACCAAUUCAAAAAACUGAGGAGACCGAUAGAUACACAAUAUAUACAAUAAUAUACUGUUGUAACACCAGAAAAUGGGCCAGAAAGUUUAACCAAGUAGCACAAAGUUUAACCAAGUAGCUCCAACUAGAAAACGACGAAGAUGAAGACCGAAAUUGGAGAAUAAAAUCGAUCAGCAAUUGAGAAUCGAAAAAGGAACUAUGAACCUUCAGAACUUAGAACAGCAACAAUGAAGCAAUGCCAACUAAACCAACACAGAACUGAAGGCCAUCCAGCAAGAAGAAAAAUCCAAUGACCAAGUUGAACAGAAAACCAAGCAGCAGGGCACUGGCUGAACACAAAUGCACCAAGAACAAACAAAAGCAAACUAAAAACUAGAGAACCUGAGCUUGCCUUAGAUGACCAGCAAUACCACAAACCAAACCAGCACCAAAAUUGAACGAAGAAGCUCCAACCAGAAAGAAAGUAUGAAUAUCGAAACUGAAGAACCAACUUAGCCAGAACUAAAAACCAAACUUGGAACUCUGAAGAAGAUGAAAAUGGAGGCUCAAUUCAAAACUCACAAAGAGCAUAACAUAAACAAAAAUCAAUAUGUAUUAAUUCAAUUUUCACAAAAAGAUUAGUAAAAUCAAACUAAAACACAAGAGAAAACACAAGAAAACUCUCAAAGCAAGUGUGCACCAAAGUGGGAUUUUCUCUCACUAGGUUGAGAGCAUCUCUCUCUAACUCACUUAACUGACCGAGAGCUCUUUAGCUGAUUCCUAUUGUUCCUUUGACUUUGAGUUGCUUCCACUUUGGAUGUAUUGACAUUUAUUAAUUGUUGCUUGUUUUGGGACCUUUCUAAGUUAUUUCUGGCGGCAUCUGGCUUUCCCUUUUUGGAAAGUUUUUCAAAUACAUUUAAUUCUGAUUUCGUUGGCUUUGUUGUGGAUCGGGUUCUUUGUUUGGGCCUAUUUUGGCUGGCUAUUAUUGGAUCAAUUUUUCCUCACUCUGGGCCAUUUCAAUUGGAUUAUUCUGGUCAUGGAUUCUGGGCUUUACUUUCCCUCAUUUCUACCUUAUUUUGAUAUUGUGGGGCUUUAGUUCUGGACGGUUCCUUUGGGCCUAUGUUGGGCAUAUUUCUAGACACUUUCUUUGGGUGGUUUGGUGUGGAUUAGCAGUUUAUUUGCUGGGCAGUUUUUCUCUCAAUUUGGGUCGGUGCUGGGCAAUUCUUCUCUUUCUUUGUUGGACUUCCUUUGUUUGGACCUCUUGGUCUGAUUUUCCAUAGGGAAGAAAAAGACACGUACUCCUUCUCUUCUUGGGAUCGGCCCCUUUAAGCCUCAGCUUGCUCUUCCAGUUGAGGAUGUGUCGAUUUCUGCCACUACUUCAAAGAUAAUUGUUGCUGAAAAUAACAAGGUCAGUUUGCCGUCACCUAGUGUUUCAUUGGCACUUGGGGAAAAUGAUACGGAUUCUGAAUUUUCGGAUUUUGAAUCUAAUUCGGUGGAAUUGGAGCAACAUAAACAUAUCAAUGUUGCUGGAAAUGGGGUUGUGAAAGAUAUGAAAGCCCCAUGGGUCAAUCUUUUUAAAGACAAUCGGAAAAUGGAAGAAAAUAUAAAGUUGAAUGCUUUUGUAAAUCAAUCGGAUGAAGUUGUCUUGGAUGAAGUGGAUGAAGACAACAUUGAGAAUUCUUGGGGAUACGGGCUUGUUGGAUACUUUGCCGGUCGGUUUUCGGGUAAAGUGGCUCUCCUCGAACUUUAUGAUUCGUGGAAGGUGAGUUUUAAAUAUUUUGUGCAUGCUAGUGGUUUUUUAGCCUUCAAAUUUGAAACAGAUGUGGAUAGACUUAGUGUUUUGCAUGGGGGUCUUUAUUUGGUAUUUAGGAGACCGUUAAUGCUUAAAGUUAUGCCACGUUGUUUACAUUUUGAUGACAAGGACGUGAGUACUAUGCCAGUGUGGAUAAACCUACGGGGUCUACUUUUGGAAUUUUGGAAUACGAAUGCCUUGGCAAAAUCGUGUCAAAGGUUGGGAAACCCAUCUCAACCGACAAAAUUACAACAACUCGGGGUCGAAUAUCUUUUGCAAGAGCUCUAGUAGAAGUUGAUGCGUCCAUUGAACUUGUGCGGGAGGUAAAGAUUAGGUUCCCAAAUGGCACGUUGAGAGAACAAGAAAUCAUUUUUGAGCAUGAACGAAAAUUGUGUGGUUCUUGUAAAGUUUUUGGUUACACGACUAUUGAUUGCAACAAUAAACAUACUUGUGGGGACAAAGGAAAAGGAAAAACGACGGGGACUGCCCAACAGAAAUUUGUGCAGGCUGAAAAAAGUGCGUUUAGUCCCCAGAUUCCUCCCCCGAGACAGCUUUAAAUGAGCAACAAACGGGGAAAAAACUGACCGGGACUUUGGAUGGGCAGAAACAACAGAUUAAUAAUCAAAAAAUUGGGCAGUUUGCAAGUGAAAAUGUGGAUGACCAACUAGUGGAAAAUACCAAGCAGAUUGAGGCACCGUUCGUGAAGGUUAUUACCAAGAAAAACAGGGAUUUUGGGGCGAAAAAAUCUGCUCAUGUUGGGCCCUCAAAAUCUGGGGUAGAUUCAUCAUCCAUUUCCAUUGAAGCAGCUUCUUGUAAAUCUGGAAAUGAAAAGCUUAAAGGCAAAGUCAAGGAGAAAAAGAAGUUAGGAUCAAAAGUUGACGAGAAGAAGGGAUCAUCCCUUACUUCAACAUCAUGAAGAUCGCUUCUUGGAACAUAAGGGGUAUGAAUCCACCCCUUAAACAAAAUGGAAUUCGGGAGUUUAUCAAGUUACAUAACAUUGAUAUUAUGGGAAUUUUGGAAACAAAGUUGGGGGACCGAAAAUUGAAGAGGAUUUUGCGGAAUAAGUUUGAUGGCUUCAUGCAAGUAAAUAAUUUUUACAUACAUAGAGCCGGAAGAAUAUUAAUUUUGUAGAAUCCAUCCAAAGUUUCUUUGGAUGUGAUGGAGGUUCAUCCACAAAUUAUCCAUUGUAAAGCUACUUGCAAGGUAUUUAUUUUUACCUUUCUUGUGAGUUUUGUAUAUGGAUUUCACACUAUGGUUAACCGAAGGCCACUUUGGAAUAUCAUUAUGGAGCUCAAUGAAAAUGUGUCAUUGCCUUGGUUGAUUCUUGGUGACUACAACAAUGUUCUUAAGUUUGAUGAGAAAUGUAAUGGGGUGGAUGUUACCUCUUAUGAAAUUAAAGAUGUUGCAAAUUGUUGCCCUAAUGUGGGUCUUACAUAUGUGCAUUCUAUUGGUUGUUUUUACACGUGGACUAAUGGGUCGGUUUGGAGCAAAAUUGAUAGGGCUAUGGUCAAUGAUUUUUGGGUGCAAAAUGGGGCAUUUGUUGAAGCAAAUUUCCUUCCUUCCCAAUGCCUUUUCGACCACUCCCCAUGCAUUGUCUCGAUACAUGACCGUGUUGGUAGAGCAAAAAGUCCUUUCAAGUUUUUUAAUAUGUGGACCAAGCAUGAAAACUUCAAUGAUUUGAUUAGAGCUUGCUAGAAUUUUUACUUGCGAGGGACAAAACAAUUUAUCCUUUGCAAGAAAUUGAGCAAACUUAAGGGUGCUUUGAAGGAGCUUAAUUUUAAGCAUUUUGAGCAUAUUUCGGCUAGAGCAAGUGAGGCCAAAAAUGAUUUAGAGAUUGUCCAAUUACAGCUACAUAAUCAGCCCAUGAAUAUGCAUUUUCAGCUUUUGGUUGCAAAUUGAGGAAGAAGACGAUUGGUUUAUGUGAAGCGGAACGUAGUUUUUAUUACCAAAAGGCUAAAUGUGUCUUCCUUAAGUAAAGUGAUAAAUGCACAAAGUUCUUUCACUCCAUCGUUAAAAGGAAUUCUAGGAGGAAUUUUAUGGCUACUAUACUCAAAGAAGAUGGGAGGUAUACUACAUCACAAGAUCAAGUUGCUACGGAAUUUGUCAAUUUCUAUACUUCUUUGCUGGGGGAAAAUUGCCCUACUCGGCCUAUUGAGAUGGAGAUUCUUACUAAUGGUCCUUUGGUUUCUUUGGAACAAGGUAACAAUUUGAUUCGGGACAUCUCUUAUGAGGAAAUUAAAUAUGCUCUUUUUGAUAUUGGAGAUGACAAGUCUCCCGGGCCGGAUGGUUACACUUCUAAUUUUUUAAGAAUGCUUGGGGGACUAUUGGUGAUGAUUUUGUUGGGGCUAUCAUGGAAUUCUUCUCUUCGGGUUCCAUCCUCAAACAAAUCAAUCACACGGCCAUUGCUUUGGUGCCUAAAUCGGAUCACACCCCUCAUGUUGGUGAUUUUAGACCCAUCUCUUAUUGUAAUGUUACUUACAAAGUGAUUGCUAAAAUUCUUGCUUCUAGAUUGAGACCCAUUUCGGGAGACAUGGUUGAUCAUGCACAAGCCGCUUUUGUGGAAGGUAAGAGUAUCAUGGAGAACAUUCAUCUUGCCCAAGAACUCUUGAGGCAAUACAAUAGGAAAAGGGUUGCUCCAAGAUGCCUCCUAAAAAUUGAUCUUUCAAAAGCUUAUGAUUCGGUAAGUUGGGAUUUCCUUAGAGACGUUCUUCAUGGGCUUUAAUUCCCCUCAAGAUUUGUUCAUUGGGUUAUGGAAUGUUUCACUUCUAUAUCAUAUUUUAUAGCUUUGAAUGUGACUUUGCAUGGUUUUUUCAAAGGUAGGAAGGGUCUUCGGCAAGGUGACCCCCUCUCCCGUUUCUUAUUUGUGCUUUGUAUUGCAUACCUAUCAAGAUUGCUUAAAGCUGCCACGGAUGAUAGUGAUUUCAAUUUUCACCCAAAAUGUGGCCCCCAAAAGAUCACCCAUUUAGCUUUUGCAGAUGAUUUGAUGCUAUUUGUUAGGGGAGAUGUUAUGUCGGUAAAAAUUGUCACGGAUUGCCUUUCAAAUUUUGGAUCGGCUUCGGGAUUAAGGUUGAAUGUUCUUAAAUCUAGCUUUUUUACUGCUGGAACUCAUGGACAUAUUCUUGAGGAUAUCUUGGAAUUAACAAGUGUUCCGAGGGUAGUAUGUCAUUUCGGUAUUUGGGCAUCCUCCUUGCUUUGGAAAAACUUAAAGUAGGUUGUUGUGCUUCUUUUCUUGACAAAAUAACAACAUAUAUUGGUGCAUGGAAUUGUUCUACAUUAUCUUAUGUAGGCAAGAUCGGACUUAUAAGGGCGGUUCUUCAAGGAGUCGAAUGUUUUUGGCUCUCUAUUUUCCCUAUUCCGGCUACAAUUAUAUCAAGGAUUGUUAGCCUUUGUCGACAAUUCCUUUGGGGGUCUAAAAAGUCAUUAGCUUCGUGAAAGAAUAUUUGCCUUCCAAAAGAGGAAGGAGGCCUUGGAUUAAAGGACUUGAAGAGUUGGAAUUUAGCGUUACUUGCUAAAUCCCUUUGGAACAUUCACAAUAAAAAGGACCAUGUGGGUUUGGUGGGUUCAUCAUAUUUAUCUUAAUGGGACUUGCAUAUGGGAGGUUCGUCCUUGGAAGGAUCAUUCUUCACCAUUCAAAAAACUGCUGGAAAUCAGGGACAUUCUUCAUGUAAAUGGUGCUACCCAACAGUUUUUAACUUGUGGACAGCAAGGGGAGUCGGUUCACAUGGUGGCUGGAAUUUCCCCAUCUCGGCAUGAUGUUUCUGGCCGAAAUUAUACUGCUGGAAAUGCACAGAACUGGGGGGUAACUGGGCAGCAUUAUAGGUGGGCAGAAUGCUUCAUUCAGUAGGCAGUUUCUGGAAUUUUUCGACAAAAAUCUGGGCUAUUCUACAAGGGAUAAAUUCAGCACAAAAAUUGCCUAUAAUUUCUUUAGGCCUAAGGGUACUUUCAAGAGUUGGGGAGCCGAAGUUUGGAAACCGUGCAUCACACCGAAGCAUUCUUUUAUGCUUUGGUUAGGGGCCCAAUCAAAGCUCCUAACUAAAGACAAAUUGCUUUUCUCGGAUAUUGAUCACAAGUGUGAUUUUUGUGGGCAUUUUGUGGAAACUUGCGCCAUCUUUUCUUUAAGUGUUCCUUCACAUCUCCCUUAUGAGGGAAUAUUACGUGAUGGCUCAGCAUUACGAGAUCUAUGUCAACACUUGCUAGUGCUCUAAAGUGGUUGAAAAAGGAGGCACAUAGGACUACUUGGAUAAGUAAGGCGAGGAUUGCUCUUGCUAGCACCGUAUACUACAUUUGGCUUACAAGGAAUAGGAAGAUUUUCGAAGACCUCUCACCCGACUUGGAUUGCAUUGUGAGACGGAUCAAGACACACGUAUACAAAGUUAUGUUUACCUUGUAUCAGGAUGUCUUGAUCUAUUUCGAAUCCUUGGAAUCGGGUCAUUGAUCUUUCAUGCAUUUCACUUUCUUUUAUCUCUCCCGGGUAAGCCCGGAGUAAUUGUAUGUGACAUUGGCUUUUGAUUUGCUCGGGAAUGCUCGGUGUACUUGUAUAUGGAACAUUUUUUAUCAAUGAUAUUUACAUUUACCGAUAAAAAAAGCAAGAUGAAGAACUGUCAGCAUUAAAGACAACACCAAAAAGCUAAGGGAAUCAAGACGGAACAGCAGAAAUCACAAAUGCCAGGACCGAACGAAGAAAAACAACCAAACACAGAUUCAAACCAGCCUCACUUCCCAACUCCAUUCACAACCUAGCUUCAAAUCUGAAUCCAAAUGGAGCUUGGAGUGUAUAACUGGAUUAGCCCCCCAAUCACAACCCAGCAAGACGACUAAAAUGCACUGGUCGUAACUUAAGAGACCAUGCACAAGCUGAAGCAAACAGGAAACCCAGUGGACCAAAAACUGCCUUGGACGAAUAGCAAUUACACCGACUGAACCAACACCGAAAUCUGGCCAAGUAUCUGAAACCAGAUUCAAAGCAGCUAGACUGAAAACUGCCUUAAAUACAAAUCGAACUAGAGCUGAAAACCAACUUGCAGCUUUCAAACUUUGAAAACUGAACACAAACGAUUUGAAAAUCCCUCCAAAAACCAGAUUUAAGUAGGACCAAGUAAAAUGCAAUAUGUUUAAAUUCAAUUUUCACCAAAAGGAAGUAAAAAUUGAACCGAAACACAAGAAAAGUCUCAAGAAGCCAAGGCACUUAAGUGGGAUUUUCUCUCACUAGAAUUGAGAGCAUCUCUUUCUAACCUUGAUUGAGAGCUCUUUCUAGAUUCUGAACAUACUUAUUCUUUAUUUUUAUAUUAGAUCACACAAUUUUCAAUUAUAGUAUUUUAUUCAAAUUUAUGCACAAUAAAUAUAAUAACGUAAACAUGUUUAAUAAUGUUACAUUAAUCACAUCAACAAAAUAGAAAUAAAAUUUAGGUAUACCAAAAAGGGGCAAUUCCUUUAAAUUUCUAACUAUUAUGCUUUGAAUUAGUGCAAGUUUGGUUCAAUAAAAUAUAUUUGUCUAUAUAAAACAUCACGGAGAUUGAAAAUGCUAUGAAUGAACAAGGACCCAAUGAAACUCAGUGUCAACAAAGGCAUCUUGAGCCCAAUUGAUAUGGUUAGAUUAAUUAUUAUUGGCAUAAUGAAGUUGAACUAAUUAAGGAUCCAUGAUUUUCUUCAAGGCAAGAUCUUGAUACGGUGUCUGGUUUUGGCUCAAGUUUUUGAUAUUCUACUUGGAAGAAUCAGUUUUGUUCUCCCUGAAAUUUGGAAGUGCAGCACCUUUCCAUAAUUUUCUUGCAAUUCCUUCAAGUUUUGACCGUAUAGAUCCAUUCCAGCACUAAAUUUGCAACAUUUCUGUUGUUUCUUCAGUUUUUGACGACUAGUUUGGGUUGUCGGAAUUACAGUGGUGCCGAAAAAUAUUUUGGAAAGAGCAAAUUUCAGGCCGUUAUUGCAAGGUAUCCAUUUUUUUCCAUUUUGAAAUACGGGAAAAAAGUCAAGUAGAAAUAAUAGUGGGCAGUUUCAACUUGUAUUUAGUAAGUUACCAAAUCCAGCACUUGGCAAAAAAUCUGGAGAAUUACCUAUUGAGGCUGGAUCCAAUUCAAAAAAAAAAAAAAAAAUCUAGCACAUGGAAAUUUCCAAAACGAAUUUCCAGCACUUGGCCAAAAAUCUGGGGACUUACCAUUUGAGGCCGAAUCCAAUUCAAGCAGAAUUUCAGCACAUUGAAACAAUGGCAGUUCCACAUCCAACCCUGUGGAUUCUAUUAAGGCCUUCUGGUAGGAAUUCUACCAAGCAAAUUUUUAAAUUACCUAGUGUAUCCCAGACACUUGGUGAAGAGGAUACAGAAUCGGAGGAAAAAUCUACUGCAGCACAUCAGGUAAAUACUCCUGCCCAAGAAAAUAAAUCUGAUGAAACCAAGGCUCAAUGAGCUAAUUUAUUCAAGGAGAAUUGUGAGAGUGAGAAUGGUUUCAAGCUCAAAACCUGCAAAAAAUUGCCGAAUAUAUUGGUUUUUUUAGAAAAUGACUUUGAUGAUGAUCAAACAGCAUGGGGUUACUGAUGAGUGAUUUACACUUAUUAUAUUAUGCCAUUAAUUUCAUGAUUUUGCUAUCUUGGAGAGUAUUUUAGAAGUGCUAACAAGUGAUUUUGGUGUUGUUUUGUAGAUUGAUGGAAGUGGAGAAAACAAGAGCUAAAAGAGGCCAAAGGAAGGAAAUAGGCAAAAGUUAGCGAAAUUGGAUGAAAUAACCAAAAUGUAAGAGAUCCAAAAUUUGAGGAUUAAAAUGCAAUUAAUCAAAAGUCGUGUUGAAACUCGUGAUGAAGAUUUGAGAGUACUAGGAGUCAAUUGGAUGAAUGAAGGUGUCAAAGGGAUCAAAUUUAGUCAAAAUAUGAUCACAAAUCAUUUUCCAACCGAAAAGUUACGCGUCGGAGUUUUGGUCUCAUAUUGAGACUCAUUUUUGACAUAGAAAAAAAUCGAAUUGAAGAAUGAUGCCUGCUAUAAAGUUGUAGCCCUUUGAAUUAUCUUUUCAACGCAUCUUGAAUCGCCUCGAUCAGAUAUCGGGAAAAAGAAUUAUGAUAAAAAUACUGAAAGCUGUGCAGUGCAACCGAGGUAGUCCUCAGUGCCCAGGCACUAUCCCUCAUCGCCCAAGCGCCCAUCUUGCUGAAAACAAGCAGAAAGUCAAUGCCCAGGCGCCAUUAACGCAGCGCCCAGGCCCUGCAUUCCGAAACAAAAGAAAAUUCUGAUUUUAUAAUAUUUUCUAGGCCCAAUUAGUAACCUGUUGUUCCCUAAAUUCCAAAACACUAUAAAUACACAAUUGAAGACCUAAAUUAAGAGAGAGCCGCAAACUAAAAAUCCAUGGGAUCAAGUUGUUGGGAAUCUACUUAUACAUGCACAGCGAAAGAUUAAAAUUAUUUCAAUUCCCACCGAGAAUCCCUUUGUGCUUAGAUAGAGAUCGUGAUAAAGAUUGUACCUUUGAAGAAUUCUGCAAACCUUUUGCUUUUCUUUUCGUUCCAACAAUCUUAAAUCUGCCUCCCACAGCUGUCCAAUUAUCCAGCCUCCAAUGAAAUCCACACAGAGAAUAGACUGUAACUGCUAGGAUUUUUCCUCUUGUGCCAGCAAGAAUAAUGAAAAUCAUAUGGAUCUCAAACCCUAGCUAUGUAUUUAUAUAAACCCAAACGGGCUCGGCCCGGUCCGGUCCAAUAUUUAAUUAAUCCAUUUAAUUAAAUCCGGUCCGUGAAUUAAUAAAUCCAAUUAAUUAAUUCGGGACUAUAAAUAACCAAUCCAAUUAAUUAAUUUUAUCCAAUGAUUGGAUGAAUUAAUUAAUUGGCAAUUUGCAAUCUUCCAAUUCUCUUUUGUGUGCGACCCAUUAAGUUCCCGACCAUGAUGCCUAACGACGUGAAAUAUUAUUUUGAUCUUAUCAGAACUGAUAAAUUAAACACCCUUUUAAUUUAUCACAAAUUCACACUCGCCGUCCCAGAUUGACAUCUAGCAAUGUAUGAGGGCAAUACAUGUGACGGAAAAUGUCACGUGAUAUGACAAAACCAAAACUGUUCGUUUACCAAGAAACUAUAAUCCCUUCGUCAAUAUGAUCCCAUCAACUACGAGAUAUGGAAGUGUGUCAAUCUCAAUUAUCGAUCAUAUCUUUCAUUCUACUAUUAAGCCAAUAUAAGUCGAAAACUCCAUUUCGACUUAUAUGUAUACUUUGGCCAUGGAUUUCGUUAUUGACUUAAUUGAACGAAAUGCAGAUCACAAUCUCUUACUAUCUAAGAGUGACAAAUCCUCUAUUGGUCAUUCACAACCUUCAUAUGGUUCUUGACAUACCCGAACGAUGUCGUAUUAGCGGCCCUUGGCAUAGCAACAUCCAACACCGUCAAAGCAUGAUUGUCCUCAUACAAGGCACUAUGAUGACCUCAAGUCAUAGGAUCAAUUCCACUACCAAACGUUAGAAAUUAACCAUUGACACUCAAAUAGUUAUCCAUGUGGAAUCUCUUAGCGGGUCUCCAAUGUUUUGUUCUAUAACAAAACAUCCACGUGUUCAUUUAAGUGUCACCACACUUUAGCUUGUGAGAUCAGCUACUUACUUCACAAGUAAGAAAUGCCACACGUGAUGGUCUAUCCGUAAUAACGAUAUCCGUAUCUCGUUAUUACUUACGACCACGGACGAUUUAAGAUUCAAUCAGAUAUAAUUUGUAUCUCACAAUCAUAACUCCUUGUGAUUAACAAAUUAUAAAGAUUUGAAUGUACGGACUCUACUAUUUAAUUAAUUGUCUAUUAAUUAAAUAAUAGAUGUGCUAUUAAAUUGCAUUAAUUAUAUAUCAAAAUUAUUUAUGUCCAAAGUUGAUUGGACCUAUGGCAUAAUACUUACAAACUCCCACUUGCACUAGAUUCAAUCACUUAUGUAUCCAAUAUCAUAAGUCUACAUGACGAUCAUGUUUAUGCUAUGACAACUCUUUAUCAGUGGAUCUACAAUAUUGUUAAAUGUGGGAAUUUGUUCUUCUCUUUACGUCAUUUCUAUGCAUUAUCUUUCUGAUGAGAUUAGACUGCCUUAAUACAUGUUUGGAUCAUUGAUGAGACCUUAGUUCUUUUGCUUUCGCAAUGGCUCUAUUGUUAUGACAAUACAAUGGCAUGUGAUCAACAAUAUCAAGAACUACUCCAAGUUCAUUUAUGAACAUCAUGAUCCAGAUUUCAACUCUUUGCUACUUUUGAAGCAAUCAUGUAUUAAGUUUCUACUAUUGAAUCAACGGUUGCUUCACGUUUGGAACCUUUUCAACAAACCGCUUAAGAGUAAACUAGUUUCUCGAUAUGAAAUCUUCUCAAGAUUUCAUCUAUGUAAAUUGGGAUGAGUUAAGCGAUUUCUAGAUCUACCUCUAUAGAUCAAGUUGCUUCUCCCAUAUCGUUCAUGAAUAAAUCCUUUAACAACCAUUAUUUCCACGAUUGAAACAUAGGAAUGUCGUUUUCUAUAAUAUUAGGAAUACGACAAUGCUCCCACUAUCUUCUUGUAAACACACAAUUCGUCUUCAAAUUUGAUAAAAUCAAACAUUUUGACUUUUUCAUCAAAUCUAAGAUUUAAGCUCCAAGAUACUUCUUUUAACCUAUAAUCACAGUAAGCAACUGUUGCAAGCAAAACCCGAAUAGACUUCAACAAGGCUACAAGAGAAAGGUUUCACCAAGGUCAACACUUAACUUUUACUUCUAGCCUUGCUUUGUAUAUAUGGAUAUUCCCAUCCAUAUUGACUUUUUCUUUGUAAACUAUUUACAAAAAUCUAUGGGUUUUAUUCCAUUAGGAGGCUUGACCAAGGCCCAAACCUUAUUCACAUAUGUCGAGUUCAUCUCGAGUUUCAUGGCCUCUUGCUGUUUCUUUUAAGUCAACACUUGACUUUAUUUUGGUACAAUUAGUAGGUUCAUCAUCCUGGAUCAGUAAUACCUGAUUAGCAAUCAUGGAUUCAUACCUUCUUGAAAGUUGAAUGAUCCUACUAGAUUCACAUAGAGCUAACAUGUCCUCAGGAGUCUUUACUUCCUGAUCAAGAGUAUGUCCCAUAUCAGAUAUGAGAUCAAACUCGGAUUCAUCUACUUGGCUAACUAUAUUUGUAGGCUCUUGAACUCUUUCAAGUUCUAUUUUGCUCCUACUGUCCUCCCCUAGAGUAAACAUUUUCUCUAAGAAGACGAUAUGUCGUGAGAUGAAGACUUUCUUCACAAUAAUAGAAUUUAUAUUCAAAUAUCUGCUUUGAAUAUCCCACAAAUAUGUGUUUAUCGGAUUUAGUCUCAAAUUUAUCCGAUUCAAGGCGCUUCAAAUAAGCGCCAUGGCCCCAAACUUUCAUAUGAGAUAAAUUGGGACUACUACCUUUCCAUAACUCGUAUGGAAUUCUGUUAACCAACUUAGGUGUGACAUGAUUUAGUGUGUUGCACACUGCAAUCAAUACAUAACCCCAAAACAAUUUUAGGAGAUUUGCAUGACUUGUUAUUAACCGCAUUAUAUCUAAUAAUUAACGUUUCCUCCUUUUAGAUACACCAUUAUGCUGCAGUGUAUAUGGAGGAGUCCACUGCAAGAGAAUCUCAUUCUCUCUUAGAUAAUCUAAAUUUUACCUUUAAGAAAAUUUCACUCGAUCGAAUCUUAAUGUGAGGGUAUCUUUACCUAUUUGUUUCUCUACUUCUAGUUUGAAUCCCUUGAACUUUUCAAGAGUUUCAUGUAUGAGUUUUCAUCAAGUAUACAUGAUCAUUGAUGAAAUAAGAGAAAUAUUACCUGACAUUAAUUGACACGAGUCCAUAUGCAUCCCUAUGCAUUAGACCAGUAAUUAUGCUGACCUUUCUUCUUUUCAAGUAAAAUAAGAUUUGGUCAUUGUGUUAGACAUGCAUAAUUUGUACUUGUCAAAAUCAAUUAAUCCCAAAUAUACAUCUCUAUGUAACUUUGGAAUUACUUUUCAUCUAUAUGACAAAGUCUGUCAUGCCAGAUUUCGGUAAUAAUUAGAUUAUCGCAUUUAUGCCUUAUAAUUUCUAUACUCAUUAUAGAAUCCUUAGUAUUUAGAAUAUAAAUGUUAUUUUUUAACUUACCAUAGCCAUUAGGAUCUUUACUAAGAUAAACAAGAACAACAAUUGUCCUUAACAUUAAAAUAGUUCAUGUUCGAACAUAAAAUUCAUUUUAAUGUUCCAGCUAUGGUGGGUACAAAGCAACAUUUCUCUAAUUCCAUUACUAAGUCAAGAGGCAACGGCAAGAAGUAUGCUCCUAUAGGCAAUGCAGCAACCUUUGCUCAUCUUCAACGUGUAGGUCAACUUCUCCCUUUCGCAGUGGUCUACUUCUAUUUAGUUUCUCCAUAUUUGUAUAAACAUGAGAUCUACAUCUAGUAUCAAAUACUUAAGAAACUCGUGAAGUAGACGUAAGUCAUGCAACAUCUUCUAAUGACCUUUCAUUCUAUAAUGAAAACAAGUGUAAUUAAAUUUGAUAUUGUCCUUCGCUUAGACUGUCUUAACCUUAUUGGGUGCUUUCUCAAAAACCCUUUAGAUUUCCUCUUAACACUCUUAGAAGAAUCAAUGGUUUGCCCACUACCAAUUUUGAUAAAGGGCUUGACAGUUCUAAGCAUGUUAAGCAACUUAAUGAGUAUGCAUUCGAGUAUAUUCAUAUCAUAAUUCAUAAUUAGUAUGAAUAACUGUAUGACAGAGAUUACAGAGCUAAGUGAAUACUUAGUUCAUAGUUAAUGAUUGAACUCAAUUGAAACACUUUUCAUGUCGAUCAUCUUUAGCACAUGAUGAUUGACUGAAGAUUCUUUUGUCACUUUGCAUCAGUAUAGUUGUUUGAAAGUCUCAUAUCCUUCCACACAUGAUUAUUAUCAUACAACUCUUUGUAAUGAAGAAUUAUGUGUUAACAUCUAUACUCUCAAGUUGCUUUUGUAACUCAGGUGACAUAGUUGCAAGUAUCAUAUAUGUUGCAGUACUAUUGUCAUCACUGCGUUUAUUACAGUAACCACCUCUUCUUUAAUCGAGUCAUCAGCAGGUAUCUCUGGAAAGGGCUACUCAAGGACUUGACCAAUUUUCUCAUGCAUGAGAACAAUUCUCAAAUUGUGGUGUCAAUUAAGAAAAUCUAGUUUGGUUGUUGGCAUCUAGUAUGUCAUUCAAAUACAUAUGGUUACUCACGAUUCAAUAAGUAUAAAUGACGAAAAAUGAAAGAAUAAUAUAUAAAAUACAUCAAUUAAUUUAACAUGGACUUUUGUUAAAUUAAUUAUGCUCCCACUAUUUAAUUCAAAUUUAUGACCCUCUUACAUAAAUUUAUGGAGUCCAUACUCGACUCCCAGUGGGCUGGCCCAUCUGUUAAACUAAGACCUUGAGUAUACUCAACAAGUCUUAAUAUAACAUUUGGGUAGAUACUAUUAUUAAUUGUAUCUCCAUACAACUCCAAGAUCAUGAAGCUGACAAAUCUUUGUCUUCACACAUCUUAUGUGUUAGCUUGACAUGCCUCUAAAAUUUAUCUCUUUGAGUGUACUCAAUAAAAGAUAAAUUUUAGUUAAAUCGAACCCAUCAUUCACAAAUAUCUAAUAUUUCAUAAUGUCAAAUAUAUCCCUAAUAGACCAGCCUUGAGUGUACUCAACAAGCUGAGAUGAUUUGAGACUCUGGUUUUUCACUAUAAUAAUAGAAGGUAAUCAUAAAUGUGACAUAAUAUUUUGUGGAGGGAUUUUGCAUUCAAAAGUCUCAUCAAACCAAUAAUAUAUAUAUUUUAUUAUACAUUUACCAUGCAAUUAUAUAUAUAUAUAUAUAUAAAACAUAAUAUAAUAGUGUGGACGAUUAUGGACUUUACUAUCUAGUCUUCCCGAGCCAUAAGGAAGACUAAUUAGUCAAUUUCUAGGGGGUAUUACACUGAUCAGUAUCAGUGUACCAUCUCCAUGGUCUCCUCCUCUUCUUGUUUCUUCAAUUAGUCCAAUUGCAACAUGUAUCCUAUACUAGUUGGCACGCAGGUCUAAAUGAAAUUGGAUUCGCAAAUCCGUAGUAACAAUAAUAAUAACGAACUCGCAAAUCCAAAAUGAUCAAGAGCUCGCAGGCUCAAAAUAAUAACAAUAAUAACAGGCUCGCAAACCCAAAACAAUUAAGAGCUCGCAAGCCCAUAAAACGACAAGAAUAAAAAUUAACCAUUCAAUAAAUCCAUAUGUCGAGUCCAUAAUCAUCCACUAAUAAUGCAUUUAUCACAUAAAUGUAUUCUUAUAUAAUAUCUAACAUUAUAUGCAAACAUGUUUCAAGUUUCUAGCAAUUAAGAUUGUCUAAACUCUUUUAGACAAAUGGAUCGGAAUAAUUAAAUAAUUAAUUAAUCAUAUUAAUCAAUUAUUUAAUAAGCGGACAUAUUUAAUUAAAAUCAAAUUUUAAUUAAAUACCGAAUUAGAGUCCAACUCCAAUUCCACAAUUAUAAGGCGGGGUUAUGUAAUUAAAAUCAAAUUUCAAUUAAAUAUUGAAUUAGAGUCCAACUCUAAUUUCAAAACUUAAGGCGGUUGAAUUUAAUUAAAAUCAAAUUUUAGUUAAAUAACAAAAUUAGAGUCUAACUCUAAUUCCAAGAUUUUAUGGCGGAUUUAUUUAAUCAAAAUCAUAUUUUAAUUAAAUACCAAAUUAGAGUACAACUCUAAUUUCAAGAAGAAAUUUAGGGCGAGACAAUUUAAUUAAAAUCAAAUUUUAAUUAAAUGUCAAAUUAGAAUCCAAUUCUAACUUCAAUAACAUAUUUGGGUGAAUAAUUUAAUUAAAAUCAAAUUUUAAUUAAACACUAAAUUAGAAUCCAAUUCUAACUUAAAUUGAAUUAAGAUUUUAAAUUGAAUUAAGAUUUUAAUUUUAACAACUUUUGAUUAUUCCUAUACGUAAAACAAUUCCUAACAAACACAAAGUAGGCUCUGAUAUUACUGUUGGGAAUCUACUUAUACAUGCACAACGAAAAAUUAAAAUUAUUUCGAUUCCCACCAAGAAUCCCUUUGUGUUUAGAUAGAGAUCGUGAUAAAGAUUGUACCUUUGAAGAAUUUUGCAAACCUUUUGCUUUUCUUUUCGCUCCAGCAAUCUUGAAUCUGCCUCCCACAGCUGUCCAAUUGUCCAACCUCCAAUGAAAUCCACACAGAGAAUAGACUGCAACUGCUAGGGUUUUUCCUCUUGUACCAGCAAGAAUAAUGAAAAUCAUAUGAAUCUCAAACCCUAGCUAUGUAUUUAUAUAAACCCAAACGGGCUCGGCUCGGUCCGGUCCAAUAUUUAAUUAAUCCAUUUAAUUAAAUCCGGUGCGUGAACUAAUUAAUCUAAUUAAUUAAUUCGGGGCUAUAAAUAACCAAUCCAAUUAAUUAAUUUUAUCCAACGAUUGGACGAACUAAUUAAUUGGAAGUUUGCAAUCUUCUAAUUCUCUUUUGUGUGCGACCCAUCAGGUUCCCGACCACGAUGCCUAACGACGUGAAAUAUUAUUUUGAUCUUAUCAAAACUGAUAAAUUAAACACCCUUUUAAUUUAUCAUAAAUUCACACUCGCCGUCCCAGAUUGACAUCUAGUAAUGUAUCAGGGCAAUACAUGUGACGAGAAAUAUCACGUGAUAUGACAAAACCAAAAUUGUUCAUUUACCAUGAGACUAUAAUCCCUUCGUCAAUAUGAUCCGAUCAACUACGAGAUAUGAAAGUGUGUCAAUCUCGAUUAUCGAUCAUAUCUUUCAUUCCACUAGUAAGUCAAUAUGAGUCGAAAACUCAUUUUCGACUUAUAUGUAUACCUUGGCCAAAGAUUUCGUUAUUGACUUAAUUGAACAAAAUGCAGAUCACAAUCUCUUACUAUCUAAGAGUGAUGAAUCCUCUAUUGGUCAUCCACAACCUUCAUAUGGUUCUUGACAUACCCGAACGAUGUCGUAUUAGUGGCCCUUAGCAGAGCAACAUCCAACACCAUCAAAGCAUGACUGUCCUCAUACAAGGCACUAUGAUGACCUCAAGUCAUAGGACCAAUUCCACUACUGAACGUUAGAGAUUAACCACUCAUACUCAGAUAGUUAUCCAUGUGAAAUCUCUUAGCGGGUCUCCAAUAUUUUGUUCUAUAACAAAUCAUCCACGUGUUCAUUUAAGUGUCACCACACUUUAGCUUGUGAGAUCAGCUACUUACUUCACAAGUAAGAAAUGCCACACAUGAAAUAACGAUAUCCGUAUCUCGUGAUUACUUACGACCAUGAACGAUUUAAGAUUCAAUCAGAUGUAAUUUGUAUCUCAAAAUCACAACUCCUUGUGAUUAAUAAGUUAUGAAGAUUUGAAUUUACGGACUCUAUUAUUUAUUUAAUUGUCCAUUAAUUAAAUAAUAUAUCUACAAUUAAAUUGCAUUAAUUAUAUAUUAAAAAUAUUUAUGUCCAAAGUUGAUUGGACAUAGGGCAUAAUACUUACACAAGCCACACACGAAAUUUGGAGACGGCAAAACAGGGAGUCAGCUGCCCAAAAAUUCCACAAAUUAGAGAGAAUCUGGAGAGGAAUAGCCGACAACUUCUAGAGGAUUGAAAGGAGUUCAUCCGACCAGACGUAACAGGAAGGUAGGAGUCAAAAUUCUGGCAGGUUUACUUCUUCAAUUAAUCAAUUUGGUGGAUGGCUGGACAACCCUAAAAGAGUCAAAGGACAGAAACUAAUUGAGAGGCGUGGAAAAUAAGGAAAGAAUCGAAUUACUCAUUUAAUUUAUUUCUUUCUUCUUCAUGUUUUACACUAUAAUUUGUAUGAAUUUAAUGUCUUUAAUUAUACACUGAUGUAACCGAACUCAAUAUUAGGGUUUGAUGAAUUUUUAUAAUUAUUUCGUUUAAUUUUUUCGUAUAUGUUUAAUUGUAUCAUGAUUUUAAUGCUUUCGAUUGCCUGAUCAACAAUUGGAUGAUUUGAUGCUCUAAAUUUGACACUCGAGAGAGGAAAAUUUAGGCGUGAUCUAAGAUUGAUACAGCAUGAAAUUUAUAGGUUUCGACAGAAGGUGUAAAUCUAUGAAGCUUACUCCACAAAAGAAUCGGGUCUUUUAUAAAUUCGUGAUUUUCAAUUUCGAACAGGGAUGUUGGAAUUGGGGUCUAGGGUUAAUUUCUAAUCGGUGCUUGAGAGAGGGGGUUAGAAAUACAUUAGGGUUCUUGCUUUUAAAUAGGGGAAAAUUAACCAAGGUAAUUGGAAUUCGUUGAAUCAUAAUUGAGAGUUAGGUGAAAUCAAUCCCUAGGCCUUCUCAUUUGAUAAAUUUGCAUUCUCCAAUUUUGGCGCAUCCAAUUCUCGUUAGAUUCGUUUAAUUUAUUUACUCAUAAAACAUUAAAUCCAUUCAAUCAUAUAUUUGUCUAAAUAAAGUAGAAAUUGCACAAUUAUAGUACUUAGUGAAGUUAGAAUUAAAACCCCUGUGGGUUCGACACUCUUUACUCUAUUACUAUAUUACAAAACUUGACACCGUACACUUGCGGUAUAAAAUCACGUUGCAUAAAUCGCGUGGUAGUUACUACUUGGUUAGGUACUUUGCCGGCCCUUUCCCAGGUAAAACAAACCUCUUGUUCAGGUACCAAUACUUGUACAUCAAAGUGGAUGGCUCGUGUUCAAAUUUGAGAAUUCCAACAAUAGAGCACAAGUGCUUGAAGGCGGCUCAUAAUUUAUUUAUAGUCGAGUGCUAAUGUUGAAAAAUGUACAAUCAUUUUUCCAUUUCGAUGAUGGUGAAAUUAGCAAUCUUCCUGUAUGGGUGACGUUGCCAGGAUUGCCAUUGAAUUUUUGGACAGCUAAUGCUCUGGGCAUGAUUCAACAAAAAUUGGAAAACCAAUCACAACUGAUCUGCUCAUGACAACGAAGGAACGAUUAUAGUGUAAAACAUGAAGAAGAAAGAAAAUUAAGGCAAGUGCAUUCUAUCUCACCAUGUGACUCUUUUUACUUUUGAAUUUGAAUUAUUUCAAAUUAUAGUGCACCAACUGAUCAUUGCUACGUAUAUGUGAAUAUAAUCAUUAGUUUUAAUGAAGAUAAAGAGCAUGCAUGUAAAAAUAAUUUUCUAAAUUUUGUCAUAAAAAGUAAAAUAAAUAAAAUUUGCCUAUCCAUUAAUUUGUUGGCCUCGAAACCUAAACGAUCAAGUUGUCAAUAUAUUUCUUGUCACUUCUUCGUAUACAAAUGUGUUACUUUUACACUAGAAAACCAUUAGAUGCAAGGCCAUUGUAGACAAUCGGUUGCUCUUUAACAAUAAAUUCAUUGGAGAGAUAAACACAUUGAACGAAAAUAUAUUUCUUGUCACUUCUUCGUAUACAAAUGUGUUACUUUUACACUAGAAAACCAUUAGAUGCAAGGCCAUUGUAGACAAUCGGUUGCUCUUUAACAAUAAAUUCAUUGGAGAGAUAAACACAUUGAACGAAAAUAUUAUCUCUUAUGAGAGAUAAUUGGUAGGAUUGUAUUGGAAUGAACUUGUAGACUCGUUUACUGAAAUCCUGUCUACUACAAUUUUCAAGGAAUAUCUAUAUGACUUGAUGUUGUAUGAUAUGACACAUCUACUCUAGGGAAAGUGGGAGAUAUAUUUGGUUUUGUGCCCAUAGAGUAAAUUUGUUAUGAUAAAAUAUUAAUUUAUAAUAACUAAAUUGUGGGUUUAUUUAUUUAUUGCAUUCAUUUAUUAUUGAACAUGCGAAUUAGAGUACUAAUGAUCACUUGUGACAAUAUAAGUUGGAAUUUGUGUUGAGAAGUACAUUGUGACGUAACUCAUAAUUUGAUCAUAAAUAAUUUGUUCACAAACAAUGUAUAAAGGUCGGCAUUUUGUACUGGAAGGUUGCAACAUUGAUCGGUUUACUAUUUAAGUUUGUGAUUUGUCCUAUCACAUAAAUAGUUAAAGGUGACAAUAGUACACUUGAAAUGUAUUGAAUAGAUCACGUCUUGAGUUUAAUGCUAUAGCAUGACCAAGUGAAGAAUUAAAUUUUAGUUGACCACUAUGUAUUUCAUCUAAUCCUUCGAAAGUGUUAUGUACAUCCUUUCGUGAUUUUAAUGAUUCUUUGAUUCAUCAAUGAGUGAGAUUAAUUUGAUUGUUCAAAUAUCUCGACGAGCUGGGAACUUGACAAUGAACGAAAUAGAGAACAUGAAUUCGUGUUGGGAACCAUCCCCUUGAGAUUGGGUAGAGUUACUGUUUAAGUAUUUUCUAUUAAACGGUUAAAAUUUGAGCUCAAUAUUUUCUAUUGAGCGGUUAAAAUUUGAGCUUAUUGUUUGCAGAACCAUUAAAGAAAAUUAUACUUAAGUUAGCGAGAAUAAUUAGAAGGACAAAACGAUCAUUUAUGUUCCUACCUAGUUAUUGAAUCUCGAACGAGGAUAAAAUAUAUGUACGUGUGUCAGAUGAAAGUAUUACAAUUUAUCGACUUUUGUGAUCUUAUAUAUUCCAAGAGAUAAGUUUUUUGCCUUUAAUGAAAAAACAAAGAUUAAUAAUUAGAUUAGGUAGUCCAAGGUCGAUUAGACAGAUCUCGGGUCUUACUGGUAGCUCUAUAAAUUAUUGAGAUUUAACUACGGUAAUUAUAAUAGUUUUGGGUUUAAUUGUAAUCACAAUAAAGUUUUGCACUUAGCUGUAAUUGUUGUUAAAAAUUAAUAAAUUUAAUUAUAAUUGUAAUUGAAGGUCUAGGACUACACAUGUAAUUUUGACUUUAAUUGAAUAUAUAAUUAUUAUUCUACUAGGUUUGGAACUAUUCUAUUUUUAUAAAUAGAUACUAAAUAGAACCUAAACUCCACCAACAAUUAUAAUACAUAAUUUUAUAGUGUUCAAAUUUGGAGAGGGAAGAUAAUUAUCUUCAUACUUUAUUUAAUUGUCCAGUCCAAGAACUAAUUUCUUUAUUUAAUUAAAAGAAGGUGUUCACCAUCGAUGUAAUUUUGAUUUUGGAGAAUAUCAUAGAAGAUUUGGAGGUUUGAAACUUCAAGUUCUUGGAAUUAAAAGUUAAAAUCUCGUAAUCCAAAAAAAAAUUGGAAGUUUGAUAUUCAGAAUUUAAUUCAAGAAUUGACCAUUGAAUUUAGAUAAAAAUAAUCAUUUUCUCUUGAUAUAAUAUACACGUGAAUAUUUAGACGAUCUUAUUUAUUGAAUUAAAAAAUUUUAAGUUAUAAAUAAUUCUGCUUUUGCAUUCCAACAAAAUCAUAUCCUAUAAAACAUGCAUGCACAUAUAAAUAAUUCUACUGGUCAUGUCUUGCAUCUUUCAAGUAAGUUCUAUUAAAAUUCAAAAUAUUCAUUCCAAAAAAAUUUCUAACUCAUCUUGAAAUUUUUACAUAAAGCAAAAUUAAAACAUUGGAUUCACAUUCAGCAGAAGAAUUAUACAAAUGGUUAUUGUUGUAGAACCAACAUGAUAUUCCACUUGUUAGUUCCGUAAAGUCUUUUUGAGUUGGAACUAUGCUGGUCAUCACCAGAAAUGGCACCUUUUGUUGGCCAAUUGAAAUGAUUUUGUUUGUUUCCAAGCCAUUUCCCUGUAAUUUUAAUAAAAGAAUAGUCUUAUCAUCGAACUAACAAUUCCAUAAAGAAUAAAAGGGGAGUGAGAGCCCCUACAGUACUUCUAAAUCAAUGCCUGCCUUCCACAUCGAAAAAUAUAAGAGUAAGUUCUAUGGUAUUGUAGUGAUUUUAGUAUUGAUUAUUUAUCAAGAUGUUCUGUUUUAUUCGUUGUUACUUAGGUUGUAAAAGUGCUCGCCAAAAGUCCCACAUUUGCUCGUGAUGAACAGUGCCUUCAAUUUGAGGUCGGCAUUAAACGUCUUUUUUCUUUACACCAGGUUACUCGCUUCUUCAUUAUUCAAGUAACAUUUUUAUAUUUGAUAUCGUUACAUAUUAGUUUAUUUACUCGGGAUAAAAUUUAUUCCAUACUUGUUUUGGGAUUUCUAUGCUAGUUUUUGGCAUUAUAAUUUAUAUGUUAAAACAAUUGUCGGCAUCCACUUUUUUUGUUUAUAUCAAGCUAUAGUUUUAAUUGAAUAGCUGAAAUCACAAGUUAAAUACAUCCUCAGUGCUAGAGAGGAUUUUCCCAACUUUGAUUCUUUACUAAAAGAGGACGACAAUGCAGUUACUGGCUCGUUAGGUAGUAAAACCAAGUCCAGAAUGAAACUCUUAACGGCUAAACUACAACUUCUACAGAGAAGCAAGAUGAGACUUAAAAAAGAAGUUUAGAUCACCUUAUAAACUUCAGCAAGAAGAUCUUGCUUUUGAUCCUUGGAGGGUCUUGGUAAUAUGUAUGCAUAAUAGCCAGAAUGUACGUUUUGUCUUUGACAGUCCAAAACAAAGAUACAAAUAGGAAAAUACGUCACAUAAACACAAGAUAAAUUAUAUAUAGCCAAAUGUAAUUUCCAACAAACAAAAGUUUCUCACGAGUGAAUGCUUGUUCAUAAGAAAGCUUAAAUUUUGCAUACAUUUCAUGUACAACAAAUUAUGCAUCGCUUCCCAGAUCAAGUUUACUUUCAUUCAUCCAUUCAAAAGCAAAAUAAAAAGAAAUAAUAGAACAAGUUCCAUAAUCAACGUUGGCAAUGCCUUAUGCAAUAGCCAUCAUAAAGCCUACCAUUUGCACUACAUGGAAUGGCAAAAAUAUUUACUGCAUUGCGUGUUGCUUUUCUGGUCUUAUCCAGUGACACCACAAAAACAUCUGCAAUAAAGAUCCUUCAUAAAUAUUCGUUAAAAGAAUUAAACAAUAAAUUAUGAUUGACAAUCUCUCCUAUGUCUCCUUAUAAGUCAUUCUCAUAAGUAAAUUUCAAUAUUUGAAACGAAUGUUAAUUUUUGCAAUCAUAUAAUGUAAUUCAUAUUUCUCUUGAUAUUUUCUAAAUACUUCACAGAAAAUCUACUAUUUUCUACUCAUUUGACCCCUAGAUUGUACAAUUGAAGAAAAGUGAGUGGAACUAAUUUGGAAAAGCUCCAUCAAACACAUUCUCAUGACGCCACGUAAACUUUUCACAUUCUUCUUCUAAUUCUUUCUCAUUUUCCAGUCUUUCAAAUUCAAAAAAAAAGUAGAGUUACAAACUGCCUGACAGUUUAUACCAGUUUCAUUUGUAAUCUAGAGGGGCAUUUAUUUUACAAUCAAGAUAUACCAAUCCACAAUUUUCAGGCAUCUUUACAGGAUCAUACUUUGCUAUCAGUAAACUAAAAACAUAACUUAUUUUAUGGAUACAGCAGCAUAAAUAUGAAGACAAAGUGAGUGAUCGAUUUGUGAAUCAUUUAGCCUGGUGAAUAAGCUAAUUAUUUCUAUCUUAGCCCAACUGAUAGAAAUUUCCAUUUGAAUUCUGGCUAUUGUUAGUAUUAGCUUAUAACAAAUUGAGGAUACCGUGCAAGAGAUUUUCAAGCAUCUCUCGUAAAAAAGAAUUUAUGUUACUAAAAACUUGUUGAAGUAUUGUGAGCAUGUCAAGUAGAUCACAUAUUUAAAACCAGUUUAUCUACAAAAGAUGCUCAAGUAGUUAUAAGCUCACAAGUUAAGCUUUUGUGUGGGACUCAAUGAGAGUAUUUAUGUGGUUCUGUGAAAAAAAAUAAUUAAAAUUUAGCGAAUUUAAAUCACUAUGUUUAGAGGAAUGCAAAUGGAGACCUGCACCAAUAUGCUUCAAAUUUUGUUGAAUUUUCCUAAUUCAGAUCACUAGGCAAGGAACGAUCACUUAUUUAUGUCCUUGUUCACUAUAUAUCCAGGUUAUAAUCAUCAUCAAAAAGUUACCAUGACAGUAAUUUCGACGAUCUUAAUCAUAAUUAUAAGUCAAAUUUAGUAUAGAACUAGAGUUGGGAGUGUAACCAAAGCCUUUCUGAUGAAGUGCACAAGGGAUUAGAGUUCACGGCAAAAUGGGACCAUCACAAGGCAAAAGUUGGCAAAAGGGGCAAAUGAUUUCAUGAUGACUUUGGGUUUACUCGUUUUUGGCAAAUCACUAGUCUAAUUUGAUUGGAGCCGAGCCAAGGAAUAAAACUCAGCACCUUUGGCCCUGACGCAAGACCAAUUUCGGGCAAAAUCCAUGGUUUAGGCCUUCGUUUAAUCGUUUUUGCUAUUUAUGGUAAUUUUCAUUUUUGCAAUAUAUCUUUCCAUGAAAUUCGGAAUUAGAUUCCGUUUGUUGGAGGGUGAUCCCGAAGAUAAGUAUUUUCCAUCUUAGUAAUUAUCUCAUAUUUUCCAUUUUUGGAAAAAAAUAUCUUUUAUUUUAUUUUAUUUUCCGAAUUUUCCUAGGUUUUUUUUCUAUUUAAUCAGUUGUAAGCCCUUAGAGGCAGUAGUUCUUGAAUUCAAUAAAAUCUUCCUUGAGAGUUUUCUCAAUUUGUGAUUGUUCAACUUCCCUAUAAUAUUUCCGCUACGUCAGUUGGUAUCAGAGCCGAAAUCGUUCCUUCACCAUGCCGCCAAGGAGACGUCCUGAAGCCCAUGAUGCCCCGGUAGAGGAGGUACAUAGACGUGAUGAAGUCGCACAACUACGUCAACAAGUGGAAUUGUUGACACGGCAGAUCUCUGCGCUUAUGCUGCAGCAGCCUGCCCCUACAGGCCAACAGCUUGAGGAUUCCGAUGAUGAGAAUCCGUUUGCACCGCUUGAACAACCAUUGGAUCUGCCAGUUCACCGGAGAAGGGGUGGUCAGGAGGACAACCGACGUUGGGAAUCAGGAUUUAAGGUGGAUAUUCCAGAAUUUCAUGGUGGGUUGAGUCCAGAGGAAUUCUUGGAUUGGGUGACUGCAGUGGAGGAGGUCUUGGAGUUUAAAGACGUUCCUGCCGAUAAAUGUGUGCCUCUCGUUGCAACGAGGCUUCGUGGGCGAGCAGCGGCGUGGUGGCAGUAGACUAAAGUGACAAGAUCCAGGCUGGGGAAACCUAAGCUUGCAUCGUGGGACAAAUUGAAGAAACAUAUGAAGAAACAAUUUCUGCCUUACAAUUAUGUGCGGACCAUGUACCAACAAUUGUAGAAUCUGCGUCAAGGUGGGAAAACGGUUAGUGACUAUACCACGGAUUUUUAUAUGUUGAUUACGAGGAACGAGAUGAUGGAGACGGAGGAGCAGUUGGUGUCACGGUACGUGGGUGGUCUUCGUCCCCAAAUACAGGAUACCCUUAACAUGUUUGAUCCUGUGACAGUUUCUGAAGCACAUCAGAGGGCAAUACAGAUAGAAAAGCAACAGUCCAGGAAAACUACUAGUCCUUUCAUUGCAGGGAGUUCUUCUAGUAACCCACAACAGCAGGUGGCACGUCCUGGUAAUCCUGCCCAAUCUGGUCCUCCUAGAACAAAUCUUGCCCAACAACCAACACGUCCUGGGGCUGGUAUUCGUUGUUUCGGAUGCGGAGUUAUAGGCCACAGGCAGUCUGAGUGCCCAAAGAAUCCACGCAGGGGACUCUUUGUUGAUGAGGGAAAUGAUGAUUAUGAAGGUCCGCCUGUAUUUGACGGUGAGGGCGGAGAAGAAGCAACAGAAGAGGAAGAGUUUGUGGUUGGUGAUGUGGGUCAGGCACUGGUGGUGAGGAGGAGUUUCCUGAUUCCUUUGGAGAAUAACACUGAUUGGUUGCGUAAUAAUAUCUUUCAAUCAACAUGUACUGUUGGAGGGAAGGUGUGUAAAUUUGUUAUUGAUUCUGGUAGUUGCGAGAAUGUGGUGGCUGAGGAGGUCGUUAAGAAGCUGGGUUUGCAGACUGAGAAACAUCCCAAACCUUACAAAUUAGCCUGGCUGAAAAGAGGCAAUGACGUAGAUGUGUCUCAACGUGCUAGGAUCAGCUUCUCCAUCGGACCUGCCUACAAGGAUCAGGUCUUAUGUGAUGUAGUAGAGAUGGAUGCGUGUCAUUUACUAUUAGGGAGGCCAUGGCAGUUUGACAGGCACUCACUGCAUGAUGGAUAUACCAACACGUACAGCUUUCUGUUUGGGGGAAAGAAAAUUGUGUUACUACCGGAUAAGGGUUCAGUACAGACAGUUGGGAACAAUGCCAAUUUACUGACCAGAAAGAAGUUCGAGACAGAGAUGGAGGAGUCUGGGGUAGUGUAUGUACUGAUUGGAAAGUCGGUUGACAGUGAGCAUGAAGUCCCUCUCACAGUUCAGCCAUUGCUAAAGGAGUUUCAUGAAGUUUUCCCAGAAGAGCUUCCUGAUGGACUACCACCACUGCGGGAUAUUCAGCAUCAGAUUGACUUGGUGCCUGGAGCUGCCCUACCUAACUGAGCGCAUUACAGAAUGAGCCCCACUGAGCAUGAAGAGUUGCACAGGCAAGUUGAGGAGCUUCUGGCAAAAGGACACAUCAGGGAGAGUCUUAGUCCUUGUGCUGUUCCUGCUCUUCUCACACCAAAGAAGGAUGGCACGUGGCGCAUGUGCGUGGAUAGUAGGGCAAUUAAUAAGAUUACGGUGCGUUACUGCUUUCCUAUUCCCCGCCUAGAUGACUUGUUGGAUCAGCUUACCGGUGCUUGCGUGUUUAGCAAGCUUGAUUUGAAGAGUGGGUACCAUCAAAUUCGGAUCAGACGUGGGGAUGAGUGGAAGACCGCAUUUAAGACGAGGGAAGGAUUGUACGAGUGGUUAGUCAUGCCCUUCGGCCUCUCAAAUGCGCCCAGUACAUUUAUGCGGGUUAUGAAUCAGGCUCUUCGCCCAUUCAUCGGUAAAUUUGUUGUGGUCUACUUUGAUGAUAUUUUAAUUUAUAGUGCUAAUGAUGAUGAACAUGUCCGGCACCUUCGAGAAGUUCUUUCAGUUCUUCGCAGGGAUAAAUUCUAUGCUGCAGUGAAGAAGUGUUCCUUUCUCACUGAUAGUGUAGUGUUCCUGGGUUAUGUGGUGUCGAAGGUGGGGUUAGCAGUUGAUACAUCUAAAGUAGAGGCGAUAAGUCGAUGGCCACAGCCCAAAAGUGUCACUGAGGUGCGGAGUUUUCAUGGCCUUGCUUCCUUCUAUCGCAGGUUCAUACCGCAUUUCAGUAGCAUCAUGGCACCAAUUACAGAUUGUAUGAAGGAUGGUAGGUUUCAGUGGACUCACGAGGCAGAGUCAUCUUUCCAAUUGAUUAAGCAGAAGUUGACUACUGCCCCAGUUUUGGUGCUGCCUGACUUUACCCAACCAUUUGAGCUGCAUUGUGAUGCUUCGAAAGUGGGUAUUGGUGGUGUGCUGAGUCAGAACAACCGCCCUGUUGCAUAUUUCAGUGAGAAGCUUUCUGGGUCAAAGUCUCGGUACAGUACUUAUGAUGUGGAGUUCUAUGCAAUAGUCUAGGCCAUUCGACAUUGGCGUCACUAUUUGUUCCAUAAGGAGUUCAUUUUGUAUACGGAUCAUGAUGCCCUUAAACACCUUGGUACUCAGGAUAAGGUUUCUGCUCGACAAGCCUCUUGGAUUGCUUAUCUACAGCAAUUUACUUUUGUGAUCAAGCACAAGGCAGGUGCCCUUAACAAAAUUGCGGAUGCGUUGAGUAGGCGCCAAACGCUCCUUACAGAAAUGCGAGUAGAGGUUCCAGGUUUUGACAGGGUGUGUGAUUUAUAUGCUACUGACCCAUAAUUUUCCCAUGUUGUCCAGAAGUUCCAGGAGGGUGUGCAGUCGGAGUUUACAUAGGUUGAUGGUUUUCUUUUUCAUGGAAAUCAGUUGUGUGUUCCAGAGGGCAGUUUGAGGUUGAAGAUCAUUCAAGAGUUGCAUAAUGAGGGCCAUGUGGGUCGUGACCGAACAUUGCAGCUUGUUGCUGCUUCUUACUUUUGGCCAUCAUUGCGCAAGGAUGUCAGCAAGUUUGUGGAGCGUUGUCGGGUUUGUCACUUGGCCAAGGGCAAGGCGACCAAUGCGGGCUUGUAUAUGCCCCUACCUAUCCCAACCCAGCCUUGGACAGAUGUGAGUAUGGAUUUCGUUGUGGGACUUCCCAGGACCCAGCGUGGUUUUGAUUCAAUCUUCGUAGUGGUUGAUCGGUUUUCAAAAAUGGUACAUUUCAUCCCCUGCAAGAAGACUACAGAUGCUGUCAAUGUAGCCUUAUUGUACUUUCGUGAAGUUUAUCGCCUUCAUGGACUGCCUACAUCUAUUGUGUCCGAUCGGGAUACUCGUUUCCUCAGCCACUUUUGGCGCAGCCUAUGGCGCUCUGUGAAUACACGGCUGGACUUCAGCAGUGCAUAUCAUCCUCAAACAGAUGGUCAAACAGAGGUUGUUAACCGUUCCUUAGGUGAUUUACUACGUUGUUUGGUUGGUGAUCACAUUAAGUCUUGGGAUCAGAAGUUGUGUCAAGCAGAAUUUGCUCACAAUCAUGCUGUUAACCGAAGUACAGGUUUUAGUCCGUUCCAGGUGGUGUAUGGCCUUGUUCCUCGUGGUCCUCUUGAUCUAGUUCCAGUUUCUACUUCUGUUAAAAUGCAUGGUAAGGCCGAAGACUUUAUUCAACAACUGCACCAGGUUCACUCACAGACUCAUGAUCAGUUGCAGGCUGCUGUCGCUGAAUAUAAGCGUGUUACGGAUCUCAAGCGCAGACAUGUUGAGUUUGAGGUAGGUGACUUUGUUUGGGCGAUGUUAACAAAGGAUCGUGUUCCUGCUCAUGAAUACAACAAGCUUACUGCGAAGAAGAUUGGUCCGUUGGAGGUCAUUGAGAAAAUCAAUCCAAAUGCUUACCGUUUAAAGCUGCCCAGCCAUAUUCGUACCUCCGACGUGUUCAAUAUCAAGCAUUUGGUGCCAUUUCAUGGUGAUAAUUCUGGUGAUGAUGAUGAAGCUCCUUUCCCGUCAAAUUCAAGGGCGAAUUUUUCCCACCUUGGGGAGAAUGAUGAAGUGCACAAGGGAUUAGAGUUCAUGGCAAAAUGGGACCAUCACAAGGCAAAAGUUGGCAAAAGGGGCAAAUGAUUUCAUGAUGACUUUGGGUUUGCUCGUUUUUGGCAAAUCACUAGUCUAAUUUGAUUGGAGCCGAGCCAAGGAAUAAAACUCAGCGCCUUUGGCCCUGACGUAAGACCAAUUUCGGGCAAAAUCCAUCGUUUAAGCUUUCGUUUAAUCGUUUUUGCUAUUUAUGGUAAUUUUCAUUUUUGCAAUAUCUCUUUCCAUGAAAUUCGGAAUUAGAUUCCGUUUGUUGGAGGGUGAUCCCGAAGAUAAGUAUUUUCCAUCUUAGUAAUUAUCUCAUAUUUUCCAUUUUUGGAAAAAAAUAUCUUUUAUUUUAUUUUAUUUUAUUUUCCGAAUUUUCCUAGGUUUUUUUUCUAUUUAAUCAGUUGUAAGCCCUUAGAGGCAGUAGUUCUUGAAUUCAAUAAAAUCUUCCUUGAGAGUUUUCUCAAUUUGUGAUUGUUCAUCUUCCCUAUAAUAUUUUCGCUACGUCACUUUCUAUAAUUUCCUUGUUUUCCAGAUCAUCUGCCAUACACUUCAGCACUGCCUAUUGUUGUGGGUUUUAUAUUCUGGCAAGAUAUAGUUAUUCAAUUAUUAAUGCUGAAACUGGCAGAUUUACAUUUCCUAUGGAGGCCAUUCUUGACUAGCCAACAUUUUGUUACUCUAUGUGAAGACAUAAUUAGUCAGUACUGCAAUUUCCCUCCCAAAAAAUGACACUUUAACUCUAUUGUUUGAAUUAAAAAUGAAUGAUUACUUAAACUACUUAUAAACAUUAUAAAAUUUCAAAUCAAUCAUCAUAAACUCUAAUUCAGAGACAAAUAGGUCACAAUGAGAAAUGAACCAAUACCUCGAGCGAUUAGGACAACAAGAGGUGAGAAUAACAAGAUGGAUCUUAUAAUGGCGUCCUGAAAAUAGCACAAAGAGAGAGAAUCAAUUUGUUAAUUACAACAUAACUGGCAAAAGUCAAAUGAUAGUCAAAGAAAAUAGAUCGGCGAGUCUUUGAUAGAAAAUAGCAUAUAUAUUGUAGAAACUUUUCACAACAAGACCAAGGGAGUUUAAAAUAGAACCACAUUGAUGGACUGAUCAUGCCUAGGCUUUGGACAACUUUGACAAGCAAGAGAGUCACACUUCGAAAUUUAUAUGAUAAGCUCAUGAAGCUUUUAAUCACAUAAAAUGCAGAUAUAGACACCCUGCUAGAAAAGGGCAACAUAGUUAGUUAUGUAAUUCUAACACAAGCAAUGGAAUAAAUAAUGGAAUACCUCCUAAAUAACUAUAUGAAACCCAGAAAUAAAUAAUUACUCUAGUGUAAAGAGUAGCUAGUGAACUAAAACUCUAAUCCAUGAAACCAAUUUCUUAUGCAUCAUUCUUACAUUCUAUAAUAAUAUACUCUAAAACAAGAAAUGUGAGCUUGUUAUCUGGUUAAAAAUUGUGCUCAAUUCUUUCAUUUUUUGUAUCAUUUGAUCUCUUAAUAAAUUCAAGAAAUUAAAAUAGACCAAUCAAUGAUAGUAUCAUUAAAAUUCAAACUUUACAAACAAACUACUUGCAAUGACAAAGCAUAUAGAAACUCAUAAAUGAUUACCCACCUAAUCUUUUAGAGAUUGCAGAACAUCCCCAAUCAUCUCCUUCAUCAAAUCUAACUUCUUAUAGUAGAGCUCGACCUCCUUUAUCAUAAAUUUUUCCCAUUUUGCCUCAAUGUUUCCCGAAUUGCUACUCCCCUUCAAGGUGCAGUUCUUCUUGACCAUAUCUGGUGCAAUGAAUCCAAUAUUUUGAUUGAAUGACGGAUGUAUUAAAGGAUGCUUUAACUCCAUAUUGAUAUCGACUUCAUCCUCAACAGUGCCUUUCUUCUUUUUAUCUUCUUUUUUGGACCCAAACUCCACCCUUCUCCGCUUUCUUGUUUUCUCACUGAUUUCUAUGAUUAGCUUUUUAUCACACCCAUCAUUUCCCCAAAGUUUAUUGGAAAGCUCAAAAACAAUUGAGUCGUGACGAUUAGAGAAAUCCCCGGGGGCCCCAUUCUCUGUAGUUUUCUUGAAGUUUCCUACAAACUUUUUCCUGAGCCUUCAAAGUUUUUCAGUGAUCUGAAUCUUUGUAAACUGAGUGUCAAGUUUGUCCUUGAUGAAAAAGUAAAAAUCAGUCAUGUUUUUAUCUCCGUGCAUACACUUGAAGUCGAUCAUACCUUGAAGCAAAACAAUGACAUCUUUGUCCGUGAAAAUCUGGCUAAAUGAAACUAGGGGUUUCUUCCUAUUAGUUUCUUGAAUGUCAGUCUCAAGAGGAUUUUCUGUGGGGUUCAAGGAUUCAACAACCGUGAUGACUUUUUUUUUUUGGAGGUUUUGAAAAUCAAAAUCAGAGCUGGAGGCUUGUUUGCCCUCUUUUUGUCCAGCUUCUGUGAUCUGAUUCUCGCCCGCUAACGCUUCUUUAAUUUUAGAAUUGGGAUCACAGAUGUAAUCACCUUGUUCUUGAGUCUUCUCUAAUACAGCAUGUGAUUGUUUUCGUUGGUCCGCUUGAUUGUGAAUUCGCAAGGCCGUUAAUUUGUCCAACGCUGGUUCAUGGCCCUCUUUUUCUCCAGCUUCUGUGGUGGUCUGAUUCUCAUCAAACAGUGCAAUUUCUUGAGCUUUUGAAAUGGGAACACACGUAGAAUCAUCUUCCCGUUCUUGUGUUUUCACCAAUGCUUCUUCUAAGUGUUUUUGUUCUUCAGAAAUAGCAACAUCUUCAUCCAUUAUAUUAAUUUUUUGGGCUGCAAAUAUCAGAAAUAUUUAAAAAAAUUACCUUUUCUGCAGAUAAUCAAGCAGAUAAUUGGUGUCAAAUACAAACAAAAUAAAGUUAAGUUUCCUCUUCAUUUAAGUCAGUUUGAUAAAGGCAAAAAUGAAUAAGUUAGCCCUAAUGUCCUGAUGAUUAAUAUGUGAACCCCAUCUUGUUGACAUAUUCUGCAGUCAAUUAUUCUAAGACUUUAAGAUACAAGAGCAACUACAUAUAUUAAGUUUUCAAGACGAACUAAAGAUAAACAAUAUCAAGAAGAAAGAAGAGGCAUAUAAUCAAAACAAGUGCAGAAUAUGCAUUGAUGAGAACAAGAAAAAAUGCCAAUUGGAGAUGUUUGGUGAUGCCUAAAAGCGUCUGCUAAAAUAAUUUUAAGAAAGAUAAAGGGCCUAUUCAAUAGCAUGGUUGGAUUACCUUCCUUCCCCUAAACAACUUAAAGAAACAAACUUCUAGAUGAAGUUUCUCGACUGCAAGUGAAAAGCCAAAAGUUUAUACAGAAAUUCCUACUAUUUCACUACCUAUCAUCUCUAUUCAUUAAGCAAGAAAAACUCUCCAUGAAUCUUAUUCAAAACUCUUCUCCUACAAGAGAAGCAGAUUAUUUCUGUUGAUACUUCUAGAAAAUCCAGAAAAGAAGCCAAAAUUGGUUGUUAAACUAGACCACACAUGUAAAUUGUUCAAUAUGCAAAAGGGUUUGAAUAAUCAAAAUUAAGUUGAAGAAUAUUAUAUACUUACAGCCCUCAGAAGCAGAUGAUGAUGAGGAAGAAUGGAAUACUAAUUUUUUGGACGCCAAAGCCAUAACCACCUAGCUUCCAAAUCUCUUGUUUUCUUCUUCUUUUCUUCUAGGGGGAAUCAAUGGUUUACCAGUGAAGGGAUCUAAACUUUUUACAGAGUCAUCAGAGAUAGAAUUCUUCCGUGUAUUUGUUCCUUGAAACUUACGCUUACCAUUAGGCGGAUAGUAAACCUCAGUGGCUGUCAAGUCAAAUACAUGCACAUUAAAAUUUGAAUUUCCAGUGUAUUUGAAGAGUAAAAAGUAGCCAUAACGGACAGAAUCAAUAGAAUCAGUAAGUCUAACAACAUUGGAGAGUUGAUGACCUUAUCUUUUAACAAAUUUGUUGAGGAUCUUCCGCACAAAAAUACAUUAUAAUUUAUUAUAUAUACAAGCAAAAAAAUGCAGAAAUUUCAUCCGACUAAACCCUAAACUUUAUAUCAUUUCUACAAGCUGAUAUUUCAGUUAGCAAACUACCCCAAUAGGCAAAUACAAGAAUCUCAUUAAUAAUUAAGAAGAUAUGAAAAUUACCAGUUUGUGAAGGGAAGUGAUUGAGGGCAAAAUAACUUUGAAGAAUCUUCUUCUAAAUGCAUUUUUGUUGCUUUGUGUUUCAUAUUCCUGGUAAUAUUCAUGGUGUUUCGAAUUUUGUUGGAACUCUGUAAACCCCUUUCGAAUUGAAUGAUUCAGUGUGAAAAUCACACUCAUCCAGACGAAGAGUCAAGCCUUAAUUAUGCCUUACAGAUAAUUAGUGUCAAAUAUCAAUCGUUAUUGAUGUCUGUCCCACUGCUCUAUGAGUCUAUGUUCAGUAUAAAUCUUAAUUUUAUAUUAUUUUGUAUUCAAUCCAUUUGAAUUUAUAAUUAUUGCUAUUCUCAAAAAAUUUAUUGAUAUUGGGAAACUGGUGCCUUCAUUAGUACUAUUCUGAGUGUCAAAGGGCUUCUUGAGUAGAAUUUGUUCGCCUGUAAUUAUUACUAAAAUAUGUGGUUGCGUACAUGAGUUCAAAAAUGAGAGAAAGUUAAGAACCUUCAUUAGAAUUAACACGUGGAUAUAACUAUUUUAUUGAUUUUACAAAUAAGUUAAAAGCAAAAAAGGUCUAUUCAUUUUUUCCAACUUUUAUUAAUUGAAAAAGUAUCUAUUCAUUUACUUAUACUAGUGGUAAGCACGUGCCUUACACGUCUUCUAUGCGGCAUGAAUGAUAUGCAUAGUAUUUUUAAAGUAGGACACUUGAUAAUGUUAAAAGAAAAAAUUAAAAUUGUUAAAGAAUAUACAUAUAAAAAAAGUUUUGUGAAAAUUACGUACAUAAAGUGAAAAUGUUGAAUAAAUUGAAAUAUAAUGAUUUGUUUAGGACAAAGGCAUCGACCAAUUUUGUGGUACAGACAUACAAAGAAAAAUCAAAUUAAAAGAUAUACAUUUGAUUAAGUUUAAAAUGUUUACAUAUAAGUAAACUAAUAAUUUUCAAAUUAAAAAAAUUACUCAUACUAUCUGUACCAUAAACUUUUUUCCUAUAAAAAAAAAAAGGAAAUAAAAGUCUAUUAUCUAAACAUAUUUAGAAACAAAAAAUUACAUAUUAAUCAUGCUCAUCAUAUUAAUCCAUAGCAUUUAUUUUAAAUUAGAAACCAAAGUUACAUCCAAAAUAGAUAUCGUAGUGAAAAAUCUUAGACAAAAGUUUUCCUUUUCUUUUGAAUGGGAUUAAUACAAAUGGGGGAAUAAAAAUUCUUCAUUUAAAUGUACCAAGAUAAAAAUAUUUUCUUUUCUUUAUAUAUUUAUAUAUAGUAAGUAACAUGAUUACCAUGAAUUUUUAUGCUUAUACAAAAAGGAACACGCAAUAAUAAAUAUUCAAUACUAUAUUAAUUAUUUUUUAGAACACAUAAUAUAAAUUUUUAUUAAUGCUUAAAAAAUUGGAUUUAGUGAAAAUGUUUAAUUGAGAGGUAAAGCUUGUAUUUAGCGUGUAGAUAUAAAUAUGGGAAGUGUAAGUAACUUCCAAUUGUUAGGAGUAAUUAGUAAGGUUUUUAAGAUUGAUGAAUAAUUUCUCCCAUCAUUGAUUCUUUCCCUCCUAACUGUUGAUCACAUGUAAGCACUUUUUUCUUUUCAAUUUAUCGCCAUUUGUAUUUAAAUAGUUGUAUUAUCAACUAUUAAUUAAUUACACGUGAAAUUUAUAAUUUUUGAAUUAAAAUAUUAAAAAUGUUAUAUGAGGACAAAAUGAUAAAUUGAACAUUUCUCAUCCAUCUCCACAUUUUAUUUUUAUAUAUAUUGUAAUUAUAAUAUAAUUAUAUAAUUAGAUGAAUGUUGAUUUUAAGUUAAACUCACGUAUAUAAAUAAUAAAUAAUAAAUAAUAUAAUAUAUAUACAUGUACGUAUAUAAUAAUAUUAUAAUAUAUUAAAGAUGGCAUAAUUAAAAAUUGAUUUCACGUAGUCUCUUUUUUUAAGUAUAGAAUUCAUUUUUAAUAUUAGAGUACUCAUAGUUUUGGGUUAACUAAAUUAAGUUUAAUCACUUAAAAUCAAAACUCGUGUACAUACAUAAUUAUAUUAAAAAUAUAAUAAAUAUUAUUUUAUUUGAUAAUUAAUCUACCAUUAUAUUAAUGCAACAUUUGAUUUAUUUUAUUGUAUAAUUAUAAUAAAAUUACGUCUAGAUUUUAAGUGGUAAAAUUAAUUUAAAUAAUGUAAGUUAAGUAAUUAAACAUAAUUUCAUUAAUAUAAAAUUUAAGUGCUCCAAUAUAAAACAAUAAAUAUUACACUUAAUGGACAUUAAAUGAAGUUAAAUUAUAUUAAAUGUUACUAUAUUAAAUAUAUAAGGGUAGAAUUGGCAUAUGGCUAAAAAUAUAAAGGAUUUUUAUUAAGAGCAUUAAUUCAAUUUAUUCAACAUGAAAUUGAAAAAUGGGUAUUGUUUAAGGAACUCAAAUGAUGGCCUUAAAUAACCAUUUAUAGAAAUUAAAAAUAUUUUUUACUUUAAUUAAUAGCAUUACAUUUAAAUGGAUACUAAAUGAAGUUAAAUUAUAUUAAACGGUACUAUAUUGAAUAUAUGAUAAUAGAAUUGACAUAUAACUAAAUAUGUAAGGAUAAAAUUGAUAUUCAAAAGCUUUUCCUAGCGUUGGACAUGGUCCGGUUCGAUUCGGUUCUAACGAGAAUCGAACUGACCUGAAAUUUUCGGGUAUUUAGUAAGUGGAAUCAUCGGGUCCAAAUUUAAUUAUGAAACCGUUCAGGUUCGGUUCCAUUCGGUUCUGUAUUAUAAUUAAAUUUUUUAAUAUAUACAAAGUUACAUUAAUUUACUUAAUGAUAUGUUCAAUAUUAGCUCUUACAAAAUAACGUAGUCUAAUUUUAUGUGUCUUUUACGUCUCUCUUUGCUGAAUUCUUCAUAAAUUUGAUUAUUAAAAUCAUAGGAAGAGAAAGAUAGCGAGCUCAAAAUAAUUAAGAGAAAUGUUGUAGAACUUUUAUUCGAUUUUCUCCAGUAGGAACGACACUAUAGUAGAGUAACAGAUUUGGAUAAAAUUGAGAUCAAUUUGAUUAAGUUGAUUUUGAACUAAAAAUUAGAAAUAGAAAAAUUAUAUUUUGUAAUUUGAACUAAAUUAACUAGUUAACAAAUUUAUUUAGAAAAAAUAAAAUAAUUUUGCUUAUUUAAAAUAAAUAAAUUUAAAAAAUUGAGGAGAUUCGGUUUUUAUUCGAUUCUUCGGGUCUUGACCGAGAAUCAGAACCGAACUGUACCCGUCAGUUCUUGAUUCAAAUACCCCUUCGGGUAUUUAAUUUGAGAAGAACCGUCGGAUUCGGUUUUGUUUGGUUCGGUUCGGUUCGGUUCGGGUUCGAUCAGUUCGAGAGUUUUGUCCAGCCCUAGUUUUUCCUCAAUGCAUACUUUUAAUAUAUGGUAGAUGAUAUGUAAAUACUUACAGGAAAGCUUUCGAGCUUACCAAGUAUGCAUUAAAAGUUAUAGACGUUAUUAUUUUUUAAGUGCAAAAACUAAAAGUUGUAUUUUAGACAAACGGGUUUGGAGAUUAUUUUAAUUAAUAUUUCGUUUGAGUAAAAUAAAAAAUAUAUAUAGAAAUAUAUAAAAACCAAGAUAGCCGAUGCUAUAUAUUAAUUCAACUUACGUAAACAUGUAGUAAAAAUGUUAAGUAAAUAAAUUUUCAAAAAUGUUCCAAUGAGUAAGAAAGAGGAAGAUAGCUAAAAAAUGGUUAAAAAAUCGUAUGUAAAAGCAUACUAAAAAUGGAAAGGGCAUACAAUAAUAAUUUUGGCUAGAAAACUUAUAAAAUUUUUACACUUAGAUUAUAGAUAAUGAGCUUAGGUGACCCCGAUUUUUGCAAUGGCAACGUGGACAACAGAUGUCGUGCCCGCUCGUGCCUAUGCGAGCAACUUUCGACACGUUAUGAUUGGAAUAACCAAUUGAAGGAUCUCUAGCUGCAACGAAUGUAGAUAUGGUCAAUCGCAUCUCAUGCUAAUGUAAAUGGGCCAAAUGUUGAUAAUGAACGGAGCUCCAUGCCCAAGAUGAGGCUUUUUUGAUUAAUAGGCCCAAUUAAAUUAAAUAGGCGAUGCCAUGUCGGUCAAUGUGAGACUUCCUCCAUCACACGCAUGCUACGUAAUUUAUAGAUGUAACAAUAGUCCCCUAAGUUUGAGUUGUACAUUCAUAUGCGAGUCGGGCUUCAAAAUAUAAGUAGUCAACUAGGUGAGAUCUUACAAAUUGUCUAAAAAAUAUGAGCAGCUCCAAUAUGAGGACUCACGGACUACCUUAAAAAAUCCGUGCAAGCUUUAAUAAGUGGGGGCCUACAGACUGCCUCGAAAGAUAGAUAUCACAUAUGAUUUGUCAAUAAUUGAUUUGAAUCAUAAAAUGACUAUUGAAUAUCACAUAUGAUCAAUUGGAUGCAAUUUGGAGUGUCAAGUGAGUGAAAUAGAGUUGAAGUAUUUUCACCAAUCAAUUUUCAACCGAAUAAGUUAUGCUUUAAAUUUUUAGCCUCAAUUUAAGACCCAUUUUUUUGGAUAGCAAAAUUUCAAAUUGAAAAUAUUGUAUUUCAAGAAGAAUUGUAGCUCUUUCAGCUAGAUUUCCCUGGAAGAAAUGAGAGAUAUAUCUCAAGCAAAAUUGGCUAUUAACUAGCAAAAAAUGGUUAGGUAUUAUAACUCUAAAGUUAAGAAAAAGUCAUUUUCGCUCGAACGACCUUGUGAUACAAAAAGUGUUCCUAUCUUCUAAAUAGUCGGGAGUGGGAACCCCAAGCCCUAAUUGGGAGGGUCCUUAUCGAAUCAAGGAAGAGGUUUGAUCAGAGACCUAUAAAAUUUUAAGUAUCGAUGGAAGGCGCAGCCUCAUCCAUGGAAUGCAAAGCAUCUACGAAAGUACCACCAGUGAAAUUGUAAAUGAAUUUUAUGUACGAUUUGUUUAAAUUUAAAUGAAAGUUCCAUAAUAAAAAUUUCUGUUUUACGGAAAAAAAUACUUCUCGUUAACUAAAUUAUGGGAGAACCAUCUGCAUAGAUGAACUGUCCCCAUGUGGAGAAGUGUGGCACCUUGACGAUGAGGUGUAUCCUAUCGAAGGCAAGAUAGCUUGGAGAUAUUAACACCUCCACCCAUGGUUAGAAUUGGCGAUUAGAGCAUUUUCAGUAGGUUCUUUAAAUAUUUAAUUUAAAAAUUAACCUUUAAAAUUAUGUUCUAAGAGACUACUUAAAUUAAUAUUUUAAAAUAAAGAGAGUUUAUCUCUCCAAAUUUAGUGUGUCAAGCUCACUCUCUAUAAUUAAAUACACUCAAAGUGCUUCAAUUUUCAUUGGAAAAAAUAAUAUAAUAAUUUCAAGGAAAACUAGGGAAAAUAGAAUAUAAGGAAAAAUAAUAAAUAUUUUUUCGAAUAUUACUUAAAAAUAUUUACACUCUAAAUUAUAAAAUAUGCUCUUUAAACAUAAAGAGUCUCUUGAAGAUACUUUUAGCCAACCGAAAUGUGCAAACCAUUUUACAACCCCUACACUAUUAGUAGUAUUUUCCAUUCAGAAAUAAAUUUUUAUACAAGUAUGAUUUUUCUUAUAAAUAAUAUUUUAAUUAUAAAGUAAUUUUUUACUUCAACUAUUUUUAUUUGUAGGUUAAUUUUGAACAAAAUAUGUUGAUUGACAAUAAUUAUUUAUAAGGAAUAAAAUUGGAAGAGAAUAUGAGACAUGGUAAAAAUCUAUCGAUUUGAUGGAUUUCAUAAAAGGUGCCAUGGAUUUAAACAGUGAAAAAAAAAAGACAAAAAAAACCUCCAAAGCAAGCUUUUGAAGUUUAUUUAUGUAGUGUGUGCUUUGCAGCAAUUACUUGAGAAAAUGGAAUUUCCUCUACAAUCAUGUUUUGGUGUAGUCAUGUCAAUUUUAAGUCAUUUUUAUACCCUGCUAUCUCAUAGGUAAUACCUCGUCUUCCAAUUUUACCCCUACUUCAGUAAUCACCUAGCAACGAUGCUUCCACUUGCAACAGUUUAAGAUCCGUUUCAUUUUGUCACAAUUUUUUAUACAUGUUUUAGCGUGCAAUUCUUAUUUUUCACUACCCCUUAAAAAUAAACAUUGAACAACCAAAUAGAAAUAUCUAUUUUCCAUUUGAAAUCUUAAUUCUGCUUAUAAUGUAAGAUGAAGUCGCACUAUACAACGAGUGCCAAAACAAACAAGGCCAGUCCUGAGAUUUUGGAGACCUUAGAUCAAUUUUAAAUAUGGGACCAUAUAUAUAUAAAAAUACAUGUAAAAUAAAAAAUAAAUAAUUUUUUUUGGAUCCUCACCAAAGUAGAGCGUUAAGCGAUCGCCUACCUCAUCUAUAAUUAGGGCAAGCACUGUAAACAAAUUUGGAAUGCUUAUCUUAGUUGAUGCAACAUGUAAUCUCGUAAUUGUUUCCACGACAUGUCUUCAUCGAUCAUCGCAUCCAAUUCAGCUGCAAUUUUAUCUUCCUCAUCGUGGAGGUCUAUCUCCAAUUCUUCGUAAUCUGGCUCUUACACUUUAUGGAAUGCUUCUUCAACAUUCUCAUUUGUUUUAAGAAAAUUGUGGAUAGUCCUUGUUGCAAAAUGACCGUUGUUUGAGCUCGAAACGAGUAGCUAGGCAUCCCAUCAAGGAUAUUCCAUCAUUAUUUUCACACUCCAAAUGACCUCUUAAUAACGUUUCUACUGGAGGAGUGAUGAUUGAAUUUUUGUCGGGUGUUACGAAACCUACACCUUUUUAGAUUUGUCUCAUUAUGGAACUCUUGAAAAUAAUAUAUGAUAUCUUAACCUUUACCAGGUGCCAUAUAUCCUACUCGAUGUGUAAAUAUUUGCCAUGCACGGGCUACAAAAAAUUAAUGUCUGGACUAUGUAUUGUAGUAGCCAAAAUACGAUAAUAGUGUCUAUUUCUAAUAUGUGUUCCAUCAAUGGUUCUAACUAUCCUAUUUAUGUUAUGAAUGAAUCCAAAAAACAGUUUCCAAUUGUCAAGAGCAUGAUAUAUUAAUAAAUACAGAAAAAUGAAACUCGUGCAAUUGUGUUAACUUGAAAAGAGGACAUUCUUCUGCGUUUGGAUGGUGAUGUGCUGCACAUUUGGAUAUGAUUUAAUGAUACUUCCAGGAAGCAUAACAAUAACACGAAGAACAGUCUUAAUUUAAUGACUAAUUAUCUGCAACAAAUGUCCGAAGAAUGUUUGAACUUAUCAAUAUCCUUUGUCGUAUGCUAAUACACACAGAAAUAUGCCAAUUUGUUUGCCUGACAGAGAAAUGCAUUGUAUGGUCAGCAAAAGAAAUUGGAAGUUAGCACUAAUAUGGCACAUAAAUUUUGCAGAACAAAUUGGAAGUUAGCAGUUGAAAUGAACACGAAAUCACGGCAUAAUAUGGCACAACAUAUUUCAAAAAAAUUUCAACAACAUAUGGCAUUAUAGUUGGAACUUAAAGUGUUAACCAAAGAUCAUAAAGCCGUCAUAUCCAAAAUAGAAAAAUGAAGUAUUAGACUAUAAAAAAAAUAGCAUAUUCAAUGGCGGAGCACCUCGAUCUUCCUUUCCCAUCAAUCAUCGUAUGCCAUAAUUCGAUUCCUGUGCAAUUGCUUGUGCUUUGUUGUACUUGUUACCAAUAGUCGAGCUUUCUUCUAGCUUGAGGCUUGAGGUCUUCUAUUUUUAUUGCUUAUUUAGUUAUUUAUUUUGAGAGCUUUAGUAGAAUGGGACCUUAAUUAUUAAGGUUCGAAAUUGUUGGAACAAAUCAUUUGCUUUAUCAAGAAAGAUUUAUUUUUCGUUGGACCCUAUUUUCAGUGUAUGAGUCAUUUGACCUUUGUAGGGUUAUUUUGUUGCUCAUUAUAUGAAAAUUGUGAAAUUGAUUCCCGCCUGUUAACUACAUAUAUUUGAAGUUUCCCACUCUUGGAGUGGACUCUUCCGCUUCCCACUGCAUAUAUAUACGUAAUAUACCAUGCUUGGUAACUUCAAUUAGAGAGAAUCUACUUCAAGUGAAAUGAAGGGGUCUUUGAGGAAUUACAUACGGAUGAAAGAAGAAUCUGGCAAAAGAAGAAAACUGCAACUGCUGGGAAGUAAAGCAUUAGUUAAAAAACAUAAUUCUAAAGGGAUAAACCUCGCCAAUAUUUCUCAUAGAACUACUACUUCCAGGUUAUAGUACUAUGAAUUAUUAUUGAAUUGACAGACAGAAAACUCUAGGCCGUCGCACUCAAUGCAGCAGAUGCAAGGGGUCGACUGGGAUGUUAUGUGGAGAUUGUCUAUACAUAAGGUAUGUUCGGUACAUCAAUGGAAUUCAAGUACAAAGUGUUGUAAUGCGGAAGUAGAAUUAAUCAGAAAUUAAAAUUUCUUUAAUUCAAAAACAAGAUCGUUUAGAUGUUCACGUGUAUGUUAUAACAAGAAUUAAAGAAUUUGAAUAUUUUACCCAAAUUCGAUGAUCCACCUUUGAAUUGAUUCUGAACCACGAACUUCCGUCUCUUUCAAUUGCAAGAAUCUUGGUGCUUCAAACCUUCAAGCCUUCUAUGGUAUUCUCCAACGGAAAAACUACACCGGCGUGUGGGCACCUUCUUUUAAUUAAUCAAGAAACUAAUUCUUGAAAUUGGAAAUCAAGAAAUAAAAUAUUUCUCUCUCUAAAUUUGAAUUCUAUGGAAUUAUAAUUGUUGUAGUCUUUUUUCAUUCAUCUAGUCUCUAUUUAUAGAGAAAAAGAUGAUACAAUCCUAGUACAAUUACAAUUCCACAUUCAAAUAGGAUUACUAAUUAAAACUCAAGAGGAGUUCUAAUUUAAGUCCAAUUCCAAUUAGUUUACAUUAAUUAUAUGUGUAGUCCUAGAACUUCAAUUACAAUUACAAUUAAGUUUUUAACUUUCAUAGUAAUUACAAUUAAGUACAAAACUUUAUUGUAAUUAUAAUUAAGCUCAAAACUAUUAUAAUUACAGUAAUUAAGUUCCAAUACUUUAUAGAGCUACCAUAGGGACCUGAUCGGACAUAUAUUAUCCAAGCUCCAAUAAUUAGAUCAUGUCUAGUCGACCCUAGACCACCCAAUCUAAUUAUUAAUCUUUGCUUUUUCCACUAAAGGCAAAAGACUGAAUUCUUGGAAUAUAUAAGAUCACAAAAGCCAUUAAAUCUGUAAUACUUUCCUCUAACCUGCUGUAUAUGUAUUUUAUCCCUGUUCGAGAUCCGAUAAUUAGGUACGAGCAUAAAUGACCGUUUUGCCCCUCUAAUUAUUCUCACUAACUUAAGUUUCAUUUUCUUCAACGGUCUUGUGAACUAAUCACAGAUAUCGAAGUUUAGCCGUUGCUAAACACUGAGCUCAGAUUUUAACCGUUCAACAGAAAAUACUUAAGUAGUCACUCUACCCAUCUGGGCGACGGUUCCCGACACGAAUUCAUGUUCUCUACUCCGCUCAUUCUCAAGUUCCCAACUCAUCGAGAUAUUUGACCAAUCAAAUUGAUCUCACCCAUUGAUGAAUCAAAGAACAAUUAAAAUUACGAAAAGAUAUAUAUAAUCCUGUCAAGGGAUUUGGAUGAAAUACACAGCGGUCUAGUGAAAUUUAAUUCUCCGCACGGUCAUGCCAUAGAAUUAAAUUCAACACGUGGUCCGUUCAAUACACCCCAAGGGUACUAGUGUCACCUUUUACUAUUUCUGUGAUAAGGACAAAUCACAAACCCGAAUAGUGAAUUGGUCAACACUACAACCUUCCAAUAUAAGGUGCCAACCCUUAUGCGUAGAUUGUGAACAAAUUAUUUAUGAUCAAAAUAUAAAUUGUGUCACACUGUACUUCUCAACGUAAGUACUCAACUCAUAUUAUCACAAGUGAUCAUAGGCACUUUAAUUUCACAUGCUCAAUAAUAAAUAAAUGCAAAAAAUAAAUCAAACAUAAUUUUAUUCAAUAAAAAUAUUGUUAUUUUUUACAUCAGCAAAACUAUACUAUAUGGGCACACAACCCAACACAAAGAAAUUAAUAUUUACGUAUUGGUACAGAUAUGGGGAGAAUAUAAUUGAAGCAAAUGAGAAUGGGAAAAGUUGGAUAUGCCCAGUGUGUCGAGGAAUAUGUAACUGCAGCAAAUGUAGAAACAAGAAAGGAUUGCCUCCUAUUCCUUGUAUAUAUUCCAAGGUAUGUAUCCUCCUUUUCUUAAUUUUCUUCCACGAUUAAUUUGUUUUGACUAAUAACUAAUUAAUUUAAUAUUUAAUUUGCAGGCGUUGAGAAAUGGUUGCAAGUCCGUGGCACACUAUCUUAUUAAAACCCACAUUGUUAGUAUCAGUGGUGAAGGAGAGACAACAAAAAAGGUCUAGUUAGAUGAGAAGAUUGGUGUCUCCAUUGUAUAAUAUAUUAGUGUUGAACGUCCAACUCAAUCGUAUAAUAUGUUACUAUCAAUGGUGAAGGAGAAAUAUCAAAUGUCUCCCAAAAAAAAUAAAUAAAUAAAUAGAUGAUGCAGUGUUUAUUUUGUGAAACAUAUUUUGUGAGCAUUAGUAGGAAGCAUUUUGCUUGUACAUUUCUAUGAUCAUCCAUCCAUCUCAAUCAUAAAAUAUAUUAGUAUCAAUGGUGAAGGAGAAAUAUUGGACGCAGUGUUUAUUUUGUGAAAUUGAAGCAUUUUGCUUGUAAAUCUCAUCCAUCUCCUAUCAGAUGAAUUCAUUUGUAAUAGCUCAUAUGAGAAAAUGAUGUUCAUUGAAUCUUAGUAGGAUGAUGCUCACUUCACGAUUCCAUUCCAAGAUCAAUCACCCAUAGAUUACAUCACCAUGAUUCAACUAAAUGAGAUGGCUUCCUGAAUGUAAUCUCCCGAGGAUGAUGAUACUCCAUUCAAUGUGCAAUAUGUUACUUUUUGUCAAAAUCUCACAAGAUGAAAUAUGUGAAGAGGUAGAAUCAAAAAGCCAUGUGCAUGUUAAGCUAUGUGAGGUGAUGGAACAACCAAUCUCAAAACUUAUUCCGAAAUAAAAUAAAUGGAUGAAAACAAUUUGAUCAAGUUAUCUGCAACAAAUUAUAUUUUAGUUCGUGAAACGUAUAUCACAGCUUUUUUUUAAUUUUUUUUUUCUUGGGUUAUUUGCGUUAAAAUAUAACUAGUUGAAAUACAUUUAUAAUUAGGGUUAAUAAUGUUCAGAAUUCCCAGUGUGAAAUACAUUUACUCUUCUAUUUAGCUAGAAAUCUUCUGUAAGUAUCUGAAGUGGUAUAUUGAAUUAGGGUAAUGGAAAGAAAUUAGAUUAUGAAGACAUGGAAAUUUGACUCAUGUAAAUAGUAGUGAAAGAAGCAAGAUGAGUGUCCACCACGUUCCUGAUGCGAGGAAAGAAUGACAAGAACCAAUGCAAACAUCAAUUAUAAAUUCUCUUCGAUAGCUUGUAAAAUUAGAGUAUACAUACAGACCUAUAGAAGAAAAUGAAUAAAUAUUGUUUUGCAAAAAAGUGGCCGUGUUGCUGCACUUAAGAUUCCACAAUUUUUGGGCUGCAAGAAUAAUUACAAAAUGAUUCUGAAGCAAUCGCAAGUGUACUGUGUCCAUUAAGCAAGUAGUAAAAUAAAUUUGAAAAGUCCAAAUUAUCGUUCGCACUAGAAUUAUGUAUCUAAUUAUUGAUUUAACUAUGUCUAACUUCUAUUCGAGUAAAAAUUUUUAAAAGCAAUUUAAAUUCAGACCAUAAACAUUAUGACUCUACAAAAAUAAUUAAAAAGUGUGAAAAUAGACAAUUUAGGAUUUUAACUGGUGUACAAGAAUUGUUAUGGUUCAUGAAUUCACCAUAACUAUCCCUUUAAUUUCAAUCACCAAAUUUCAACAAUAAUCAAUUAUGUGCAUCAUAUCGCAUUCUUCUAAUUUAAUUGAUUUACUUCUCUUGAUUUUAAAGCAAUCUUAUUCAAUUAAGUUAACUCACUAUAUCUUUACAUAAAACAGGGCAAGUCUUACUUAAGAGUAUACAAUCACAAAAAAUGACUGCAAAGUUAGCAAAGAUUUAUCUCUACCUUCUACCCAAGUUUCACUUUUUACUAGGGCUGCACAACGAAAUUGUCAAACCGCAAAAUCAAACCGAAAUUGUUGGUUUGGUUUCACAUAAAUCCAUCAAUGUUUUGGCUUUGAACCAAAUUAAACCAAUUCGAAGUGAUUUGGUUUAGGUUUCAAUCUUUACAAAUUGUUUCAAACCGUCAAACCGUUUAUCCAAAUAUAUAUAUAUAUAUAUAUAUAUAUAUAUAUAUAUAUAUAUAUAUAUAUAAUUUGAAAAUAAAUUAGUCUAAAUUUUUAUUUAACCUAAUUGAAACUUAACACAUUUCAAUUAAAAAUAUACAUUCAUAUUGGACAUAACUCAAUUCAACUCAAUUCUACAAUUAUACAUCUCAAUUAAAUAAUUAAAUCACAUCCAAAUACCCAUCAAUCAUCACAACUGUAAAUAUAAAACCCUCAAAUUGGACAAAAUGUUAAACAACUGCCGCUAAACCAUAUUCAUUGAUCCAUUAUUACAAUUGAGCAGACAAUUAAAUCUAAAUUUUAAUUCGAACUUACACAUUUCAUUUUCUUCUAUUAAUAAUUUUUGCAAAUUUUUCUUGAAUUCAAGUCAGAUUAUCCAAAUUUUCUUUUAUCUUUUGGUAAUUUUUUUAUGUCUUUAUUGGUAGUUAUGUUGUUUCGUUCUAAUAAUUGUCCUGCUUCCUUGAAGUAACUCGCUAAUAUUUAAAUUGAGUAGAAGUAUUGGAUGAUUCACAAAAAGUCACAGUAGUUAGAUAUUAUUGUAUUUGAAUUUUGUUGUUCAUUUUCUAUUAUUGUUGCCUACGCCUUGGCUCGGCUGGGUUGAUUCUGUCAAAAAUGCUGCUUGAACUCCUGGGUAUUUGUUUGGCUCGUAUGUAGGUGGAAAGUUAUUCUGGUUAUAUAGGACCUCAGUAGGUCGGCCUGAAGCAUAGUUGGAAGAAAUGUCAACUUCCACUUCCCUUUCAAUGGGAAUAUCACCCUAGUUGUACUCCAAUGUAGCAACCCUUUGGCUUUGGACCUCAUCCUCUUGCUAGUAUUUUUCUUGGAGCAUGUAGGAGGCAUAGGAAAACCCCCCUAGCCCUGCAUUUGGGCCAUGAGCUCUCUCAUGGCCAUAUUUUGGCUAACAAUGUCCCUCAUGUUUGUGGUCAUGGCAGCCAUUUCUCUAGAGAUUUGGGCACAUUCUUGUACCACUUCUAUGGUAAUGGUGGUGGGGCCUACGACGAGCUGCUGGGGGCUAUCCCUGCAUUUUCUCUUACCCUCCUGGUGGUAUAUCCUCAUCUGAGCUCAUUUUUUCUUCUAGAUUUCAACUUAUAGGGCUUUCUCUUGCUCUUUUUCAAGAACAAUUCCUUUUUCAAGGAGGAUGCCUGAAUGUUUAUUUCAGUUAGCUUUCACUACAUGAUUGCUCGUGGUUAUAGUAUGGUUUUCCAUAGACGGUGUUAAUCUAUUGAUCCUAAAAUAUGUUGCCAACAGAAAUUGGACCCACCCACGCACACGCAAGCCUAGUCCAACACGCUAAGACACGUGGACAGUCUGGAACGAGCAGAUUGAGGAUGUGAGAGCGGCUCAAAGGCGCGGGACAACAAUGUUCGAAAUUCGACGAGAUUUAUAUAAUGAUCGUAUAAUAAUUACCGAUCGUGGUUUGUAGAAUGUGUAUGUAAUCUUGAAUUAUCUUUGUAAGAGAGUGAGAGAGAGUAAAAGAGAGAAUAUUUGUUCUUGUAUUGGAUCUUGCAUUCGCCUUUGUAUGGGGUAUAUGGCGGAGUAUUUAUAGUGUUACAAGUUAGAUCUUGGCCCUCAGUUGGGAGUACACGUGGCCUCAUCUUGUUAGUUUACAUGUCAAAUUGUAGGAAUCAAGUUUGACCACCUAGCUUGCUAUACAUUUAUUAAUUGGCAGAGUCGCCGCUACUUUGACAAGACAAGACACUUGCAUUCUAUGAUGGGUGUCCCAUCAAUCAUUCAAAGAGGAUUCUUGUGUAAGAUCAGAUCUUUGGAGAGAAGUGAUACAAGUUAUCUUGCACUUCGGUUUCAGUAUAAUGGGCCUCGGUAUGAAGAGCCUCGGCCAUAUGCACCACUUCAGCUAUUGCAUUUCAGCAUACAAAAUAUGGGCCACGUCAUAGGAGCUGUUUGCUGGUGUUGUUCAAUCUUCAUUGGCUUAGGGGCCUCGCCUGAAAUGCCACGUGGUUCAGCAUGGGUGGGCCAGGGGCCCCAGUGGGUCUGCGAAAUGUAUCAACACAUAACACUCAUCUUGAGGGCCAUUUACAGUGCACUUCCUUUUUGGGGGAUAUAACUUAUGUGUCAAUACGGUUAACAUUUAUUUUAUGUUAUGGUUUUUUUUUUUUUUUGUUGAAAUUUAAGUGCAAAAGUUUUCUACAAGUUAUGUUUAUAAAUGAAGUCAACGAUGUUCAUUAUAUUAAGGAAAAUUUUUAUCAUUUCUCUGCAUUUAUGAUUUUAAGAGAAAAUGAAAUGAUAAUACUUCCAAAUCUAUGUAUCUAAAUUUGGGGGGUUUUACAGAUUCCUUCCUUCAUUUAUAAGAAAUCAAGGCAAAAAAGUCUAUCUUUAAUCAGGAAAAACAGCAAGGUAGUUUCAUCUCAAUCCUUGAAUUUUUAUUUUCGAAAAAGGGGAUUGAUAAGCUGUAAUCAAUAUAUCAAUAUCAACAUAAAUGCCAAAAGUAGAUAAAAUUUAUUUUAACACCAAUGAACUUCAUUGACAUCAUAACUUGAAAAUAAUAAUAAAAUUUUAAACAAUUUUGUGAGAUAAAAUACAUCAUCCAAAAUGAUUUAUUAACAACAAUGAGAUUUAUCAGAAGUACAAAUGAUUAAUUUAGAAUAUAAUUAGCCCAUCUUGCCUCAAGUAGUGGCAUCGCAUCACCUAACUCUCAUCAUCUGACAAAUGAAGAUGAAUAACAUGGAAUGAACGCUUAGUAAAUAAACAUCAUGCAUAUGAUUUACUUUAAAAUAAAAUAAAACCAAACAUUUCUCAACAUAUAUUCCCUUUUUCUUUCAUUUCUUUAAAAACCCUAAUAUUGAGAAUGUGAGCUUACUUUGUAUAUAGUCUAGCUAAUCAAAAUACAGUGAGCCAUGUCACCGCAUUGACAUACAACCCGUAACGAAAACAUUAUUUAGGAUACAUAUCCUUUUAAAAGAAGAUAUUCAUUCUCACCUUGACAUUAAAAAACUCUUAUUGGUAUGAUGAAUAAUCAUUAAAAAUAUUUAGACAUAAAACAUAAUGAUUGCAUAUUAAUUGUACAUAAAUACCAAUCUAGAUAGCAUAUAACUACAUAUAACAAAGUAAUAUAUCUUCAUAGACAAUUGAAAGUUUACUUACCUGAAAUCCGUAAAAGUUAGAUUUUAGAAUGACAAUUGGAGAUAUCCCCGCCCCCAAAGUUACCGUACCAAAAAAAUGCCCUAGUUCAUUACCAUUUAUUUAGAAAUUUCAACAAUAUCUUAAACAUCACUUCAGUCCAGACCGUGUUCUACUAAUUUUAUUUUAUUAAUGCAAAUAAAUUAAUAAGGCCCCUAAUUUAUAUUAUCAACUUAAAUUUAGUUCUACUAACUAAUGUAGAAUUAUGUUGUUCAACGUUGUAAUUUUAUAUAUAAUUUUACACAAAUAUACUCAUUAAGGAGGGGGAAUAUUUCAACAUGAGGUCCAGGCUGAAUUCAAAGUAAGACUAGUCAUAAGCUCAUAAGAAAAUAAAUAUAUUAUAUGUCAUAUAAUUAAAUUCGAGCUUAAUAACUUUAUAAACUCAUCAUAAUGAAAUUAAUAGGUAUCCAAGAUGCAUUCUACUUUAAGAACAUAGUUAGUCAUGAGGAAAAAUAAUUAUAUGAUUAAACAAUAAUAUAAUAACAACGAAUUUAAUGCGACUAGAUUCAAUAAUCACAUGGAACAAUUAUGCGGAAUUGCAAUUUUGGAAAGAUGAGUCCUUGGAGAGAAAUAUACCAUUAAAUGGGCAUUGGAAUUAAAUGGGUCUCAAUUGGACUUGGACUCCUAAUUGGCAAUUGAUGGGUAGAUGUAGGAAUGUCAUGUCUAGUCUAUCUUUAUGCAAGUCAAUUUGUUAUGCUUAUUAAUCAGUCAUUAUCUACAUAAUCUAGGAUAAAAACUAAUUGGUUAUGAUACAAACCUAAUUCUAAUCAAACCAUCCUAAGUUUAUCUAUAAAUACCAAUGCCAUGCACAUAUGUUUGCCACAAAACCCAUUCUUUAACUUCUGUUUCAUUCCUUAAAGUUUCAGUAGAAAUUCCUCUCUAUUUACAAAUUUCAGGUAAAAAUUAGCACAUUGGACAGAGGUGGAUGAGUGAAUGUACUGGACCAACUGAUUAUUGUCAUGAUGUACCUUAUUUGUUGAAAUUUAUUAGUUUGGAGUAACAUUAUAAUUUUUUAAAUAGUCCAAAUUUUAUUGCAUGUUAGAACUAGUUUUCAUUAAUAUUUUGAUGAAAGAUAUGAUUCGAAAAUGUUCCACAUAUUUUAUUAAAUUAAAUUUAUCUUUUGUUAAGUUCAAUUUUUAUUCGAUAUGUCAUUAUAUUAAAAUUUAUUUUUUGAGGACUUUAAGAAAUUCAUAUUUGCUAACGUAUCAGGUUGCUAGAAUUCAGGGCAUUACACGUAUUCUCCACAAAUUUGCUAUUUAAAAUAUUGUUUUAGCUAGAUAAUGGUCAUCAAAUAAGGGCUUCUUGUUUUAAUUAUUUUCAAUUUGCUUAAUAAUUUUUUUUAAAAAACUAAUAAGAAAAUAAAAAGAAAUCCUGAAAAAAAAUGUUUCAUGAUUAUAAGAUUAUAAUUGGUGUCCAUGUAACACUAAGAUCUGCUAUCCAACUCACUAUGAUUUUUGGGUCCACCUUCCACAUAAAAUUAUUUUAUUGAGCUAAUAUGUGGUAGAAAAAUAAAUUUAUUUUUAUCAAACACGAGCUUAAUAUAGUCUUCAAUAAGUUUCUUGUAUGUGAGGGUUCGAUUAUUUUCCCCAAAUUUUAUUAAAGGCUUGACAUAUAUGAACGACAACACAAUUUAAACACAAUAAUUUCUUAUUAUCCUUCAUUUAUCACUUGUUAGAUCCCAAAGGCAAGGACACAAACAUUAAAACCAAGAAUGUGGACCUAUUUUUGGUACAUCAACUUUGUGGUUUGGAUAAUUUGUGCAUGUAUAAUACUAUACCCCUGUUUGGGCUCCAUUAUUCCAAAUUUUAAUGAGGAGAAUAGUAUUUUUUGAAGAAUGUGUGGGUGAAAAUCAAGGAAAAGUUUUAAGGUAUAUGUGUAACAUUAUUAUAUUGAAGAAUGUGUGAUUGAUAAGAAAAGAGAGAAAAAUGAAUUUUAAUUUUAUGGGAGCCAAACAGGGGGUAUAUCCAUAAAUUACGUGAUAUGUACAUGAUAAAGGGUGUUCCACAUUGAUCGAUUUAGCAUGAAUUGUGUUAAUUAGAUUUGGUUAAUCAAAACAAGUAACAUAGUCUUGGGUUCGAGCUCGAUCCAUUAGCCUCACUUGAAUUGUAUGUGUGUGUGAAUCCAUUUCUCUCAAGGUAAUGUGCUAUAGCGUAGGCAAAUCCUCAUCACCACUCUCCUGCACUCACUCUCUUUUAUCCGAUUGUUGAUUUGACCAGCGCAGUACAAAUGAUCACCAUACAUUUUUUCGAUCGAUAGCCUUCGUAUCCUAAUGAUAUGUACUGGUGUAUAGAUGAUGCCACAUACUGUUGGCCACUCGAUCCGUUGGAUUUUGAGGUCAACAAAUUGGUAUCAUCUAUUAAAAUGAUACAUUAUAUUCUCACAACAUCCAUAAGGCCACCAGAAGGGAUAAUUUUUUUAGUAGUUUUUUCAACCAAAAUAUAGAGGCCAGUUACUAAAAAUGAAGAAAAAUGGCCACUGACCAAGAUAUGAAAAUUUCCUUGAAAAGGAAUAUUUUGAUGAUCGUUCUAGCUAUUAAAAUAGCUACCGAAAGAAGGUCUGAAAAUCAGUUAUCAGUCACAAAUAAGAGAAGAUGACAACAAGAAAGGUGAUCGGAGGUACAAAAAUUACAAAACAAGAGCAAGCUUACAUGAAUUUUCAAAGUUCAAAAGUGAAAAAAAGGUGGAGCACUCGCUACUUCUUUGUUUACUAUCUCACCUAUGUUAAAACUAUCGUUCUUUUGGAACAACACAUUUAUUCUUUGGCCACCGAUUUCUUAUCUUGGGCUCAUGGGUUCGUUACCUUUCAGUUAUUUGGAGAAUGAUUGUACUAAAAUCAUUAUAAAAUAAUCUAAUUGAAGAAUGUUGGAGGACAAAAAAAUAUUCUCUGGUGGAUGAGUAAAGAAAUCUUUUCCAGCACAAAUAUAUUCAGAUUUGAAAUUAUUCACUCAAUUUGCUUGACACAUUGCUCGGGCUUAAAUAUAGCAUCCAACUGCAUCCAUUGAGGCAUUUUACAUAUUAGAUAACGUAUUAUUGUCAGAAUGCGGAAGCAGAAUUAUCUAGAAAUUUAAAAAAAUAUUUAAUUCAAUAAACAAUAUCGUCUAGAUGUUCACGCGUAUGUUAUAUCAAGAAUAAAGGAUUCUAAUUUUUACCUAAAUUCGAUAAUCUAUUCUUUAAUUAAUUUUGAAUUACGAACUUCCAGCUCUUUGGAUCAUGAGCUUCCAGCUUUUUAAUUCCAAAAACUUCAUGCUUCAGACCUUCUAGUUUUCUAUGAUAUUCUCCAAAGUCAACACUACAUCAAUGGAUAGGCACUUUUAAAUUAAAUCAAGAAAAUAAUUCUUGAAUUGGACAAUUGAAUAAGAUGAGAAAAUAAUUGUUUUUUCUCUCUAAAUUUGAACACUAUGAAAUUAUGUAUUAUGAUUGUCGUACAAUCUCAUAGAAUGUCUAACUCCCAUCUAAUCUCUAUUUAUAGAGAUAGAGAAUAGCUAUAAUCCUUGUACAAUAAUAAUUCUACAUUCAAUUAAGAGUUCUAAUUAAAAUCCAAGUAGGAAUUUUAAUUAAAAUUCAAAUUAAAUUAGUUUACAUUUAAUUACAUAUAUAGCCCUAAAACUUCAAUUACAGUUAUAAUUAAGUCUACAACUUUCAUAGUAAUUACGACUAAGUAUAAAACUUUAUUAUAAUUACAAUUAAGGCUAAACCUAUUAUAAUUACCGUAAUUAAGUUUCAAUUCUUUAUAGGGCUACAAUAGGAACUUGAUCGGACAUAUAGUAUCCAAACUUCAAUAAUUAGAUCUUGUCUAGUCAAUCCUAGAUCGCCCAAUCUAUAUAUAGGCAAAACACUGAACUCCUGGAAUAUAUAAGAUCACAAAGCCAAUAAAUUUGUAAUACUUUCCUCUGACUUACCGUAUAUGUAUUUUAUCCCCGUUGAAAGUCCGAUAAUUAGGUAUGAGGAUAAACGACCAUUUUGCCCUUCUAAUAAUUCCCACUAACUCAAGUAUUAUUUUCUUCAAUGGUCAUGUGAACUAAUCACAGAUGUCGAAAUUUAGCCGUCAUUAAACACUGAAUUCAAAUUUUGAUUGUUUAAUAGAAAAUACUACCCAUUUUUUAGGUGACGGUUCCCCAGAUGAAUUCAUGUUCUCUACUCUGCUCAUUCUUAAGUUUCAAACUCAUCAAGAUAUUUGAUCAAUCAAAUUGAUUCUCACCUAUUGAUGAAUCAAAAAUCAUUAAAAUUGAAAAAUAUACAUAACACUGUCAAGGGAUUUAAAUGAAAUACACAGUAGUCAAGUGAAAUUUAAUUCUCUGCACGGUCAUGCUAUAGAAUUAAACUUGAUACGUGGUCCGUUCAAUACACUCCAAAUGUACUACUAUCACCUUUAACUAUUUCUGUGAUAAGGACAAAUCACAAACUUAAAUAGUCAAUCAGUCAACACUACAAACUUUCUGUACGAUGUGCCAACCCUUAUACAUUAAUUGUGAACAAAUCAUUUAUUAUCAAAAUAUAAGUUGUGUCACCUUGUACAUCUCAAUACAAGUACCUAACUAAUAUUAUCACAAGUGAUUAUAGGCACUUUAAUUCGCAUGUUUAAUAUAAAUAAAUGCAAUAAAUAAAUAAAAUCACAAUUUAUUUAUUAUAAAUUAUUAUUUUAUGAUAGCAAAAUAUACUAUAUGAACACACAAUCCAACGAUUAUAACCUUUAUUAUCUUGUUAGUAUUCUCCUAAUUACUUACUCUAAUCAAUUUUCCUUAGAUUCUUGGUAGAGUCACAUAUAUUAUUCUUUGUAGUUGCCCCCACAAUUUGUUAAAUAAUGCUCUUUUAUCCCAUAUUUGUAUAAAUGUAUGACAAAAUAAGCCCAUGUUUAGACUCCUUUAUUUCUAAAACUGAAUUUUUCAAAACUCAUUUUCAACCACAUUCUUCCAUAAGUAAUAUUAUUCACAAAUCCAAAAUUUUAUUAUCAUUUAACUAUGCAUUCAUUAAAAAAUUCACUAUUCAAAUUACAUUUUUUUCUUAAAAUCGUAUAAAUGGCAAAGCUGCUACAGGUGCAUUAUAGAUUAUAUUAUGAGUUACACUCUCCCAUGUGACAUGUUCAACAAUCCUAAAAUAUAUAAUCAAAGUUAUUUCUUCUUUUAUUUCUUGACAUGUUAAAAUUUGGAUCAACCUUAUUCGUUUCUAAGAAAUAGUAAAUUUUUAAAUUUGAAGAAUAAUUACAUUAACAUAAUUAUUAUUAAAAAUAUAUAUUUCAUAUUUAGCUUAGAAGAAAAUAAUUAAACGACAACUUUAUACUAACAGGAGAAGUUUAUAUAUCUUUUAAAAAAAUGAGGAUGUGAAUGUAAUUAUUGAAAAUUUCGAAGGACAUUAAUGAAACUUACAUAAAUAAAAGUGGAAAUUGAAAUGAAUGACUUUGCAUGUCAUUUCAAAUUAAUGAUUGAUAUUACCAUUGAACGUGAUAGAUUGACAUUUCAUUAACUACUCAAAAUUUGGGGAAGUCGAGCAAAUCGUUAGGAUUUUUCCAAUGCUUCAGGAUAGACACUUUGAUGCAUUAUAAGCCCCUGUUUCUCCCCCAUUAAAUCUCAUCAAAUUAAAUUAAUUUUUUCUCUCUCCUAUUUUCAACCACACAAUUUUCAAUAAAAUAAUAUUACACGUAAAUUGAAAACUUUUCAUUAUUUUACAACCAUCCAUUUUUUUUAAAAAAAAACAGCCAAAUUGGGGCUAAAAGCCUAUUCGAACUCCAUUUUUUGUCAAGUAGUGGUCUAAUGAAAAUUUGUAGUUGAAAAAGAAAUUUAAGUUUUCAUGAAAUAUUAAUUUAUCAAAGAAUAUGUGGUUAAAAUAAGAGAGAAAAAUGUAUUUUAAAAAUAAUAUAUACCAAACAAGGGCUAAGAACCUGUUGAGCUACUUUUUUUGCUCAAAAUGCUUUUUAGAAUAAUAUUUUAAUGGAAAAUGUGUGAUUGAAAAUUGAAUUUGCAAUCCGAGCUCACAAGUAAAAAGGGAGAAGCUUUGCUUCAUGGACAAUUGCUAUGCCUCCUCAGUGAAACACAGCCACACUGCAACGUGCUGAAGCGUGUAAUGUCAGGAAACAUUGAAAUGCAUUUUUCGAAGUGGUAGUCAAUUCGAAUUGGUGCUGACGCGGUACAUGUAGGUCUGAGCCGGUACAACCGAAGCAGUAAUCAUUCUGUAUUGGUACGAGGUAGUACGUACAUGUCCGAGUUGGCGCUACGACCCAAGAUAUAAAUCUUUUGGACAAGGAUCUGUCCAAAAGAUCUUUUGGAAUGAUGGAAGACACCUCGAACCGAUAGAUGAAUCCACGUGUUCCACAACUAACAAUACUCCUUCCAACUUUCUUUCUAUAAAUACCAAAGAGCCAAUCCUUUGUGAGGUAAUAUAACUUCACAAUUCAUGUUUAUAUUUACUCCUCCCCAUUUGUGAUAACGAUGUCCGGGGGUUGUUGUUACCAGAAAUCGUGGUUUUGUUUACCGUCUAUUGACUUGAUCGUCGGAGUGUAUGGGGUCACUACCAUCCUCACUCGGAAUGGCCAUAUACUUAUGACAAGUUUUUGACGUGUGCAAGGAGGAAUACAAGUGGAUUUGCUAUUUGUUGGCUGUGUGAAAGGUCCAUUUUCCGAGGUUAACGACAACUUUGCUUCUUCGUCGCUUCAUUCUGGCUACUAGCUUCUCAAGUGGGUAGCUUGGUAAGCAAGCUACCUUAGCAUUAGUAAACUCCCUAUCAAUAAUAGGCUAGAGUGAUGGGUAAGGUAGCUUGCUCUUCAAUGGAAAGGGGCAAUCACCCUUUCAGAGUCGAUCCUAUACAACUACCUUUUCGUGCAACAUGAUCAUGACCAAAGAUAUAGAAUUGCAAAGGAAGGACGAAAUGAACCAACCCACCCCUCUUGAUCGGAAAAAAAUUGAAGAAAGAAACCCUGGAUAUGCUACUGAAGCUGCUACUCGUGCUAGUUAAUCCAUAAUGAAGGUGCAAGUGCUAACAAAUCUGCCGCUAGCUCUACUAAUGAUGCUAUAGGUUACAGAUCAAUAUUACUUUAUUAAAAAGGGUGUAGUUGAAAAUAAGAUGGAAAAGUAUAUUUUGAAAAUAAUGGUGACCGAACAAAAUUGGCAAAUUGUGCAUCACUUUUGUACUUAACUAAGAACAUUAAUGCUAACUUUACAAAUGAAAUUUGAAUUACAGAUGUAACUUAUUGAAAAUAAAAUAACGCCCUCUCUUUGGAGGCCUUUAGUUUACUAUAAUUUAUUUUUCAGAUUUAUUUUAACUAUAAAUUCAUACAAUGAAAUAUUUUACACAAACUUAAAAAAUUUUUUCAGCUUUUUAAUCACGCUUUCUUCAAAAAAUAUUAUUCAAAACAUAGUUAUUUACAAUUAAAGGCCACCAAACCGAGCUAAUUAUAAUGUCCAUUUAUUACAUUAAUGUGUGUUGAAAUCAUUUAUAUUUAGAGUUUGUUUGAAACUCAUUUUAUUGGGAGAUUUGAUUUCUUAAUAAUGAUUUUUAGAAAAUGGGCGGUUAAAAUGUAAGGUAACAUCUUAAAAUUAAUAUGUAAAAUUAUUUUAGAGGGAAAAUAUAAUUACGAGAAAAAUGAAAUUUUAAAGAACAAAGCUCAAACAUAGGCUUAAAAAAUGUAUUCUAUUUAUAACGUGACUGACGAGAAGCACAUGCCACGCACCAUCACACUGUUAAAUUUUGAUAUUGUUGAAUUUUAGCCACUAAACUUUAAAAAAAAAAAUGUCUUCAAUUGCUCAUUACACUUUCAGGUGGUCGAAUUUUGGCGGCUAAACUUUGAUAUAGUCAAAUUUUGGCUACUAAAUUUUGAAAAACGUCUUCUAUUGCUCACUAUAAAUUUAGAUUCUGUUUAUCUUCCUUUAAAAUAAAACUAUUUAAUUUUUCAUACUCAUUUUUAACCACACAAUUAUAUAAUAUAAAUAUUUUACACGUAAACUCAAAAUUUUUUCCAAUGUUUUAACCACACAUUAUCCAAAAAAUCAUUAUUUAAAACUCAUUUUUCAAAAAAAAAUAAAUUAUGGCGAUCAAACAGGGGUUAAAAUUGAAUUUAAUUUAAUUUUAACAAUAAAUAUAUUGUGUAUUUCAUUGCAAUUAGUAAUCAAUUCCUUUGUGCAGCUUUGUAAAUAAAUGACAACCAAACAAAAUUAGCAAAUUGCGCACCACUUUUGUACUUAACUAAGAGCAUUAAUGUUAACAUUACAGAUGAAAUUUGAACUAUAGACAUAAUCUAUUGAAAAUAAAAUUAUGCCCCCCCCCCCCUUUAAUUUAUUUCUCACACUCAUUUUUAACUACAAAUUCAUACAAUAAAAUUUUUACACAUAAAUCCAAAUUUUUUUUUUUUUUUACUUUUUAAUCACACUUUCUUAAAUAAAACAGUAUUCAAAACAUAGUUUUUUACAAUUUCAGGUCACCAAACCAGGCUAACUAUAAUGUCUAUUUAUUACAUUAAUGUAGACUGAAAGCAUUUAUAUUUAGGGUUUGUUUGAACCUCAUUUUAGAGAAUGAUUGGUUUUACAAAUAUAAGCUUGUUUUAGAAGAAUCUGUCUAUGUAAGUAGUUUGAUAAUGUUACUUCUUUUUAGGUAUGAAAGGAGGAAUUAGAGAGCUAGCUAUAAGAGGCAAACAAUGUUGUUAUUGAGUUAAUGUCGAUUUAGUUGUCUUCUCAUGAUGCUUGAAGAAGAUUUUGCUUUUGAGAUAGGGAUAGAAAUCUUAAUAUUAAAAAUUAAGCUUCUUUGUCAGAAAGAUAUUGCCACCUUUGUUGACAGAUACUCACAUGGAGUGGGAACCUUGUGAAUGAAAAAAGCCCAAAAGAUUCAUGCUUCCCUUCCCUUAUUUUGAGGGAUUUGUCAGGGAGGGUGUCAAUUCGUCGUUAUUAGCAUAGCAGAAUUGUAAUUUUAAUGUGGGAUAUGACUCCAUAAUUUUUAGUAAACUUAUCAGAAGUUUGAGGAUUGAUUUGUACAGUUUCAAAACUUGAGGAGGACAAUUUUUGGCUCUUAUGGAUGUUAGAAGUGAUCGGUGGAUUCCAUGAUCCGAUCAUGAAAAGCAACCUCAGUCGGUUCGAUUGGAGUCCAAGCUCCUCGUUGGACAUGGUCGUGUCGUAGUUUUCCAAUAUUGAAAAGGUAGAAUUCUUUUUAUUUUAUCCGGGAUUAUUUUAGGUCUUUUUGAGGCAUGGCUUUUGAGAUGGGCCUAUCACUAUAGACAGAUCUAUUCUAGAUUAAAAUGAAGAGGACACAAUAAAGAUAGUGAGGAUGUAAACGAGUCGAAGCUCAUGGUUCGAGUACAAAUGGAUUGAGCUUUUUUUGGCCCGAGUCAAGCCGAGCCAUAGCUCGGUCGAAAAAAGGUGCUAGGCUUGGGCCUUUUCGAGUCAAGCUGAGUCAAACUGGCACUUCAUUUUUCCUAAAAUUUUAAUUACUUUUUUCAAGGCAACUACCUCUAAAGCUACCUUUUCAAAGGCUUUAUACACAAGGCACCCGUGUUAGUGUGACACGGCAUGAGACUCGAUUCCAACAAGCUGCGAUCCAAGUCGGCUCGAAAUUUUUUUGGUCCGUGCCACAUGUCAUUUGAUCCAAUGAGCCAAAUUGACAUACCUAAUAGAGAGUUACAAGUAAAAUAGAAAGAAUAUCCAAGAGAGAGAGAGAGAGAGAGAGAGAGAGAGAGAGAGAGAGAGAGAGAGAAAAAAAAUCAAGGAUUUCAAAAUUUUGUUCCAAGUACAAGAAGAUUAUCUUUUCCUCGUUGUCUUUUAAACAAGGUGAAGUAAUUCAAAUGCUCCACAUGUUUCUCUUUUCAUAUAAUGUGCAACUAAGUCAAUAGUAGGGAUGAAAUAUUAAAAUGUAGUUUUGAACCUUAAUUUUAUUUAUGAAGAUUUGACUUUAAGUUAAUAUUUGGAUAUUGUUUUUACUUUUAUUAUUAUUGCUUUAAAUCAAUUUGGCAUUGUUUCAUUGAUUUGUAAGCACUGAGUCGAGAGGUGAGUUAUUAUUUUAGACCUCACAGUAAAAAUUAAAAUUUGGGUAAAAGAUACAUAUUUACUAAGUUUGCAGUCAUUAAUUGAAUAUUUUUGUGAUUGUAUACUCUUAGUUAAGACUUACUAUGACUUAAUAAAGACAUAGCUACUUAACUUAUUGAAUAAGAUUGAUUUAAAUUCGAGAGAUGUAAAUCAAUUUUGAUUAGAAGAACUCGACAUGAUGCGCAUAAUUGAGUAUUGUUGAAAUUUGGUUAUUGAAAUUAGAGGGAUAGCUAUGAUGAACUCAUAAACCAUAACACUUCUUGUUCAUUAAUUAAAAUCAUAAAUUAUCUAUUUCUACACUUCUUUAAUUAUUUUGUAGAGUUAUAAUAUUUAUUAUCAUAAUUUAAAUUAUUUUCAAAUAUUUUGCCCUAUACAUUAAAAGAGUGACCUAAUUUCGGCACUAUUCAUAGGGUUGCAUGCCAACAGUUUUUUUCCUCCAACCAUUGAAAAACUGCUAGCUGAGUUGCUUCUACUCUUACGCAACUAUCUCAUUUUCUAUUUCUCUUAACACAGCUAUAUCACUUUCUAUUUCUCUUUGUAUUCUCAGCCUCAAAUUGAAUCUUAGUUAACUAAUAAAUAUACGUGUCUUUGAACAAAAACAAAUUAAUAAUCUGGGAGAUAAAAAAAAUUGAUAUUUUUAUUUCUUCAAAUCCUCUUUGCAGUCCACAUCACCAUCUACCACCAUUCCAAUCAACCCGAUUUAACCUAUAAAAUUAUUGUAAGGUUGAGUAUUUAAAAAUAUCCAUUAAGAUACAUGCAGUUUCCAUACACAAUUAUUACAUGAUCAAAAUUUUAAAAAAUAGUUAUCCUUAAACUCUUAAUUCUUAUCAAAAUACUUUAAUUUUAUUUAUUUAGAGAUUUUCUAAAAUGGGAAUUUCAUUAAAUAAAAGUUUUUAAAAAUAAAUAUGUAAAAUGGCGAUGAAAUCAACUUAAAACUAUUGUUUCAAUACAUAAAACAAUCAUUUAAUAUCCAACCAUUAAAAAAGAAAAAUCUAUCAAAUAAAAUAAAUUAAAAAUAUAUGCAAGUGCAUUGUUCACGUGAAUAGUGAAUAGUAAGUAUUGUUCAUAUGAUUUUUUUCUUAAAGAUGCCUACAGAUUUGAAGACAUGUGCUCAAAUACCAAGCUAUAACACCCCAAAUUUUUAUAAACAUUGGAGUGCUGCCAAAAAUUCAAUUUUCUUCAUGUUAAAUGUGAAAUGAACAUAUAUAAAAGUAAUUCAUUUAUUUUCAACCAUAAAUAUCAAUUAAAACGUGGAAUUCAAAUUUUAAAAAAUUUCAAAAAUAAUCAGUUAACUAAUUAAUAAACGUGUCUUUGAACAAAAACUAACUAACAAACUGGGAGAUAAAAAAAUUUAAUAAUCUUAUUUCUUCAAAUCUUCUUGGUAGUCCGCAUCACCAUCCCGUCAUAGUUCCAAUCGAUCCGAUUUAAUUUGUUAAAAUUAUUCUAAGAGUGAGUAUUUAAAAAUACCCAAUAAAAUACGUUCAUUUUUCAUGCACAAUUAUAUAACAAUAAAUUAUACACUUCAUACCACUCUUCUCUUAUGGAGCGUACCGGCAACCGAGUGACACAUCCAUCUCAAGUCCUCUUAAAUUUUUGUAGGAUUUCAUAUCACUUUCUAUAGAACCUGAAUGUCCAUUGAUAAUUUAUGCAUAUUUAAUUGAAUACAUAAAAGCAUAAGGAAAUAAACCACUUGCACAAAAGUAUCUUACCUUUAUUGAUUUGAAAAGUUGUAUUGGAUUGUAAAAUAAUGCACAUGAAAACCGUUUUCUUUUCCUCUCUCUUUCUUGUAUGAAUAAAAUAUAUUAUAUGGUAAUAUUGUAGGAUUCUCUCUCUAGCUUGUAGUUUUCUUUGGCCGUGUAUGUAUAAUAUCUUCAUGGUGAAAAAUUUCUCUUGAUUUAUGGGAGUAUUUAUAGGACUUAUAACCUACAAUAUCGAUUGAAUUUCAUUGCAACAAGGAGACUUGGAUAUAGUGAAUGGAACUGUAUAGAAUGGGUUUCCUAGUGAAACUUAUAAUUCUAAUUCCAAUGGAUAACAAUGAAAGUGCUUUUUAAUUCAAAUAGAAAACUAAUCAAUUUAAAAGGAAAAAAAAAAAGGUUUCUAUAUUCAUCCUAGAUACAAACACGUGGUUGCCCCCUCUAAUUUCUAUUUAAUUAAAAAAUUAAUAAAUGACAAUUUCUUUAAACUUCAAUAUCUUGAGUUUAACUUAUCCGAAUUAACUUUUUCUCGAGUCGAAUAGUUAUAAUUGAUUAUACGCUACAAAAAGAGUCCAAUAUUGAUUUACUUAUAUUUGCUCUAUCAAAAUCUAAUUAUUAGACUCAAUUAAAAUUAAAAUUUAAUUAUUUCACUUUAGUUCCUCAACUUUCAAAAUAUAAAUAUGUAGCAUAUAAAACAAAUAAAUUUUAUUCUAUAAAAUUUUCGGGGUAUUACCUUUUGCAUCGAAUUCCACCACAGAAAACCCUAGCUUGCUCCUUCUCAAAACUCACUCAUCUCUCGACCAUCAAAGAAUUUACUCACUCCAUUCCAAAACUCUUAGAUCCCCGAUGAAAUUGUAAGAAGAAGAAACUCCUUUGCUAAGGGGAGCAGUGAUGAAGGUAUAAUCAGACGUCGGAUCUCCUCCAUCUCAUAUGAAUCGACCCAGUGGUCGAAAACUCUCUUAAAACUUCAUAGCUUCCUAUAGGGCGAACUCACUCCUAUCUUAUCUUGUAUUUGCUUAAUCUUAUUAUUGUUCCAAAAUUGGUAUUAUGCUCAUGACAUCUAUUACAUAAGUAUUUUUUUACCUUUUUUUUUCAACUUUACUGUAUGAUUACAAAUAAGUUAUUAGAUAAAAUGUUCAGGCACCAAUGAUGUGAUCGAGUACGAUCACAAAUAAAAUGAUCAAUUGCAGACAACUCCAUCAGAAAUAUUUAAGAGAUUACCUAACUCAAGCAUGUAAAGCAAAAGACUUGUGAUUUUGUGUAUAUAAAGUUUGCAAGUAUUUUUUUCCGUCCCUUAAAUUACUACAAAAGCUGCCAAUUAUAGUAUUGAGGUCGACAUGGUUACCGUUGGAGUAGAACAACGUUGCCUAUUAACCAGAACUUCACAUUACUCUUUGCCAUACAUUAGUUACAUUAAUAAGGGGUUAGCCACCCUAAACCAUCUGCUGAUACUUAUUAAUGUAAAUGUUGCAUCAAUAAUUUUACAAACACUCUACAGAUUCGCUUUAAAGGCGGCAACCGCUUCAGCUUGGAGAGAGGCUUUGGAUGGGAAGAGGUUCGAUGACAAGGAAGGAUGCUUUGGCUAAAGAGCAGCUUUGUUCCCUUUCUUUAUUUUGACAUUGUUGACUGCCAGAUAUUUACAUGUAGUGCCUCACAUAGAGCUUUAGAUAGGAGCUGUAAUAGAAUCAUUUGACCAAUUGAAUUAUACCUAUUGUGCAAAGUGAUCAAAUUACCUUUUUCUGGAAAAGGACAAAGAAAUAUUCAGUCGUUGGGCCUAAUACAUAUUGAUGUGUAUAGAUCGAUGUCAAUCAUCGCUAGAGAUUGUUUCUCUUACUUCAUCACUUUUACUAAUGACCAUUCUAAAUAUAAUUAUGUAUACUUAAUGAUUCAAGCAUGAAGCACUUGAAAAGUUCAAGAAAUUUAAGGUAGAUGUAGAGAAGCAAAUUGGUAAAGACAUUUUCACACUAAGAUUUGAUCGAUGUGUCGAAUAUCUUCAAUGAGAAUUGUUAAAUUAUCUAAAGGAGAUUAAGAUAAACAACAACAUAAUGAUGUAUCUAAACAGAGGAAUCCCAUGCUAUUAGACAUGGUGUGAUCAAUUAUAAGACAUGCAAACCUUUCAAUAUCGUGUCUUAUCUAAGUCGGUUGACAAAAUUCAAUACGAGUUAAUGAAAGGCAGGAAACCCAACUUAUAUCAUAUUAAAGUUUGGGACUGCAACGUUUAUAUGAAGCACACUUAUGGAAAUAAUUUGUACUUAAUAAAAAUAUAAGAUAAUUAAAUUAAAUGUAAAUUUAUUUACAAAAUGAAGUCAAUAUUUCUAAGUGUGAUAAUACUGAAUCAAUCUCACUACCAGAAGUCGUCUCGAAUCAUUUUAUCUUUAUCAUCCGAAAAUGGAGAAGAAUAACAUAGAAUGAACCAAUGCUCAGUAAGCAAACCACAUGCAUAUGAUAUGCGUGUAAAUUACUUUAAUAAAAAAGUAUCUCAAUAUGUAUCUUAUUUUCAUUCAUUCUUUAAAAACCUUAAUAUUGAUAUCGUGAGCUCACUUGAUGCAUCACCUAGUCAAUCAGAAUGUAGUAGUGGACCAUGUUAUUUGGAACUCGAUCAAAUAUUUCGGUAGUAUCGAAAAGUGAUUAACGUUAAGUAUGAAUAUUAGUCGGGUAUGUUGGUUCCCUAUGCCUCAUUUCUCACUCACACCUUCAUAACAUAGACAUACACCUCAUAAUAAAAACAUUAGAGAUACAUAUCCUUCUAAAAACAUUCCUUCUCACACUGACAUUUAAAAACUCUUUAUUUCAUGAAAUUCCAUGAUGUUUAUGAAUGAAUUGAUAUUUAUGAAUUAUAAUUAAAAAUAUUUAUGAUAUAAAACAUAAUGAUAAAAUAUUAAUUUCAUAUAAUACCAAUUUAGAUAACACAUUUAACGAAGUAAUAUACAUAUGAAGACAAUAGGUAAUUUACUUACGUUGAGUUCUAACAAUUUAUUUUUCGAAUGACAAGUGAAGAUAUUCCAAGACACCCACGAAGUCAGCGUGCCAAAACCCUAAGUCACUUCCAUUUAUUUAUUUAUUUAUUUAUAUCCCUAAAGAGAGGAGGGGUAAAGAUUUAAACGACUCUUUAAAUUUCAAUGUGAAUCAAACUAACAUUUGGUUACAAACAAAUCAAUAUGUUGAUAAAAACAUAUAAACUAGUAAGUGAUUUAAAUCCAAAUAAAAUUUAGAAUAUGUAGCUAAUAUUAUACAUCGAAUGAAGAAUAAUGUGUCAGUUUCCUUUCUAAAUUAUAAAGGAUUGCUAAUUUGUUGAUUCCCAAGUUCAUACUAAUAGAAAGUUGAUGCCAAUGAAAAAUCAUUGUAUAAAAUCAAAAAACAAUUAAAUCCCCAUAGUUUUAGAUAGGCAAAGAAGAAUUUUUCUUUUUUUUUUUUUUAUGCAAAUCAACAAGAGUUUUCUUAUAAUUUAGAAUUUAACACACAUCUAUAUGAACCUCAUUCAUUUAACUAUUUAUUUGAGGAAAUUAGAUUGCCAAUUCUCAGUUAUCCAGGUGAAAAAAUUAAUUUAACAAAAGAAUCAAAUGGCAAAAUAACAAAGUGAUUCUUGCUCAAUUAAAGUUAUGCAUAAAGGGGCUUUAAAGGACCAUGAAAUUAUAUACAUUUAUAUAUAAGUAUAUAUGUAUCCACACAUACCCACGUAUAUGUGCAUGUGUGUGUAAAAAAUCAUAUCCUUAUUCAGUCAAUUUAAUGAAUUUCAGUGGCCCAAUAACAUGUUUAACACUAAAUUACCAUAAAAUAUUAAAAAGAUAAAAUAAUUAUACCUUCAAUUGCAAGAAUUCCCACUUUCAGAAGAUGUAGCCGAUAACAGUAGUGGUUUGAAUACUAAUUCAAUUAGAAACGUAUAUGGAAUUUACUCAAGAAUUAACUACUGGAUUUGGGUAAAGAUUCGAACUCUUUAUUCUUGAUAUAACAUACAUGUGAACAUCUAGAGGAUAUUGUUUAUUAAAUUAAAGUUUUUUUUUAAUUUCUUUUCGCUUCUGCAUUCCAACAACUAAUAUCAAAGCAAUUUAAAUUUUUUUACGUAUUUGUUAUUUCUGAAUCUUGAUUGCAUAUUCUAGUUGAGCGAUAUCUACAAAUAAUUUGUUAUGUGUUGAUUGAAUAAUUGGUUUAUUCAAACUAUGAUCCUAUUAUUUGUGGCCAGUUCUUGAUGCAAUUCGUUAUUUUGAAUAUGUAACAAUAUAGAUGGAUUUCGACACCAUCAUCUUGAUUUAAUUUUCAUUUCAAAUAGGUUCAAAAUUUUGAGUCGACCGGACAUAUGAAUUAUGUAAUUCUUAUAAUUAUUGAUUCUUAUAAAAUGAUUGAAGAUUGAAGACCUAGUAGACAUGACGAGAAAGAAAAUUCAAGAAUUUGCGACGGUUUUAAAAAAAAUUAAUUUUAUAGCGUGCAGCUUUACGAUGGCCACUAUUGCUAGACGCAAUGGGCAACAACGAGCUUCCCAAGUAGGCAACUGUCGGCUAUUAAAGUAGCUGCCCAAGCUAGUUGAUCAGCGUCUUACUUAUGUUUGGUACAAUAGAUUGGUCAACUUUGAUAUAGGUUUAGUUUUGUAUGGACUGGGUCAAAUCAAGAUAAGUCAGGUACAAAAUUAAUUAAUUUUUAAAGGUAUGGUGAUGGAUUACUAUUUUGGAUCCUUGAAAAUUCUCAAGUUGAAAAUUCAAAUUAAGUAUUGAGCUUAGGUCCAAUUAGUUUUUAAUUUAAUUUUUGGGUCGACUUUUGGGCCAUAAAUAAUUGUCAAUUUAUCACUUUAUGAAUACUUUAAAUUAUUGUUUAUAAUAUUAUCGCUCUAGAUAUCAUGAUAUGAUAAACAGGAUGCAUAUCAUCGUACACUAAUUUUUCUUUUAUUAAUUUAAUUUAGAUUAAAUUUUUUUGGAUGAAAAUUUCGUAAUAAUUAAAUUGCAUAUUAAUUUGAUUAAUGUGAAUAGUUGAUAAUUAUUUAUAUUUUUCUUGAUUAUUAAAUUUAAAGUAAAUUUAUUUGGAAGGAGAUUUUUUAAUAAUUAAACUGUAUGUUAAUUUUAUUUAUUUGAAUAGCUGAUAAUUAUUUAAAAAAUUCUUGAUUAAUUUAAUUUAGAUUAAAUUUAUCUUGAAGGAAAUUUUGUAAUAAUUAAACUAUAUAUUAAUUUGAUUAAUGUGAAAUGUGGCAAUUAUUUAUGAUUAAAAUUCAUUAAUUUAAAAUAUUGAGUGAAAUGGGCAUUUAUUUAAAUAAAAGUCUAAGGUCUCAUUUGAUCAACCCAUAAGCAAAUUAACGCACUUGCCUCGUGUCGAUAAUGCAACGAACUCCCUAUAAGAGGGCCACGUAGUUCGAAUUGUUUGGUUGGAUUUUCCUAUGAUAGGACCGUCUAAAUAAAACAUAAUUUGACAUCAUACUAUAGACGGUGAAAUUAUUUUCAUGUCCUUAGAGAUUGAGACAAAUGCUAUACAUUCAAAUCGAGAUCAUCAGCAAACCUUCUAUAGAUGCUCUUAUUUAUGAUGUUGGUGACCAAAUAAAAUGAUACUAGACUAAUAUAGAAAUUGUUAUCAGAUAUGAUUUAUCUAGUAGGAGGGUUUCAACUUGAUCAGUAAACACAGUGACAUUUCCUAUAGAGGGGUCUGCUGAAUCACAACGAUCAAAUAAUUGUUACAUUAUUGUAGUUAGAUGGAUUUACAUGUGCAUUCAUGCAUCAUAUGUUAAAUUUUUAUUUGCUACUCAAUUUUAAUAUGCAACAAAUGAUUAUUUUUAUGUGAAAUAUUACUUGACUAAUUUUUCUGUUAUUCUAAAACAAAACCAACUAAUCUAAAAAAAUUAUGUGGACUGAAAACGUAAUUUGAUAUUUCUGCUCAAUGCAGAAAAACUUAAUUUUGUGCUUCAGGGAUGUCUUGAUAGACCUACAAAGACCAUAUAAAAAGUCCGAAAAUUUGAAUAUAUUGAGUGGAAGACUGUAGACAAGAUGGCUAGCUAUUUUAUUUUGACUUCAAUGUCAAACAUGUUACAAUAAAAUGCUUGAAAGUCAGAGUAGCUUCCAUAACAUAUUCCAAACUCUUCAGGGCAUGUUUGGUCAUCAAAAUGGGAAGACAGAUAAUUAUGUUUUUGCACACUUAUUUAAUACCUAAAUAUGCUUAUUAUUGAUGAAAAAAGUGGAUAUCGACUCUAAGUCAUAAACCUCAAAUGAAAAGAGAACAAGGCAAAAUGGAGUAAAAUGGGACGAAAGGCAUACAAAAAUUGUGAAGUUGAGACCAAAAUGCGUAAGUGCAGAAAGUUGAAGGACCUUGGAUGCAAUUUAUGGAGGGAGUAAAUGAAAAAAGCCUAAAUUUGAUGACCAAAUUGCACAAGAUUAGAGCUAAGGGUCAUUUAGUGCAAAUUACUAGAGGACUUGUGUGCAAAAGAAAAAGAAAAUUGGAAUGAAAUGAUUCAUUUUGGCGUAGAGAUGGGUACAUAAAAAAUUUGGGAUCAUUUUUAUUGUUUGUUCAAAAUAUAGGGACUUAGAUGCAAAUUCUCUAGAUUUUUAAAGUUAAAAACCGGCAGCCUUAUUCUGUCUCCUUUCUUCUUCAAUUUUUCAUCUCUUUCUUUUCCUUCCUUUUCUUUUCUUUUUCUUUCUUUCAUCUUUCUUUUCUUUUCCUUUUCAUUUUCUUGGUAUUUUUGGAGCAAAUCAUAAAGCACAAGGAAAGUAUAUUCAAGGAUGUAGAGAGAUUUUGGAAAUAUCAAGUUCAGGCCUUUAACAGCUUCAAAAAUCCAACAAAAAUGGUUGUAUCUCGAAUCUUGUAUUUUCUUUAUUAAUAUCUUCUAGUUGCAAUGUAUUAUAUAAAAUAUUCCCCUUUUUAUCAUAUGUUAACAUUGGCUAAAUAUUUGUUUUGGAUUUAUGGUAGUAACUUAAAUUGGCUUGGAUUAAUUUCAAUAUUUGCUUUUUAAUGUCCACUUCAUAUUUGCAUUGCUUCUUCAAAAUAUUUAACUAAAGAUGGAUAUUUUUAAAAUUCCUUUCCAUUGUGCUUUAUCGAGUAUGAACAGUUUUCCAACACACUGAUAUUAAGAACGACAUGGAAUACAGUAUGACUUUCAUCUAAAGCAUUAGGUACAAAGGUAUCAAAACCAAAGGUUUAUAUGUUUUUGAAAACUUAGCCCCUGUUCGACGGCUUACUUUCAAAACUCAUUUUUAUUUUUUUACAUAUUCAUUUGUAAUACAUUCGCAUAAUAAAAUAUUUUACACGUAAAUUUAUAACUUUCCUUUUUUUUAACCGCACAUUCUAGAGCCCCAAAAUUUCUAGUUGUGUUGCAUAUAAUUUACUUGUCAAUUAAUAGGAAUGUCAUGUCUAGUAAAUCUAUAUGCAACUCCAUUUGCUAUGCCUAAUAGUUAAUUUGCAUUAUAUGUUUUUUCCUUAAUAGUCGAGGGAUCAAAGAGAAAAUAAAUAAAUUGUAAAUGAACUAGUAUGCAUAUUCAUUUCCUUCAUAAUUUUCGGUCAAUACAGUUUUGGGAAAAGUGAAACAGCUAUAACCAUGAUUAAUAAUAUUAAUUAUUACAAAUCCAAUUAAGGUUAUAGUUAUACAAUUUGACUAGGAUGUUGAUAUUAUUUAUCACAAAUUCAAUUAAGAUUAUUCAAUUUGACUAGAAUGCUUUGGAAAUCAAUGAUAUAAAUAUAUUAUAUUUAUCAUAAAUUAAUUUUGCUUAUCACCAUUUAAGUUUGUAGUUUAGUUAAAAUUUAAUUAUUAGUCAAUUUAGGAUAACCAUUCAUGUUUAGACAAGUCAUACGAGUAUUUUAUGUAUUGGAUAUUUAACACAAUUGAACCAAUUAAUUAGUCAUUAUCUACAUAAUCGAGGAUAAUAACUAAUUGGUUAUGAUACAAUCCUAAUCCUAAUCAAAAUACCUUAAUAUAUAAAUACCAACACCAUGCACAUAUGUUUGCCACAAAACCCAUUCUUUAACUUUUGUUUCAUUCUUUAAAAUUUCAGCAUAAAUCCCUCUCUAUUUACAAAUUUCAGGUAAAAAAUAGCACAUUGGACAGAGGUGGAUGAGAUGUGCCGAACCAAUGGAUUAUUGUCGCAACGUGUCUUAUUUGUUGAAUUUUAUUAGUAUGGAGUAACAUAAUAAUUUUUAAUUAGUCCUAGUUCAAUUUUUAUUCACUAUGUCAUUAUAUUAAAAUUUAUUUUUUGAUGAAGUUAAGAAAUUCAUAUCUAGCAAUGCAUCGAGUUGCUAGAAUUCAGGGCACUACACGUAUUCUCCACAAAUGUUACACCCCAUUUCAUACUAGUCAAAGGUUAAUAUUAUUUAUUCAAAGUCAAAUGUUUGACUGGUCAAAGUCAAAUUCAAAUAAGGACUUAAAUGAAGUAAAUCAUUUUAGUGGGAUUUGAAUUGACUAAAUUGUUUUUGGGGGGUUUAUUUUACAAAUUGACAACAUUAGAAGGUUUAAGAUGGAUAAAAUUUAAAUUUUGGGAAAUACUUAUUAAUUAUUAAAAGUUAGAUGACUUAAUAAGAUAUUAUAUGAAGUUUGGAGGACUUGAUAGCAAAAUGGUUUAAUGGUGGAUUACAAGUGGCACUUUGCAUGCCAUUUCUUCAUUUUCAUAUUACAUACAUACACACAAGAAAUCUGAGGAACGAAGUGGGGCAAAAAAAAAAAAAAAAAUCGGCAAAAAGAAGGGAAGAAAAGAGAAGAAGGGAGGGCAAAAAAAAAAGGAAAAAGAUGUUAUUGAACAAGAUGAUAAUUGGACUCAAGUACAAGGUUCAUCCUUUCUUACAUUCUAUUCCAAGAGGUAAGAAAACUCAUUGUUAUUCAAUAUUGUUAGAUUUGGAUUUGUAAUUAGUGGCCUAACUUAAAAGAUUUGGAAGAAAGAAUAGAUAAUGGAGUUAGAUAUAUGUUAAAGUAUUAUGAAAUGGGUUUGUAAAUUAAAGCCUAAAUCUUUUAUGUUUAUAGUGUAUAUGAUAUAAAAUACUUGAUUUAUGAUGUAUUACAAUGAGAUAUGGAGUUAAGGUUGGAUUUUUGUAUUUUUUUUAAUUAAUUUUCGAGCAAAAUUCAUGCAUAGCUAUAUUUUUGAAAUUCUGCCCAGAAAGUGCCAUUUCUGUCAAUGGUUUUGGUGGCAGAUUUCAAUAUACAGAAAUUGGUGCUAGAUUUCUAUAUUCUGGAAUUUUAGUGCUAUUUUUGUCAAACCUUGGAUUUCCAUAUUUUUAAAGGUUUGAAUGAAUUUAUAUGACAAAUAUUGAAGUCUACGUAUCGAACUAAAUAUGUAUAAGGUUUGUAUAGUAUAUAUAUAAAGUAGUGAUUUUAAGAAAUUAUAGUGAUUUAAUGGAUUUGAUGAUGUUUGGUGAUUUAUUAGUAAAUAAUUAAAGAGAUGAAAAGUUAAAGAAAUAGAGAGGCAAGAAUAAAUAUAGAAGUUAGGGGAACUACAUGGUAGAUUUGUAGUAGUUUAAUUGUUAGAUUUUGAUUUGAGUUAUUAUAUCGUUAUUUCAAGUAGUGGCAUGAAAGUUUGGAAAUGCCCAUCAAUUUAGUCGGAUUGCUAUCCAUACAUACAUCUGUGAGUGGAAAACUUAUAUAUUUUCAAAUAGUAAUAAGGUACUUAUACUAUUACAUUACGUGUGAUUAUGCAAAUUAUUUGUUUAACUACAUAAUUAAUAUGGAAAGAUUCUUUCACUAUGAUAUAUGUAGAAUUUAAAGUUUGGAUAUCGAUUUGUGAGUUGGAAUGUAAGACAUAUGUGAUAUUGAGAUCGACCAGAAAAGUACCCAUGAUUAUAUACUUCUUCUAGUUCACAGAGGAGUCUUGGCCGUGUUAUAUCCUACACAGAGGGGUCUUGAUCGGAUACUGGUCUUGAUCGUGUACAUAUAGUUCACAGAGGGGUCUUGAUCGUAUUCUAGAAUUGAUUACCAGAGGUCUUGAGAUUGACUUUCGUUCACGUAGGAGGCCAAAGGCCAGUGGUGAAAGUGCUUAGCCCGAGGGGCAGAUUACAUAUUUUAGUCAGAGGAAACAUUUUUGGUGGAUCACAUAUGAUAUGAUAAGAUGAUGAUAUAGAUAUCAGCUGAUGACUAUAUCAUGGAUAUGAGAUGAUAUUUACAGAGCUAUGAGAAUGUCUCAUUUUUUGGCUAUAAAUUUUAUGAGACUAUCAUGUGUAAUACUAAACGAUAUGAACUUGAUGUCUAUGUAUGAGAAAAAUGUUUAAAUGAGAAAGUAUAAUUAUUUUCGAACUCUUCAACUCACUGAGUUAUAAACUCAUAUUUUUCCACAAUAUUUCUUACAGGUAGUAUUGGUCCCCUGAUAGCUUGAGGAGCCUAGUGGUUUUAGAAUUAGAGUCAUACGACAUAUUAAGUGAUGUGAUUCAUUUUGGUAAAACAUGAAGUAAUUAUUCCGGGCCCAUUGCAUUAUAUUUUUCAUAAAUAUUUGAUUUUGGUGCAUAUUUUGUAGUAAGUCAUAAUUAGGUUUGGUGGUGGAUCUGAUAUCUAGUCAGCGUCUAUCGUCGAUGCACGUCACGUUUCUAGUCCAUUAGGGUGAUUCGGGAUGGGGCGUGUCAGAGUGGUAUCAGAUCAUGGUUUAUAAAGUUUUGAAAGUCUUUUGUAGUUCAUGCAUUGGCAUAUCAUGCAUAUUUGUAUGGUCAUAUGUCGUGGUGGCGAAAAUCACAGGCUCUCAAGCUUAAAAUGUAUGGGACCAAAAAUGAUAAAAAGAUAUUUUUAACAGAUCCAAAAAGACUAGUAUGUAAAUAUGAUAGUUGCAAUGAUCCGAAGGUUGGAAAAUGUUAUUAGUUUUGGGUUAGAAUUAUGGUAUAUGUAACAUAUUAAGAGUUGGACAGAUUUUAAUGAUUUUACAAGUUGUUUAUGUAUCAGCAUUUAAAGUGAUAGAUGGUACAACCACUUAAUUAUCAAUUUAUAUGUCGAAUUACUUGAUAUAGUUUGCAUGACAAAUAAAAGGAAAUGAGAUGCUAACAAUUAGUGAGGAAUUUUAAUUAUCUAGGGUGAUUCCAAUUACUUUGAUUAUUUAUAAGAUGUUGAUUAUAAGGGAUGUGAAAAAAAUGAUAUACUUCAUCAUGAUUACUUAUUAUGGGAUAAUUUGUUACUCAAGAAAUAGAAUUGAAUGGAUAUGUGCAUUCAUGUUUUGGAAUUUAUUGAGUUUGGAAAAUUAACAUAUGAAAUCUUGAUAAUAUAUUGAUGUAUGAAAUGUUCACGGGAUAAAUAUGAGGGUUAUUAUUUAGUAAUGCUAAGGAAAAAUUGACAAAAAUUAAAUGUUUUAUGUCCUGCGAUAUGACGAUAAAUAAUAAGGUUACAUGAUCAUAACAUGAUAUAGUGAAUAACAAGUAAAUGAAUGUUACGGUUGUCCUAUAACGAAAUAAUGAGAUGAUGUAUUUGGAUUAUUAAGUUAAUUGGUUUUGCCAUGACCAUUUGUUGGAUUAUUAUGUUAUCUUAUAUACAAUUUGGAAACUAUGAGCCAAAUUUUGAAGUUAAGGUGAAUUUAAUGAAGUUUUAGUGAUGUAAAUUUUGAGUUAUUUUCAAUUGUAUUUUUAGAUUUCAUGAAUAAAAUAUUUUAUUCUUCUCGAAAUUUACACGUUAUGGAACAUAUGCAUAAUAUGUUGGAUAGCUUAAAGUCUAAGACGAUCAUCAUGUAAAUUUUAUUAAAUUAUGGAAAGGUAUCUUUAGGUUAUAGUCUUAAUUGAAGGUCUUUGUGCGAUAUACAAGAAAGCUUAUGCAUUGGUGAUAGGUUGAUGGCCUCUUUAUGGAAUAAGAGUAUAGAAUUAUCAUGGAUUAAUUGUUAUAAUUGUCUCUUCAUAUAAAGAAAGAGCACCAAAAUUUGUGUAAAUUUAAGGAGGUAAAAAGUGUUGCUAUCAGAUUAAAUUCUAAGGAAACAUUUACUCUUGUAUCAAAAGUUGAUGAGGAUUUGAUUUAUGAUAAUGGAUUGUGUUAAGGUUUAGAAUGUGUUUUGAAGUAAAAUGAUGAAUUAUGGAUUAUACAAUAGAUUAUUGAAGAGGCAUGAUUAAAACAUGAUUUAUAGUUGAUUAUAUUGGAGUUGAGUUUAAGAAUUGUGGUGUUAUCACAUGGCAGGAGAGAACAAUACUUAUCGCUUACAGGAGUUUAAGGUAUAUUUUUAUUCAAAAGAGCUAAACUUGAAGUUGUGUAUAUAUUAUUAUUGGGUGAUAUAGAUUAAAGGAAAAGAAUACCAUAUUGAGCUAUUUCAACUAUUGUGGGUAUAAUUGAAAUUUUAGAAAAUCAUGAACAAUUGAAAUUUUGUAAAUAUUGUCAAUUUAGAAUGGGAGUGGUUACCCUUAAAUUUUUUUUUUUCAUUUGGGGUUUCCAAAUACAUAGAAUGGAGACAAAAUGGUAUUUAGAUCAUUGAUGAUAAAUCGACAAAAGUUACAGGAUUAUUUUUAAAUAAUAUAGUCAGUUCAUGAGAUACAUUACUAAACUAUAUAUGGAUAAGAUAGUGAUUUAUAUGGAGUUCAAGUAUCUAUCUUUCGCUGAUAUAGGGAGUUACAGAACUAAAGUACAUUGUGCAAUUUCUUUUAAUAGAAUGCCAGAGAAUAUAAGUAUGAGUUUAGAAAAUAUGUUGUCAACGCAUGGGUUGCUAUUUAAUGGGAACCGAGAUACCUAGUUAUUGAGACAAAAGUUGGAAAAUAAGUUAUUAAGGUGAAUUGGAGAAAUCAUUCAAGAUUAGGCAUUAUGGUAGAUUAAAUGUGUGGGCUACAUAUUUAUUGGUUUGAAUCCUAGCCGAAUGAAUUUCGAGGACGAAAUUCUUUGAGGGAGGUAAGAUUGUUACACCCCAUUUCAUACUAGUCAAAGGUCAAUAUCAUUUAUUCAAAGUCAAAUAUUUGACUGGUAAAGUCAAAGUCAAAUAAGAACUUAAAUGAAGUAAAACAUUUUAGUGGGAUUUGGAUUGACUAAAUUAUUUUUGGGGGGUUUAUUUUACAAAUUGACAACAUUUGAAGGUUUAAGAUGGAUAAAAUUUAAAUUUGGGGAAAUGCUUAUUAGUUAAUAAAAGUUAGAUGACUUAAUAAUACAUCAUAUGAAGUUUGGAGGACUUGAUAGCAAAAGGGUUUAGUGGUGGAUUACAAGUGACACUUUGCAUGCCAUUUCUUCAUUUUCAUAUUACUAGUCGCUGUCACGUGCUUUGCACGAAUUUUGUAUUUAUCGUAUUUUUAUUAGCGUAUGAAUUUUAGUUUUUGGAAAUUUUUGAAGUAAUAUCUAGAAAUAUUUUCAUGAUAUAAGAAAAGGAUUGCAAAUUAUUUUUACAAUUGUAACAGCAUUGUGUUAUCUUGAAAAAAUAUGCUUAUAUAUUUUAUGAUUGAAUAAGAAAUAUACGAGGUUAUAAAAACUAUUUUACAUGUAUUCUUUGAUAGUGUUGAUAUGAUUGAGUUGAAUGUGAAGAUUAUAUUUCUAAAUUUUGUGUAAUUCACUAUUGAAAAAUUGAAGAUUGAGCACAAAAUUAUAAGUCGACUUGCAUAUUCAUAUGCGUUUUAUAUUUUGUCAUUCAUAUAUUUUAAUAUUUAUUUUAUACUUAUAUUGAAAAAAUAAAAAUUUCAAAUUUUUUUCUAACAUUCGGUUUGGUAAGUGAAUGUAUGGUGUACUGCAUUCUCGGUAUUUGUAAGUAUAAAAAUCGGUAUAUAUGGUAAGCUACAAAUACGAUAGGUAGCAUGUACGGUAAACUGUAAAUAUGGUAGACAACAUAUACGGUAUUGAAAUUUAUUGUAGUGGACGAAACCGUAUUCAUUCAUACCAUAUAUGCACUUUACAUAUCAUAUAUGCAACAUACUGUAUUUACAGCAUACCGUAUUUGCAUUAUAUCGUAUUUACACAUAUUGUCUUUAGAUAUCAUAUUUGGUAGAUAUUGAUUUUUGUACAUACCUAUAUGCACUUUACAUACCGUAUUUAUGCAUACCGUAUUUGCAGCUUACCGUAUAUGCAAUAAACUAUAUUUACAGCAUACCGUAUUUGCAUCAUACCGUAUUUAUAGCAUACCGUAUAUAUAGCAUACCGUAUUUGCAUAUAUUGUCUUUAGAUACCGUAUUUGACAGAUAUUGAUUUUUGUAAUUCAAUAUUGUUUUCUUUUUUAUAAUUGUAUUUUCGGAAAUUUAAAAAAAAAGGGUGAUUAUGAAAUUGUCAAUUUUUAAAUGUGUUUUUUUGUUGAAGAUAAAAUUUUUUUUCAAUGCUAUUUGUAUGUGUGUGUGUGUGUGUAUCGUAAAUUUAUUAGCCUUCUUCCAUUGAAACUUAAUUACAAGAAUCCACCAAAGCUAAAUGUCUACAUUAACUUUUCUAGUAGAUUUGGGAAUUAUUGAAGAAAUCUUAACUAUAUUCUUGACUUUCAAAUGCCAUCCUUUGAAACAUUCUGAUCUCUGUAGAUUAUUUCCUUAUAGUAAAAAUUCCACUUUGGCCAAAGUAUUAUUCCGUUGUUCAAAUUUGUUAACUCAUCCCCAUGUAUCACAUUGUAUGUUAAACCAAAAUCUCAUUCUAGCAACCAGGAUAAAUCACCCCAUCUUGUAGAGGUUGAUUGACUUACUAUAAUUUAUGACGAGUUGUCAUAACUCAAACUCAACCUAACUUAACUGUAAUCAAGUUAUAAAGUAAAAAAGGAAUGGGUAAGAAUGGACUCGCCUUCCACACCAAUUUCAAAAUAGAGUUUAUUGUAAAAGAAAAUAAAAGAAAAAAAUUAGGAUCUUCUCCAAACUCUACGGAGAGUUUGGCUUCCACCAUUUUCAAAAUGAGUUUAUGGUGAAAAAAAAUUAUGAUGUUUUCCAAAUUCUCCGGAGAGUUUGACAGUUUGGACAAACUCUCUAUUGUAAAUAAUAAUAAUAAUAAAUAAAUAAAUAAAUAAAUGCUUUGCACGAAUUUUGUAUUUAUCAUAGCUUUAUUAGCGUAUGAGUUUUAGCUUCUAGGAAAGUUUUUGAAGAAAUAUCUAGCAUUAUUUCCAUGAUAUAAAGAAAAUUGUUGCAAAAUAUUUUUACAGUUGCAACAGUAAAAAAAUAUGCUUAAGGUUAUACAAAGUAAAUGUGAAUUUUUCCUUCCAGACAAAAAUUGUAUGCUACUUGAAUAUAUAAUAAUUCACAUCAUUUCUCUCGUAUACAUCAUUAAACAAAUAGCUGCAUUUAUGCUUUGACACGAUAAAUGUGCUAGAGUUGACAUAAUACAUAAUAAGUAAAUGUUGAGUCAGAAAAAUGAAUUUUGAAUGGUACAUUCAUAAAUUAUGCUUGGUGAGUGUGUAUUAGCAUUUCUUAGCCAUAUCUGGACCUAGUCUACAGUUAUACAUGUGUCCAUCAAGGCAAUGAAUUAAUGGCAUUGGCACAUAGGAAGGUAAAUAAAUUUUUCCCAAUACCUGUUUUUUCUAUAGAAAUGGAACAGCAUCUAAUGCUUGAACAUAAAGCAAUUUAUAACAAACACACACACACACAAAAAAAAAAUAGUAUAGGAUCCACCUCUCACAAUCCGAAUACUCCUCUUGCAACUCCAUGAUUUUGACUCAACAAUCCGAAUACUCCCCCUACAGUAGAUAUUGUCCAGGAAGUUGAAAUUGUUGUGCGGAGUGUUCCAUUGUUAUCUAUAGAAUUUUAAAAAAAAAAUCAUUAAUUACAAUUAAUGCAUUUAGUCUAAUUACUAAUUUAAAAAAAUAAAUAAAAUGUGAGACGUGUGGUGCGGAAGCAUGCGAAAACUCAGUUGCGAGCAGAGUUUUCGCACCUCACGUUGCACUUUUUUUUAAUUAGUAAUUAGACUAAAUGCAAUAGUAAUAAUUAAUGAUUUUUUUAAAAAAUUCUAUAGAUAACAACAAAUCUUUUGUUUGGUUGGUGAAAAAAUAAAUGAAAUAGUAAUGAUUUAAAAAACCAAUUAUUGCUUGCUUGGAAGUUUUUGUUUCAUAUGGGUGGUAAAGUCAAGAUAUUCACGUGAAACUUCUGAAAAGUUGUUUCACGUGAAUAAAAGAGAAAAAUAAAAUAAAAAGAAAGGUCAUUCUACUGAAGUUCAGUUUUCUUUCAGCAAAACUUUUAGUAGUAUUCUUGCAGUUGGAUUUUUCAUCUUUCAUCCCAAAAUCUCAGGAAAACAAAUUACAAGGUAAUGUUUAGUUUUCAGGAUUUUUUAUUAUUUUUGUUGUAGUUAAUUUGUUUUGCUCCUAAUGUGAAUGUGAAAAAUUUUAUUUUCUACAGAUUUUUGUUGUGUUAAUAUGGUCUAACUGAAUUUUGAUUGCUAAUUUUUUUGAGUUUAUACUGUCUUCUUUUAUUUUAAAACAUCAAUGUUUUGUUUUGUUAAGUAUGUUAGGUUGAAUAAAGCUUGAUUCUUUAGAUUUCCCAGUAGAAAAGUUUUGUAUCUUUUACCCGUAUGAAUAUAAGCUCAAAACCUUCAUGAAUUCAAAUUUUCUGGGAAUUUGGGCUAUGAUGACAACUUGCUUGUAUUUAUUGAUUGCAAGAGUCGAGGGAUAUAACACUUAUUGAUAAUUUCUGGUUUCUUUGUAAAAUGGAGCAAAGAUAUAAUUAACUUUAGAUUUGAUACAACUAAAACUAUGUUAUCUUGAUUUACAUUAUUUAUUGUUAAAAGAUGCUUCACUUAAUAUAAAACCAAAAAUAAUUUGAAUAUUUUGUUUAGAUAAUCUUAUUAGAGCACUUUUGAUAUAUUUGCUUAUAGUUUAAUUGAUUUCUCUUUAAAAUCAACCAAUCCCUCCAAAUCUCAUGUGAUUAUCUACAACUAUAUAUGUUGAGGUAAAUUGUUUUAUAGCAGUAAAUAUUUAUCUAUUAAUUAUUUAUGUGGAUAAAGUGGAAAAUAUUUGUGUAAGACAUGUUUUAAUUUUUAUUUGUAAUCACAAUUUCUCCAAAUAUUAGUUUGUAAAUAAGUUUUGUUAUUUCAUACAGAUGUCUCUAGAUUAUGUCUUGUCUCAAGACCAAUGGUUCUGUGCUACUGUUUGUCAAUAUCCAAAUCAUCAAUACGUUAGAGAUUUGAUAAAAUUGUUACAAAUAGACGAACGAGCAUUAUUAAUGUACAAUAAUUUCCAUGGAUUUCUAUAUGGAUUUAUGUAUAGAGACAAAGAGCAACAAUUUAGUAGCAAGCUGAUACAUGAAUUCAUAAUGAGAAUUGUCAAUUCCGGUAAAAAUAUUGAAGUGUGGGUAAGAUUUGAUGACCAUCUUGCCCAUUUUGGAAUGCAAGAAUUCUGCUUAAUCACUGGACUACCUUGCCACGAACCAUCUAUCAAUCUUGACUUUAGUAAUCCUUGGCUUAGAAACCAGUAUUUUAAUGGUGUGAAAAGGAUUUCUAUGAGAAUGCUCCAUGAUGCCUUCAAUUCAUGUAAAGAUUGAGAAGAUAAAUUCAAAUUUGGAUUCGCUAUGUUGAUAAAGUGUGUUCUCAAACCAACUGAAAGACAUAUUGAUUACAGAAUGCUGGGUAUGGUUGGGCAGUUUGACGAUCUUCUUUUGUAUCCAUGGGGCCGGAAGGCAUAUUUUGUUUUGUUGAAUUCAUUGCAACAAUCACACUUUGGAAGAAUACUAAGAAUGCAAAAGGCUAAGCAAAGGGAGUGUAAAUAUUCGCUACAUGGAUAUCCUUUUGCUUUUUAGGAAUUUGUUUUUUACUAAAUUUUUAUGUUUUGUUUAGUUUAAUGUUGUAUAUAUUUAAUAUUUAUCUUCAAUUUCAUUUUUCAGUUUUGUAUAUACGAAGCAUUUCCCAAGAUUGGAAAGAAAUUUGAACGAAGGAGAUACAAGACAUUACAAAUUUCAAGAAUGCACAAAUGGAAGCCGAGGCAAAUAUUGACAGACAAAAUUGUAAAACAAUAUUUGUCUACACACGAGGUAUGGUAAUUAUAUGAAAAUUUAUACAUUUAAUUAUUCUACUAUACUAUAGUAUAGAAUUCUAAUAUUUUAUUACGUUUAUAGAUUCGAGUCAUUGCGGUAUUGCAACCAACAAAAGAAGAAUUGCAAACAUUAUGGUACACAACUCUAUCGUUACCGUUGGACAAUAAACACACUAUAUUAGACGGUAUUGCCGGUGGAGAGCUUGGCAACAUUGUACCACAAAUUCCACAUAACAAGCAAACAAUUAAUGCUGAUGAUGCUGGUACUUCUAGAACACACCCUUUAGUUGGAGUGGAGCCAAAUUAUACUUCUGCUGUUGACUGUAAUUAUGUCACAAAAGAACAGAUGGAAGAAAUGUUCACUAUAUAUAGACAAUAUGUAUCUGGUUUGUAUGAUGAUUUGAAGGCACACAUGAUGGAAGAAUCAAGAAAACAAUAUGAUGAAUAUCUUGAAAACCAGAAGGGAAUGUUUGAAGAACAGUAAAAAUGGCAUAAACAUUAAUAUGAACAGCUACACUCAACUUAUCAAUCAAGUAUAUAAUCUACAUAUAUGGAUAGUCAAGCUUUCUGCCAGGAUUUUUUUGGUCGACAGAUGGCUGAACAAUCAAGAAGACAAGAAAGUAAUUACCAAGCAAUUGCUGACAAUCAGAAAGAAUUUUUUCAGCAACAACAAAAAUGGCAGGAAGAUCACCAUCAGGAAAUGCAAUCUCACAUGCAAUCUUACGUGGACAACAUUUUAACUUCGAUGAGAUCUUACUUUGAAGAACGAAACAACAACAUGCUGAAUGGAAUGGGUGAUAUGGAAGCUAUUGUUGGUUGUUUACAAGAAGAUAUUCCUGGCUCCAGCAGUAAAAUUCGUGGCAAGAAAGUAACAUCUGAACAAACUCCUCAAAUUGAUAUGUCCACGAAAGAGAUGUAUAAUAGGAAGAUAAAAUCUUCAGAUUUUCCUCUCGAAGACUAUUCUAUGGAGAGAUAUUUAUCAGUUCAUCAAUGGGUGGUGGUGAAUAAAUUGGGGUAAAAAGCCUAACUCUAACUUAUUAGUUAUAUUGUAUUUAUUUCACACUGAUAUAAACUAUGAUCUACAGUAGAUAUUCGGAUCUUGGAGGCAAUAUGUAUGGAAGAGACACACUAUACAAUAUACUUGAAGACUAAGAUAUUAGCAUUACGGUUAUUGAAGCUCACAAAUUAUAAUUAUUUUCAAUUUACAUUUGACAUAUAAUUUAUAUUUAUUUAUUGUAUUAGACUAUAGAGAUGGAGUUAAAGUUAUUGAAGCGAUUGAUUAAAGAAAGUUGUACAUUCCUCUCUAAACAACAUGGAAUUUUGGACUUCAAUUUUGAAGCUGAAUGCGAUCACCAAUUGAUGUGACAAAGAACUUUAAAAGAAGGAAGUUCUAGUGUAGAUCAUCGUCAGAUAGAUUUCACUGUAUUAAAGAAUUACAUAAGUGGCAAUUUGCCAUAGCACAGUCAUCCAUUGAUAGCAUACAACUAUUUAUUAAUUCCAUGUUCGUAUCCAGGCGAUUUUAAUUGUUAUCUUCUUAUUGUUAAUUUCCGUUAGUAAAAAUUUCAGAUAUAUGGUUGCAGUAAUGACGUCCACACACCAACAGAAAUUAGGAAACAAGUACAUACAGUAUAUGAAAUAUUUCAAAAAUUAUUGACAAAUUCUGAAUUUUGUUCCAGUAGACCUGAUUUAAGAAAGCACAGAAACAAUCAGCUUAAAUUGGAGAUUAUGUCUCACUUGCCUUGCGCAAAUAAUGGGUAAGUACUUAAGGCAUUUAAAUUGUUUAUUAUUUACUACUAUAUUUAAUUUUUUUUAAUUUUGAUUUUUAUAUUCAUUAUUAGUUCAGUCUAACAAAAAAAAUUGUAUGUAGACCACAAACUAUAGACUUUUUCUCCUCAAAUACAUAGAAUGCUUUCUUCUAAAAUAUCCAUUAGAGACAAUUGAUUUGGAGAGAAUGAGACUAUACAGAUGGAAAAUUGUGUUUGUUACAAUGAAUAUUUUUUAGAUCACCGUACGUCGUGAUUGUAAUUGUAAUUGUGAUGUAAAGGAUAAUUUAAAUCCACAUCCUCAAUGUUGAGAAUGAUUGCUAUGUAAUAAGUAAGUUUUUAUCAAUUUGAAAUUAUUUUUCCUUCUUGUUUUUAAUUCAUAUAUAUAUAUAUAUAUAUAUAUAUAUAUAUAUAUAUAUAUAUAUAAUAGAAAAAAAGAAUAAUAAGAAUAAUUAUAUGGUGAGAAAUUAUGUUCUUUGAUUAGUAUUUUGUGGGUGUAGACAUAUAUUGGGUUGAUGAAUUGUCAUUAAACUCUUAUUUUUGUUGCUAGGAAAAUUGGAAAUUUCAUAUUUUAGUCUUUGGAAUUUUUUCGACUAAUCGAAAGUAAAAGAAAGACAAAAAAUAGAAAUGCUUUAAAAGCCUUUGUUCACAUUUGUGAAAUUACCUGUUUUGCUAUUCAACCAUACAAUAGAGUUGAAGCAUAAAUUAUGUAGGUAUUAGCCUACAUACAUCAUUUGUAAACAAGAAUGUACUUGGCAAUUUUGAAAUAAAAUUAUACUAACGAAGAAAACAAAAGUCAAGACUAAUUCCAGAAGAAAAAUAGAAAUGCCUUAGGAAAUAGAAACGUCUUCAUUAGUGUUGUUGCCAUUUUUCAUUACUGUUGUUGACAUUUAUGAAAUUACUACUUUGCUAUCCAACCAUACAAAAGAAAUUAUGUAAAUAUCAGUUUACAGACAUCAUUUGUCAACAACAACAUGCUUGGCACUUUACUAAGGAGGAAAAGAAAAGCCAAGAAUAAUCCUAAUCAAAAAUUGCACUUGUCAACAACAACAUGCUUGUGCAUUUGUAAAUAAGAGCUUCUCUGCUGCUUCCCAAUUGCACUUGCAUUAAGUAAGCCUGUGGCAUCUGACAAUUGCACAUAUGCUUGAGCCCUAAAAUGUAUUUGGUAUACACUCAGAAAAGAUCAAGACAAUUAAAGAAAGUAUGUAUAUCCAUAUUAUAUCCAUGUAUUGAAUUUUCUUUGACCCUAGUAAAUGUAGUUAAUAAGGUGAAAGAAUCUCAAGACAUUUAGAACAAAAUUAGUAAACGUGGAUAGUGGCGAUCGUGGGUAGAGAUGCAGGAAUAGGAAAAAAGAAUAAUAAAAUAAAAUCUAUUUCUUCUACAUACCAUUUCGUCAUCUAUUUUACUUCGAUGAAAGGUGUAUUUAUGAAGAAAGUAGUACGGACUUUUGUGGACAAUUUCAAACUUGCAUAUAUGUGCAAAUUAUCACAUAUAUAUGCUGUAUUAUAUGCUGAUAUGAUGUAAUGUAAAACAUACCAGCAACUAAACAAAUAACACAUACCAAAGAAAGACGUAACUCUAAGAUGUGUUGCAAAGAUGAUUGGUUUUUCUCAAUAUUUUCUGCUAUUACUACACAUUCUCUAUCAACAAAGGAAUCCCAAAGUGUAGGCAUCAUUAUUUUGAAAUUUUUGUCCAGAAGCAAUACUUCUUGUACCCGUGUUUGGUUGCCAUCUUUUGAUUGAAUCAUUCGUUUAGGAGUCAUAUCAAUUGCAACCGCAAGUAUAUCUAAAAAUAUAAAUUUUAAAAUGACUCUCUGCUUAUUUUUCUAAAUAUAAUAACUAAUAAAUAAUUCAAUAAUUCAAGAUAACAUAUCAUGGAAUAACAAAAAAUAUACAUUUCUUACUUAUAUCAGCAUUCGUAUCCAUAUAUUCUUCUGCUUCAUGAAAAGCUGUCAGCUGAUAUGUUGAAAACAGAAAUUCCAGAUUAUCUUUAUUUAGUUCAACAAGACGAGUUCGUCCAGUUAUAGUCCAAUGAUAAGAUCCUAUCGAAUAUUUGUAGUUUCCCGUAUUAUUUUUCACAUAAGCUUUUGAAAUGGCCCAAAACAAGUUGAUCCUCAAAAGCACUAAUAUUGGAAUCAUGUAAGGUAGCUUGGAUAAUAUUUCCCUAGAAAAUGAAAAUGAAAAUGAAAAACGAUGAGAAAUUUCUUUGUUAUCUGAUUAUAUAUGAAUGAGAAGUCUUAAUAGUUUUUGUUUUGAAGUUGAAGCCAACUUUUAUAACUAACAAUAAGAAGAGUUACCUGAGUAUCCAUCAACACCAGAUGUUGAUAUCUUCCAUUACCUUGUUUAGAAGGUUUUGGUGAUUGUUUUUGGACAACAAUGACCUUGGCUUUCCACUUCUCGUUGUUUGAGACAAUUUCUGGUAUGAAUUUGUAUUCUUCUUCUUCUAUUUCAUCUAAAUCUAAAAUAAAUAAUAUGUCAGAUGUAGUCGGAGUAGAGCAAAAGAUUUAUGAGGAUGGUAAUCUCAGAAGGGAAAUGAAAUGGUUUAAAUAGAUAUAGUAUAAUUUGUCAAAGUUUAAAAAAAAUUCGAUAAAAUCAGUAAAGUAUGGCCAAGUAAAUCAGUUGAUUGAUUAACCUGAAAUUUUUAUCAAGUAUAUUAUAUAAAAGUACAUUCUAGAGUAUAAUGUAUGGGAAUGGAUUAGUCUGUGUAUGAUGAAAUGUAUAAGUAUAUAAAUAGAGAGUAAUGUAAAAAAAUGAAUUAGUUUGGUACAGCAAAAUCUGUAAGGUAUGGGAUAGCAAAAAAGAUAUAGAUAUAUAUACCAGUAUGGUGAAGGCAUGGCAAGCAACUCACGAUAGUAAACAAUUAAUAAUAAUUAAUUAUUUAGUAAACAAUAAUUUCAAUCAAAAAACAAAAGGGGAAAAAAUUUUGCUCUGCAACAAUAUGGAGACUUUGCACUAUUUGGAACAUUAAAAAGGAAAAAAGAAAAAAAAAUCACUCUUGUGUGCAAGGGAAAUGAAAUGGUUUAAAGUUUAAAAAAAAGAAGAUAAAAUUGGUGAUGUAUGGCAAGUUAUAUGUAAGUAUAUUCUAGAGUAUAAUGUAUUGGAAUGGAUUAGUCUAAAUGAAAUUUGCAAAUAUAUAACUACAUAGUAAUGUAUGGGAAUAGAUUAGUUUACCACCAGUAGUAUUGUAUGUAUACCUGUGUAAAAUUCAGAGGAAGAGGUAUGACAAGUAUCUCAAGACAUAAAUAAUUAAUAAUAAAUAAUAAUUUCAAUCCAAAAGAAAAUAAAAGGAAAAAAAUUUAAAAGAAAAGGGAAAAAAAAUUUGCUCCGCACUGUACGGAGUAUUUCCGUCCCUUUUGUUUUGAUUUAAAUUUUUAUUUAUUUCCUUCCCUUUUGUUUUGAUUUAAAUUUUUAAUUGUUCAAUAAUUGUUUUACUGAGUAAUCAAAUAAUUUGAAUGAUAUAUUAGCCUUUUUUUUGUAGUCUUAAUCAUAGCAAAUUUCCUCCGCACUUAACCUUAGCAAAGUUGCUCUGCACAGUGUGGAGCAUUCUAACUAGUGCUCCGCACUGUGCAAAGCAUUUGCCUUUUUUUUUUUUGCGAUUUAAAUUAUUAAUUAUUUACUUUGUCAGUAAACAAACAAUUAAUUGCCAUAUUAGACCAUAUCAAACCAAUUGGACAUAUUUAUUGUAUAACUAAACUAUUCUUUUGUUAAUUACAUAAAAUUAUACUUUUAUUUCUUUUUAAUCUCAUUAGUCACUUUUUUUUUUUAAUUUCAAUCCACCAUUUAGCACUUUACAUCUUAGUAAUAAAAUUCAUUUUUAACUAAAUCUAGCAGACGUAUCUAAAAAAUAAUCCCGGGAAGAGUGUUUUGUCUGAACUAUUUUGUCCAUUUUUUACUUUGUCUAUUUCUAUAUUCCUACCCCGUGAAAUUGCUGUCAAAUCUUCUCUCAAAAAAGGACAAGUAUUGUUUAAUUUAAAUAGCUUCUCAUACCAUUUAUUCAUACCUAACCAAUUUACAUAUCUUUACCUACCAAGCUUUCCUCAAAAAAAUCAGGUUUAAUCUAGUGUUUCUUUCUUGAUUCUUUUACUACAAUUGCUUCAAAAUAAAUUGGUAGUUUUAAAUGAUAUAUAAUUUUCAAUCUUUAAUUGUGUUAAAAAUCAUACAUACUGCAGUUUAUCAACAAAAAAACGGAUGUGCCACAUAGGUUCUUCAAAAUUAUCGAUGUUUCUCUAAAUCAUAAAUCAGUUUGGCAAGUUAUAUAAUAAUAUCUUCUUUCAUUUUAUAUUUGUAUGAAUAUUUUAUUUACUGCCUAUAUUUUUUUCAUAAAUGUAGAUGCUUCCUACAUCUUUUGUCAAUUGCUGAAGACACGAAUUAAGUGAUAGAGUACGAUUAACUUCGUAUGAUGGUAUAAUUGUAACAAUACAGUUACAAACAAUUGAUGGAAAAAUAUAUUUGACUAAUGGAUGGGAGCAAUUUUUUUACCAUCAUAACUUAUAGGAUGGUUUUGUUGUAGUAGUUGAAUAUAAUGGAAAUUCAACGUUCAAUAUGAGGAUAUUUGAUCAUUUUAGAUUAGAUGUUACAUAUGGCUCUGAUGUUGGAGACGACGAGGCUUUACAUCUGAAUAAUCUUGCAUUCGAAGUAACACUGAUGCUCAAUCAGAACAAUGAUUGAGAAAUUGUAGGCUAUCUUUAAUAUAUCAUUCUAUAUUUACCUUUUUCACAUUAUUUUAGUCUUAACAUCAGCAUCCAUAUUUUUUCAAAAUUUAUACCAGGAAUAUGUGCGGAAUGUUUGGCUCCAUGACUCUCUACAUCACUUCUGGGAUAUCACUGCAAAUUCAAGACCAAACAGUGUGAUACGCCGUCUUACUGUAUGUUGGGGCAAUUUUUUGGCAAAAAAGGAACUACAAAUCGGAGAUACAUGCGUAUGUGAAUUAUUAAAUAGCGAGUCUCCAAUGUUCAUGGUUUACGAAAAAAAAAAAAAAAACCACAACGAUGGAACUCUAACUCGUCUAUGAAACUUUUCACACCAAUAAUGUUUAAUAUUUAUGUUUAUCCAUUUAACUUUUUCGUUAAUUAUCUUAAAUUAUGGCAUAAAGAUUUUCAUAGAAAUUACAUUUUUUCCUUUCUUUACAAUUCAAAAAUACUACAAUGUCUCUAACUAAAACAUAACAUUCUCUUAUAUAUAUAUUUACACUAAUACGUUGUAUGAUGGAUUCACCUUCAAGAUGAUGUUUUCAAGUAGAAUGAACCUAUGUGUUUUGUAAUAAUAUCACUUAUGGUAGGAAUAUAUUUACAUAAGAAUAUAAUUAUGGUAAAAUGAUUAAAUCAAGUUAAAAAAACUUACACAAGUGGUUUCCAGAAAUGGUUCCCUCCAUCUCUAACUAAACUUCUAAAUAUCAGCUUUACCAAUUGUAUUCAUAUUAACCAUGCAACAUUUGACAGCUACACAGCCUAAUAUGAAUAACAAAUGACCAUUAAUAAACAGAAAAAAGUAAGACAAUUCAAAAAGUUAUGUGUGAUUAAUACUUGUAUUCAGAAAAUACAAAGCAUAACGACUAAUUAAUAAAUUCUUGGAAAGAAUAACUUCAAAAAUCCUUUUUGCAAAGAUACAAUUUUGCAAAAUCAAUAUUUUAUCAUGACAGUAAGAAGUCAAAAGUCCAGAUUUGUUAUUAAUUUUGUGUUUGUAAUAACAAAUAUAAUCAAUAAAGAAUUAUAACAAACAAUUAAGAAUAUACCUUAGAAAUCAUCAUCAGAUGAAGUGAACUAAAUUCAAGAUUUCAUGAUAGACAAUAUUUUGGGUACAACAAGUAUGUGAUUUGUUUUUGACAAAAGGUUUAAUCAGAACUUUUAUAUUUUCUCUUGUUCUAGCUCGGGAAAUGUAAUAUACAAUUGGCCAUGGGAAAAUACAAGUUCUGGAAGAUAUAAGCCAACAAAAUCUAGAGUUUGACCUUGAGAUUUGUUAAUGGUCAUUACAAAACACGGACGAAUUGGAAAUUGAGUUCUUUUAAAUGGUACAAACUAUUUAUCACCUUCAAGAGGAAUGAAUGGAAUUCUAGGUAAAAAUACUUACUUUUCACAAUAUUCUCCUAUCCCAAUUUUAGCCAAGAUAACAUUUUGCUUAAAGUCACGACAAAUAAGUCUAGUCCCAUUGCAUAAACUUUCUGCAGGAUUAAUAUUUCGGAGCAUUAUAACUGGACAAUUUUUUUUCAGUAUGAGUUCAUGUGGUGGUAUACCAUUUGGAGUUAGACUAUUCAAAAAAUCUUCAUCAAUAAAUCCUUCACUUUUAUCAAUCACUUCAUCUAAAACUAAAAUACGUAACUUUCUCUCCCGGAAUUUCUUUAAGCAACAUAUUGUUUAUUAGAUCUACAUAUUUAUUUUGGGGUUAAAAUAAUUCUAUUCAUCAUAAUAUGUAAGUUGUCUCCAUAUGUCUGGAAAUUGGGAAACACAAUGUCAAUUAAUUCCUUCAAUGAUUUAAAUUCAUCUUCAAAAUUGAUGGUAAUAUCUUCAGGAAGUGUAAUCAUUUGGCAUGAAUGUUUUCUCUGUAUUCCAUUCCCAAUCUUCAGCAAAUAUUCACAGAAUGAUCUAAUUUAGCUCUCAUAUUUUUGAUUAAUGCUCGCUAUGUAAAAGAAUGCCAUAAAUGCGAAAAAAACUAAACUUGCCUUCAUUAUAUCGUCUUUUGUUUCUCUUUGUGCUACUGGUAAAACUUGUCGAAAAUUUCUUCCACACACAAUAACUUUUCCACCAAAUGGUAAUUGACAUUCAGUAAUGUCUCUUAACAUUUUAUCUAAAGCCUCAAAAGCAUAUUUAUGAACCAUUGGUAUUUCAUCCCAGAUUAUUAGUCUAGCCAAUGCUAAAAGUUUACCAAGCGCAGACUGUUUACUCACCGAACAACACAUAUCACAACUUAUUUCAAGCGAAAUUUUGAAUCUUGAAUGUCCUGUUCUACCAACCGGUAAUAGAGAUGCAGCUACACCUGAUGAUGCCGUUGCUAGUGCGAUAAGAUUUUGAGAUUGUACACCAAAAAGUAAUGCCUUGUACAAAUAUCAUUUAAAACACAAUCCAAAAUAAUAUCAUAGGUAUUUUGUUUCUCUUUAUUUAAACUCUUACUAUAAUGUAUGUCUGAUUACAAAUUAAUAUUGGUUGUUUCUUCGGCAAUCAUGGUUUCAAAGAUAUCAUCAUCAUUCACAGUUAAAUCAAAAUCUACCAAGGAAAAAUCAAUUAUAUUCUUACCAACACCUUCUAAGAAAGAAUUUAUGCAGUGUAAAGCUUUCAUCUCAGCACUUUGUUGUGUGAAACCUUUAUGUAAAUAAUCUUCUACCAUGAAAUCCUUAAAUUUAUCCCAUAAAUUCCUUGGAUUUGUAGGCCAAGAUAAACUCAAUAAAUUGGCAAAUAGUCGCCAUAGUGAUAUGGGCAUUUGGUAAGCAACUGCCUCAAAUAAACACAUCUCAGAAUAGCUAUUUCCACUAAAAAAACCAUGGGAAAGUACUGCUUCACAAUAAGUAGAUAAAACAAUACCAUUGACUGUUUUUAAAUCUUCAAAAAAUUUUGGCCCUCUAAUAUGAUUUAGCAAAACUCUUAAACAAUACCUUUUACCUUUAGAUGGAUUAGCACUGACUAUUCUACCAAUGACAUUUUUUCUUUUUCUGGGACUCCAAAUUCUCAUGGAUGUAUCCCAUACAAAAUAGGUUGGAAAUUCUUUAUACAGUAGAGUUUUUGCCUUUUCAUUUGAAAUAUUCAUUCUAAAGAAUUUCGUAAACAUUGUUCGGUGAACAAAAUCUUUAUUUAUAACCUUUGAUAAAUCAUCUGUCUCCUUGUAUAUAACCGUUUGAGCAUCUUUAUUAUGUAACUGUAAAGAGAUUACUGUAGGAGAUAUAUCGAAUAAUUCAAAACUAAAUAUCCUCCAUAUAGCUUCAGGUGGAGAUAUCCAUCUAACUGUUUGGUAGUUUGAAAUCUCAUCAACGAAUUGUUCGUUUGUUUCUUUAUUUAAACUAAAAUGAAUGCAAUCAUGUCCCUUAUAUACAUACAUGUAUAGAUAUUUAACAGUUUUAAUAGAAUAGAAGAACAUACUUCCACUUUAAUGUGACAAUCAUAUUUAACUAAAAUGUAAGGAUUAUACGCUAUAACCCAUCUAUUAUCCAACAUACACCCUCUUACUUUAACACUUACACCAUCAUUGCGACGCUUGUAAAGUGGGUAGGAAUCAUUACCGAAAGAAUUAUUUUCAACGUAAUCUCUUGGAUAUUUAUUUUUACACACAAAAUUAUUUUCCAUACAAACAUUCUUAGGAUUCAAAUUCCCAAAAGGACCAUAAAUCAUAUGUUUUACAAUAGUAGCAUGCAGGUAAGGGUAUUUUUCUUUGUCCGGUAUUUUCGAUGAGACAAUUUCAUCGACUUGUACAGAGUUCCAGAUCUUAGAGUUUUGUUUAAAUAUAAGGAGAAAAUGAGCAUGAAGUAAUCAUCUUUUCUGGAAUUCAAUCGCAUAAACAUGUGCAGCAAUAGAACCCAACAACUUCCUCUUAACCAAAUCUGUCUUCAGUUCCUCAAACUUGGCACAAAAUAUUCAUACUAACAAAUCUGGCCUAUUAUGUAUUUCAUCACUGUGUUUCAAUUCACAUUGUAUUUUAGGCCAAUUUGGAUUAAAUGUCAUUGUCAAAACACAUCAGGUUUACCAUAUCUCUGAACUAAAGACAUUGCAUCUAUAUAUCUUUUAGUCAUGUUCCUAGGACCCCCAACAAAACCAGAAGGCAACACUAAUGAUCUACCAAUUUUAUAACCUCUAUUCUCAUCAUUUUAUACACUAUCUACAAUUCUCUUAUAUAGUUCAGCUCUUAUAACCUUUUGGUUAUUACGAAAGUAGUCUAAUCUUACUGUUUCAAUUUUCACAUACAUAUCCACAACAUAUUGCUGUAAAAGUCUGCCAGCAUGUAAAAGAAUACAAUUAUUUACAAACCUAAUUUGAAGCUUGUAACAAUAAUAUUCCCGACAUGAUACAGUUAUUCAUUUUUUCUUUGUCUUCAAAACUGCAAGAAAGAAAAGAAUAUAUCGACAAAAACUUCAUUCACUAAAUUCAAUUAAUAACAUAAAUAAAUUAGUUUAAAAAAUAGAAAUUACUAAAGUCGUUUACCAUAAUCUUCUACUUCCAAUAAUUGAUCCGCGGAAUGGAGAUGGUUAACUUCUAUUAAAUUCUGACAAACUAGAGCUUGUGAAACACUUACAUUCACAUUUUCAAUACCUUCAUACCAUCCAGGUUCUCCAUACGGGAAAAGUAGUGGAUAUUGGAGAGGAUCAUAACAACCAUAAUAGUAUUGAACUUUAUAUGCAUUACCUGAAUGUCCAUAAAUUAAUAAAUCCCGACCUGCAGUAUUUGUAGAUGGGUCAUCAUCAACCCAAACUACAGCCACUUGUUAUGAUGUUGGCAAGUUAUAUAUUCUUUGAUCAACACCAGAAUUAGACUUCAAUAAAAUACAGCAUGAUUCUAAAUCACUAACUUCACUUAAUGAUCGGAAAAACUUUGAAUAGAGAUUUUUCUUUAGAACAUCUAUCAACUUUCUUAAUGUCAAAUCAUGCUCAUACCUUCUGAAGUAUAAAUAACAUUUGACGAUGACGGAGGAAUAAAACUUAAAGAUUGUAAGACGCCUAUGUAGGAGAACGGUGUAGCGAAUGAAUACUAUGGGAAUGGGAAUUGUGUUGGCAUGGAGUACUAAAAAAAAUGACAUUGGUAUAUGCAUCGAGUAAUGUUGUUCGCGUGCUGAGUGUCAACUCCGCCAUCUUGCACAUCAUUAUGCAUCACACUUGGUCAUUUUCCUUUUGUUGAUGCUGAAAAUCCCUGGAUGUGCCCCCAACAAAUUAGUAUUUGUAUAUAAUAGUUUGUUGCUAUCUAUAGUUUUUUACUUAAAUGUACCUUCAUUGUGGUUGAACUCGACUCCAACGGAAUUUUUAUACACUGUUUCCUGGGUGCCCCCUUUUCGUUCCAUGAUUUUGGAUCUCGCACCUCACGCUUGUAUUAUUUUGUGAAGUAGUACACUAUUCAACUGCUUGACUAGUUUGAUGCGCGAGGGCAUUGUGUAAUGCCCAGACCUGCAUGGAUCGAAACGUCACUAGAUUAACUUACUUUAGCCGUAAAUUUGUUUAACUCGUUUUUACUAGAAGGUAUAAAGAAUAAUUUUUUUCUUAUAAUUUAAUACUAAAAGAAAACAAUUUCAAAAAAAUCGAAUUCAUUCAUACCGUAUAUGCACUUCACAUGUUAGAUUAACGCAUACUGCAUAUGCACUUUACAUGUUGGAUUAACACAUACCGUAUAUGCAACAUACCGUAUUUUUAACAUGCAGUAUUUGCAUCAUACUGUAUUUACAGCAUACUAUAUUUGUAUCAUACCGUAUUUACAUCAUACCGUAUAUGCAUGUAACCACUAUUGACAUGAAAUUUUGCAACACUUUAAAAGUAAUAUUGUUGUUUCAAUUUUUUAUCUCAAAAGGUAAUUAUCAAAAUAAAUUUGUUUGCGUAGCUAUCGACCUCGAAAUUUCAUCAAAUUUUAAUCUAAAGUAGGAAAUUUCUUAUAAUAUGACAUAGUCAAAAGUUAGCUUCCAUCAGCAUCAUAUGAGGUAUUAAUUUUUUUUUAAAAACCCAGCAGCGACUUAGAUGAUAGAUAAACCGUUGCAGUUCACUUAAAAUGACAUUUAAAAUUUCACAAAUAUCAAAACCACAUGAUUUCAAAUUUAUUCAGUAGCUAAUCCAUGAGACUAUCAAAUCCAAUUGGUUUCAUCCAAAAAUUCCAUGUAACAGUCAAGUUAUGAAUUUUUGAAGUCAAGGCAAAAGCUGGAAAAACGGUGACUCUAUCUAAUGCAAUUUACUUUAUGCAACAUAUAAAAUUCCACCGGCAUCCGGUUGACAUGAUUCCAAGUUUAUUCAAUAGUUAACUUUUUAGGCUAUCCAAGCUAUUGGUUUUGUAUAGAAAUGCCAAGUAACGAAAGACUUAUGAAUUUUUAAAGACCCUAGAAUCUGAAUUUUUUUUAAAGAGAUAGCAAAACUUUAAAUCGCUAACAUAUUUUUUGUAAAUGGUGAUUUGCAAAUUUAUUCCUAUAACACAUACAAAGAAUGUUCAUAGAAUAUAUCCACACAUGACAUCCAAAGGAAUCUAAUUUAAAGAAAACGUAAACAUUUUAUAAUUAACUAAAGAUAUUAAAUCACUGGCUUCUCUAUGACAUGUCGCAUCAUCAUUUAUCAUUAUCCACGCCCCAAGGAAAAUUCAUUCAACCUAUAGGAAGAGAAUUAAACCAUGAGUUUGAAACUCAAUAGAUAUCAUUGGUGCAUUUUGUUGUCAAAUUAAAAAUUUCGAACUAUAGAUUCAUACCAUCACACAUAGAUGGAUUUUCGACAAAAUCCAAUUACUAUAGUGUUAUCAUAACACGUAGAGCCGGAUAAUGAUCAUUCAAACUAUUGUAGUGCCAAAGCACCGUACCCAAAGAUACCAUUUCAUUCAAAUAUUUAUUGAAAAUAAUAAUUUGAAACGAAGAACUUGCACCUCUACAUACCUUGAAUUUUCUUGGAUAUCAAAGAACAAAAUGUGUAGAAAGCCUUUCUUCUUCUCACCCUUAUUAUUCCCUUAGCUUAAAUUGGCAUAAAACAUAUUUUUUUGAGAGAAAAUAAGAGGAAAUUCGGAUUUGAGGAGGGGUGUAGUAAAAAGUGACAUUUCACUUCUUGUAAUAUUUCUUUUUAAUGAAAAACUAAAUGGGGAGAGUUGUAUUAUCGUUAAGUUUGUUAAAUUGGAUCUUUAAAUAAGAAUUUGAAGAGUUUUUAGACCUAAAAAAAGUAAUUCAUAAAAGUUUUAUAAAAACAUCUACAUGGUGAUUCGAACUUGGGUUGCCUAUACGAAAUACCAUGUAGAUGGCUAUUGUGACAACCCAGUUAUUCAUUAAAUUUUUGUAAUCAAAUUUACUUAGAUUUAAUCUUUUAAAUUGUUGGGCUUUUAAUUAACUUAUGGCUUGAGCUUUCAAAAUCUUAAAUAGGUUGAGCUUCCAUAGCUCGUUUCUUGAAUGAGCUAGUCUCGUGGUGCUAGAUCAUCACAACAUAAUAGCCUAGUUUCAUUUUAUUUCUCGGGUUUCUACACAUUGCUUCCAAUACUCGACCUUCUUGAUGUCAUCAGUUCUUCACAUUGUACUUUUAUCCAGUCCAUAAUCGUAUGUGCUCGCCCUUCAUAAUCGAUAGCAUAGUUUGUAACCUGCGCGAAUGCAUGACAAUGUCACCGUAUCUCAAUUGUCCAAGUGAACUAACCAAACCGUCGUAGUUCACUAACACCCUUGCAUGUGCUCUACUAACAUUUCUCCUCCACCUUCGGAGUAUGUACCUUUUUAUAAGUAAGGUGACAUCACUAUGAAUCAAGAUUGUGAUCGCAUGACGGCAAACUAUUUUGUGUAAUUCGAACAAAUGGCAAUUGUAUACAACUUCACAAUUAUCUCUCUCAAAAAGAGACAAAGACUUUUUUUCUUUCUACAGCCCUCGUACAUAAUAUCCUCCCGUACUUCAUAAGUCGUCCCUGUGGGCCCCUUUGAAGUAGAUAUGAGGUCAUAAUACACCUUCCCCAUGAACUUAUUCUGAGCAUCCUUGAAUUUAGAAAUGGUAUAAACUGAUUGCAACUGUUGAUCCAUCUCAUAUUGUGUUACACAAAGUACCAUCUGUGAAAAUGGCUUAAAAUCAGCAUGGAAUUCCUUCUGAACCUUAUUCCGCAUUGUGCAUUCAACAAAAUGCUUCAAGGUUGUCUUUGAAUGCACAUAGCCAUCGAAGAAUGCAUCAUGCUCUCUCUUCUUUGUUUUGUUGACAUAACUACCUAGAAAGUGGUCGUAAAAAAACAUGGCACCCAACAACCUCUGUUCUCAAGGAGUCUAGAUAACCAAUCUUAUCAUGCAGAUGGUACGUAUUAAUCAUUGCAGCCCAUCCCUCUUCGAAUUCUUACACGAAUUGCGAAUCAUAAACCAAUCAGUGUAUAGUACUAAAUACUCCAGACUUAUCCUUGUGGUAUCCAAAUUUUCUAGGAAACUUUUUCAAGAUGUGCCACAAGCACCAUCUAUGCUUUGUAUUGGAAAAAGCAAUUUGAGUUGCAUUUUGGAUGGCCCUGCAUUGGUUAGUAAUAAUUCUUCGAGGGACGAUGCUAUGCAUACAUUGAAGCCAUGUACUGAACAACCACACAAAAGUAUUUGCGUCUUCAUUCGAUCACCAAGCAGUGUUCAUUGUCCGUGAUGAUUGACACUAACAAAUGGGAUGAAAGGCAUAUCAAACUUGUUUGUGAGGUAAGUCGUAUCAAAUGUAGUGAUGUCGCCAAACUCCUUAUAUGCUUGCCUACAAUGAUUAUUUGCCCAAAAUACAUUUUUCAGCUAUGACUUGUCAUCUAAAUCCAUGCUAAAGUAAAAACCUGAAUACUGUGCUUGCAUUUUCGCAAAGUAUGAUUGUAUGGCAGUGGCAUCUCCCUCUCCAAGUCUUUAUCGCCUCACUUGUUCAAUAUAAUUUCAAUAAUCUUUUUCCACGCAACUCUUUUUCUCAUAACCACAUGCUUUUACAACUCCAGUAUUGUAGCUUUUAUGCAACGAAAUUCUCGUCAAAUCAUUAACUUGAAGUUUGCAUUUCACAUGUACAUUCAAUUCUCGAUUGCAUCGAUAUAACUUGGACUACGAAGGACUAGUUUCGUUAUUAUCUUGAGGUGGAUCGUCUUAAUCCUCCAGACUCCAUAUAUAUCUGAAGAUGUUGAUAUUCUUCCUUUACAACUCAUCUAAAUUGUUGGUUGCGGCUUCAAAGAACCGCUAGUAUUACUAAUUCUUCGGCCUUCACGGUUACAAGUCAACGUCACAUAUCUCAUCUCUCCAUCAUUCCCCUUUUUUGAAUUUCUUUUUUUCACUAGAAAACCGAUAGCAUAAUCAUAUUUUUGUAAAAGUCAAACAUUUAUGUCACAUCCUUAAACUCCAUACCUACUGCGGGCACAAUCACUCCAUCUCCCACUAAGGUUACACCUUUCACUAUGUUAACAAAGUCUGUGAUGUUCUCGUCAUUGGAUUAUGCCAUAACAUCAACAUGCUAAUUUUGCACUUCGUCCAUAAUUCCAACAAUACUGCAAUAACAUACGUGAACAUAUUUAGAAAUCCAUAAUAACACAAGGAUAUAAUUGCAGGAAAAUAAAUAAAUUUUUUAUUUUGUUUCUCCCGAUUCCUUCCCCGCAAUCUAACAUCCUCUUUACUGGGAAAAGAAUCGAAGUUGCUUUUAGUCAAUUAAUUAUUUUUUUACAUCUUUUACCUAUCCCUAACAACAGACAGGACCAUCGUAAAUUUGAAUAUCAUUUUGCAAACACAAUCAAUUCUAAUAGCCGCAACCCGUCUCCUCCAAAACUGAAAUACCCAAUAUACAAGUUUUAGUUUUAAUCAUUCCUCUUUAUUUUCCCCGAUUUUAACAUAUUGAAAACAUAAAAAAAUUAUUUUAUUCUAUGAAUGACAUCUUCUCAUUUUAGGAGAUGGAUAAGGGUACCUUGGAGUUGAUGGCAAAAAGAUGAGCACCGAGGUCGGAAUUUCAUGAACUUGGUCGGAGGAGCAGCUACACUGAGGUUGGAAUUUAUAGAAGCUUGGUCGAAAGAAAAGCUAACAUGGUCAAAGAAGAAGUUGGUCGGAAUUUCAGAAUGUGGUCGGAGGAGCAACUGCCGGGCGAUUUUACUUCGGGACGUUGAGCUGUUGGGGAUUUGAGGGAAAAGUAAUAUACAAUAAUUGAAAGUAAUAUGACUUCCACUUUUUAGACCAGCAUGCAAGCCCAUUUCCCUCCAAUUUUCCCACCAACCUUUAUUCAUUUUUUUUAUUUGUUGGUUGCCACGUCAAUAAAUUUUAAAUUCCUGUUAAUACCCUGUUCCAAUCCCCUCUCCGCCUAGCAUUAUUGUGCUUUUAAAACCAAGUUAGAAAUUGAUAUACUUGAUGACGGCUUCAAGCAGAGGGAGUACGGAAAAAAGAUGAUGGAAAAUAACCCAAAUCCAAGGUACAUAAUUAUCCUCAUUGAUUUACAUUUUUCUCCUAAAAACGUUAUUUAUUGUUUAAAAUCAAGGGGAACUCUACACUACUAGCAUCAUGGGGAUAUGUACAAUUGAAUUUAACUAAACUAGAUGGUGCAGUAAAUAAACUUUAUUUCUCUUUUUUAAUAUUGUCCACUUGGAAGCACGUUCAUUCUGUUACUUUUUUUCAACUUUUAAUUAAAAGAUUAUACUUAUAUCAUAGUAGUGCUUGAAUUGCUGUCAAAAUGAGCAAUUAAUGUGUUCUAUUUGAUUAAUAAAAAUUAAUAUUAAAACUUCUUAUUUACUUAUAAAUAACUUUUUAAGUUUAACCAAACAUGUAAUACUUGUGUUUAACUGACCUUAAAUUUACUCUCUUAAAAGAGAGAAUCCACCGUUUACUGUUUAUUUAUGAAGCUUUUGUUUGUUUUCCAUUUUAUCCCUUCAAUAAAUAUCCUAGCUUUUACCUUGAGAAAAAGAUAAAGGGUAAUAUAGAUUUUUCCCACAUAGCCACACUUGUUGACUCUUCUUAUGCUUCUAUAUUCCUCUUAAAAGAAAUGGGUAGCUUCCCAAAUGCGUUUUCUCUCUCUUUUUCUCACUGUACAUUUGGCCAAUCUUCCAUUCAUUUCCAACAAAGAAACCCUACCAGUCCUCUCUCCAUAUUUUCCCUUUUUCUUCCUAAACAGUGAAAGGCAUGUGUGUGUGUGAGACAGCAAGUAAUCUGGAUUUUGGUGGGUCUCAAUUUUCUUGGAUACUCCAAGUCAUUUUCUCUCUUGGUUCUCUUGUCUUAUCGUUUCUUUAUGCAUUUUUUCCCUUUCAUUUAGAUUUCACUAUUGAUGUGUUUGUCGUUUACUCGACAUAUUUUGAUGGUUGAAUAGUAUAGAGAAAUUAUUUUUUGAUUCGUUUAGUUCUUUUGUUUAUGUAUCCACCGAGGAGGUCACUUCACGUGGUUUCAACAUGGAUUCAAUGGACGGCAAUAGCUGCCGAAGGUGAAAGCAUUUCUGGGAGUGGUGAGCGACAUGGCGGCAUUGUUGCUUCUCCAUGUUAUUGUUCAAGAUCAUGACAAUCUUUUUCUAGCCUUCAAGGUCAAAAUUCUUAUAUACAAGCUCAAAAAGGAGAAAACUUGCACCGAUAUUAUACCUUUUUUUGCUUUUAUAUGUUGCGGCUUGUUAAAUGUAUACACUGGCUUUUUUGGAGAUCUUUUUUGCGGGAUAAGGAAAAGAUCUUCGCUUUAUGAACCCAAUAAUGAAGAGAAAAUUCAGUGAACUAUUUAUUUUCUUUGACCUUAUGGGAAUUCUUUUUACAUUUCCUCGAAUGGGAUUAUGAUGUUUUAGGUUAAAUUUAGUUUAUCUAAGAAAUGAUUGGCUUUUAUGCCUUUUGUCAUGGGUUUUUUUUAAAUUUUACUAUGAUUUUGUGUUAAUCUUAUUUAAUUGAUUAUGGGAAUGAUAAAUUUAGGGUUCUUUUUUGUGAUUAUUUUGUAGUGAUUUACCAAGUUUUGUUUUCUUUGUUUUUCUUUGCAUUACUCUAUUAGAAGAAGGUUUUUAGUGCAAUAGAUUUGACUGGUUCCGGGAUUCAUUCAUUUGACACAUAUAGCUUUACAUGUCUUUCCCAAUAUGUAAAGUAAGUUAUUGACUUUUUCGAAAAGCUUGCAGAUAGAUAGAGGGUUAUACAUGUAAGUGUUAUGUCCUAGAUCCAAUCGAUUUAGGUUGUAAACGCUUUUAAUAUGUUUAAUGCAUUUGAUUUUGGCGAGAUCUAUUAUUUAUUUAAAUUAAUUUUGUGAUAGAUAAUAUUAAAUAAUAGAAUCCGAAGAUCCAAUUUUUAGGUAAUCUGUUAAUCACAAGGAGUUGUGAUUGAUACAAAUUACAUAUAAUUGGAUCUUGAAUAAACCAUGGUCGUAAGUAAUAACGAGAUACGGAUAUCGUUAAUACAGUUAGACCAUCACGUGUGACAUUUCUUACUUGUGAAGUAAGUAGCUGAUCUCACGAGCUAAAGUGUGGUGACACUUAAAUGAACACGUGGAUGUUUUGUUAUAGAACAAAACAUUGGAGACCCGCUAAGAGAUUCCACAUGGAUAACUAUUUGAGUGUCAGUGGUUAAUCUCUAACGUUCAGCAGUGGAAUUGGUCCUUUGACUUGAGGUCGUCAUGGUACCUUAUAUGAAGACAGUCAUACUUUGGCGGUAUUGGAUGUUGCUCUAAAAAGGGCCGCUAAUACGACAUCGUUCGGGUACGUCAAGAAUCGUAUGAAGGUUGUGAUUGAUCAAUAAAGAAUUCGUCACUCUUAGAUAGUAGGAGAUUAUGAUUUGCGUUUCAUUCAAUUAAGUCGAUGAUGAAAUCCUUGGCCAAGGUGUACUCAUAAGUCGAAAAGGAGUUUUUGAUUUAUAUUGAUUUAAUAGUGGAGUAAAAGAUAUGAUCGAUGAUCGAGAUUGACACAAUUCCAUAUCUCGUAAUUGAUCGGAUCAUAUUGACGAAGGGAUAAUAGUUUCACGGUAAACGAACAAAUUUGGUUUUGUUAUACCACGUGACAUUUCCCGUCACAUGUAUUACCCUGACACAUUGCUAGAUGUCAAUCAUGGACGACGAGUGUGAAUUGACGAUAAAUUAAAAGUGUGUUUCAAUUUAUCAAUUUUGAUUAGAUCAAAAUAAUAUUUCACGACGUUAGGCAUCGUGGUCGGGAACCUAAUGGGUCGCACACAAAAGAGAAUUGGAAGAUUGCGAAUUGCUAAUUGGUUAAUUUAAUAAUCGUUGGAUAAAUUAAUUAAUUGAAUUUGUUAUUUAUAUUCCCGAAUUAAUUAAUUGGAUUAAUUAAUUCACAGACCGGGUUUAAUUAAUUGGAUUAAUUAAAUAUUGGAUCGGAUCGGGCCCGGUUCGUUUGGGUUUAUAUAUAUACAUAACUAGGGUUUGAGGUCCAUAAGGUUUUCAUUAUUCUUGCUGGCACAAGAGAAAAAUCCUAGCAGUUGCAGUCUAUUCUCUGUGUGGAUUUCAUUGGAGGCUGGACAAUUGGAUAGCUGUGGGAGGCAGAUUCAAGCUGCUGGAAAGGAAUAACGCGAAGGAGUUUGCAAAUUAAAAGAAAAGGUAUAUUUCUUAUCACAGUUUUUAUCUAAAUACAAAGAUGAAUCCUGAAUGGAAAUUGAAUUUUGUUAAAUUUCGUUGUGCAUAUUUAAGUAAAUUCCCAACAGUGGUAUCAGAGCCAACUUUGUAUUUGUUAGGAACUGUUUAACGUGUUGAUUAAAUUAAAUGUUAGUUUAAUCAUGUUCAUUCCUAAAUCUAUCAAAUAUAGUUUUAAUUUUUUCUCUUUUUGGAUCUGUUCUUGAAAAACAAAAAAUUUUGGGUCGAGGUGGGCGGAGCGCCGCCGCCGCGUAGCUGCGGCGAGCGCGGAUGGCAGGCGCGGCACUCCUGCGGCGCGGCACUCCUGCAACGCGAGGGCGCUAUUGGAGCAGCGGCAUCGCGCUGCAACGGGCAGUGCGAGGCGCUGCUGGUUGUUUCGGUGGCGCCACCCCUGGAAGGAAAAAAAAUUGGUUUAGAGUUUGGUGGAGACGGGGGCCUCUGUUGAAAAUAAUGUAAUUAGGGGCCCCUGAUUGCAAUUACGAAAAUGGGAGUAAAUCUACAAUUUUAAAAUCAGGGACCUAUUCUAUAAAUUUUGAGUUUGGAAGGGUCUGCUGUUAAUUUCCCAUUUGGGUAAAAUUUGUAAAUUUUUAAAAGGUUUUGAUUUUGAAUUUUGAAUUGUUUUAAAAAUGAGUUUUAGAUUGGGUUUGACCCAUACCCUAAUUUUGACCCAGAAUUUAAAAUUUAUUUAAAAUUUGACGACUUUUAUAUUUUUGUUAAAAUUACAUUUUAACUUAAAUAUUUAAUUUGACCCUUAAUUGAAUUUUUAUUUUGUUUGGGAAUUUUGUCCUAAAUUAAAAUAUUAAUUCAAUUUUAUUAGAGUUGGACUCUAAUAUUACAUUAAUUAAAAUUUGUUUUGAAUUAGCACCACUUCCCAAUGCAAAUUAGAACUUAGAGUAUGACUCUAAUUUAAUAAUUAAUUAAAAUUCGAUUUUGAUUAAAUUACUUCGCCCGAUAGUUAUGGAAAUAGAGUUGGACUCUAAUUCGGGAUUUAGUUAAAACUUGAUUUUAAUUAAAUAGGCCCGUCAAUUAAAUUAAUUAAUUAAUGUGAUUAAUUAAUAAUUUAAUUAUCUCGAUCCCAAAAUUUUGAUUUAAUUUUGACAACUAUAAUUGCUAGAUUUAUGAGACAUUGCAUAUAAUUAGAUAUUAUACAUAGGAAACAUUUAUGUGAUGAAUGUUUAUGGAUGAUUAUGGACUCGACCAUAUGGAUGUGUUGAAUGGUUGAUUUACUUCCUAUUGUUGUUGUGGGCUUGCGAGCUCCUUAUUAUAUUGGACCUGCGAGUCCGUUAUUAUUGUUAUUAUUAUGGGCCGGCGAGUCCGAUUUCUUUUAGGCCUACGUGCCAACUAGUAUAGGAUACAUGUUGCAAGUUCGGCUAAUUGGAGGCACAAGAAGAGGUGGACACCAUGGAGAUGGUGUACUAGUAUUGGUCCAAUACUGUACCCCUUAGGAAUUGACCAACUAGUAUUCCUUUUGGCUCCGAAAAACUAGAUAGAACAAGUUCAUAAUCAUCCAUAUUAUUACUUAUAUAUAUAUAUGUAUUUAUUCGCAUAGUAGAUGUAUGUUUAAAUAUAUGUAUAUAUAUAAUUACUUGAUGAGACCAUUGCACAUUAAAUCCCUCAUUAAAAAUAUUAAGUUAGUAUUAUUUGCCUUCCAUCAUUAUAGUGAAAAACGAUAAUCCUAAAUCGACCUUAGCUUGUUGAGUACACUCAAGACUGGUCUAUUAGGGAUAUGUUUGACGCUAUGAAUAUUUGAUAUUUCUGAAUGAUGGGUUUGUCUUAACUAAAAUUUAUCUUUUGUUGAGUACACUCAAGGAGAUAAAUUUUAGAGGCAUGUUAAGCUAACACAUAAGAUGUGUGAAGACAAAAGAGUUGUCAGCUUAAUGAUCUGGGAGUUGUAUGGAGAUACAAUUAAUAAUAAUAUCUAGCCAAAUGUUUUAUUAGGAUUUGUUAAGUACACUCAAGAUCUCGAUACAACGAAUGGGAUCCCAGCCCACUGUGAAUCAAGUGUGGAUUCAAAUAAUUUAUGUAUGAGGGUCAUGAAUUUAUUUUAAACAGUGGGAGCACGUUUAAUUAAAGUCCAUAUUGAAUUUAUGCACAUGCAUUAUAAUACAUAUUAAUUAUAUGUUCUUUCAUCAUUUACAGUUUUUGAAUCAUGAGUAAUCAUAUGAAUUUGAGAGGCAUAUUGGAUGCCAACAAACUGAUCGGACCAAAUUUUCUCGAUUGGCACCGCAAUUUGAGAAUCGUUCUCAAGCAUGAGAAAAUUGGAUAUGUCCUUGAGCAGUCCUUUCCAGUGGUGCCUACUGAAAAUUCCACUCAGGAAGAGGUGGUUGCUUACAACAAACACAGUGAUGAUGAUAACACUGCAGCAUGUGUGAUGCUUGCAGCUAUGUCUCCUGAGUUGCAGAAGCAACAUGAGGGUAUGGAUGCUUACACGAUGAUUUUUCAUCUCAAGGAGUUGUAUGAUGAACAAUCUCGUGUGGAGAGGUAUUAGACCUCUAAACAACUAUACCGGUGCAAAAUGGCAGAGGGAUCAUCAGUCAGUGCUCACAUGCUAAAGAUGAUUGGUUUUAUUGAAAAAUUGAGUUCACUGGGUUCUAUCAUGGAUCAUGAACUAAGUAUUGACUUGAUUCUACAAUCUCUGCCAGAUAGUUAUUCACAAUUCAUCAUGAACUUUAACAUGAAUAAGAUCGAAUGCACACUCCCUGAGUUGCUUAAUAUGCUUAAAACUGUGGAGCCCAAUGUCAAGGCUAGCACUGGGCAUGUCUUAGCUAUUCAUUCCUCCAAGGGAAUUAAGAGGAAAAUUAAAGGAAGUUUUAAGAAAACAUCCAAAAAGGCUAAGGGCAAUAACAAAGCAGUCAAAGUAGGCAAGGACAAUACCAAAUCUGAUGACCCAUGCUCUCACUUUGGAGUGAAAGGUCAUUGGAAGAGGAACUGCAAGGCUUACCUCGCAAGCUUUAAAGGAAAGAAGUCUUCUGAAGCUUCUACUUCAGAUACUUUUGUUAUCGAGGUUAAUAUGUCUACUUCAUUAGCUUCUUGGGUAUUAGAUACCGGAUGUGGAUCUCAUAUUUGUAUAAAUAUGCAAGGACUAAAGAGAAGUAGAGCACUGCAGAAAAUAGAAGUUGACCUGCGCGUGGGAAAUGGAGCAAGAGUUGCUGCAUUAGCUAUAGGGACAUACUUCUUACCACUGCCUUCAGGCUUAGUAUUAGAAUUAGAAAAUUGCUAUUUUGUUCCCGCCAUUACUAAAAACAUUAUUUCUAUUUCGUGUUUAGACAUGAGUGGUUUUUCAAUUAAUGUUAAGAACAAUCGUUGUUCGUUUUAUAAAGAUGAGAUCUUUUAUGGUUGUGGUGUGUUGCAGAAUAGAAUUUAUAUUUUUGAUACUGAGUCGUCUAUUAUGAAUAUAGAAAAUAAAAGGCAUAAAAAUGAUAAUCUAAAUAAUACAUACCUUUGGCAUUGCAGAUUGGGUCAUAUUAACGACAAACGCAUUUUCAAGUUACAUAAAGAUUGAUACCUAGGGUCAACUGAUUUUGAAUCAUUUGACAGAUGCGAGUCGUGCCUAUUAGGCAAAAUGACCAAGUUCCCUUUUACUGGAAAAUGAGAAAGAACCAUAGAACUGCUGGGACUAAUACAUACUGAUAUAUAUGGACCCAUGUCAAUAACUGCCGGAGGUGGUUUCUCUUACUUCAUCACAUUCACUGAUGAUCAUUCUAGAUAUGAUUAUGUGUAUCUGAUGAAAUUCAAGCAUGAAGCACUUGCAAAGUUCAAGGAAUUCAAACUUGAAGUAGAGAAACAAACUGGUAAAAAUAUACUCACGCUGAGAUCAAAUUGAGGUGGAGAAUAUUUAAAGGGAGAAUUUUUAGAUUAUCUUAAAGAGAAUGGGAUUCUCUCGUGGACUCCACCAUAUACACCGCAACAUAAUGGUGUAUCUGAACGGAGGAAUCGCACUUUGUUAGACAUGGUGCGAUCUAUGAUGAGCCAUGCAAACAUUCCAAAAUCAUUUUGGGGUCAUGCACUAAUUGCUGCGUGCUACACACUUAAUUGUGUCCCAUCUAAAUCGGUCGACAAAACUCCAUACGAGCUACGGAGAGGAAAAAGACCAAACUUAUCUCAUAUGAAAGUUUGGGGGCUGUGACGCUUAUGUAAAGCGAAAUGAAUCAGAUAAGCUUGAGGCUAAAUCUAACAAAUGUGUAUUUGUGGGAUAUCCAAAAGAGACAAUUGGAUAUCAAUUUUAUAAUCCUGUUGAGAAGAAGGUGUUCAUCUCAAGGCAUGCCAUAUUCCUAGAGAAAGAGUUUAUUCUAGGAGAGAGUAGUGGGAGCAAAGUAGAACUUGAAGAAGUUCAAGAAUCCACAGGUACUGUUGACCAAUUAGAUGAACUUGAGUCUGAUCCUACACCUGUUGAUGGACAGACUCUUGAUCAGGAUGUAGAGAACCCUGAGGACACUCCAGCUCAGCGUAAAUCAAGUAGGAUCAUUAGACCUCCUAGAAGGUACGAAUUCACGAUUACUAAUCAAGUAUUAUUAAUUGAGGAUGAUGAACCUACAAACUACAAAUCACGCAGAAGCAAAGUCAAGUGUUGAUUCGAAGAGAUGGCAAGAUGCCAUGGAAUUUGAAAUGUUCUCAAUGUAUGAGAACAAGGUUUGGACCUUGGUCGACCUUCCAGGUGGGAUAAAACCGAUAGGUUGUAAAUGGGUUUACAAGAAAAAGGUCGAUAUGGAUGGAAACGUCCACACAUACAAAGCAAGGCUAGUAGCGAAGGGUUACACACAAAGACAAGGUAUUGACUUUGAUGAAACUUUUUCCCUGUAGCCAUGCUAAAGUCCAUUCGAAUUUUGCUUGCAAUAGCUGCAUACCAUGACUAUGAGAUAUGACAAAUGGAUGUCAAAACUGUUUUCCUUAAUGGAAACCUGCAAGAGGAGGUGUACAUGACACAGCCUGAAGGUUUUGAAUUCAAAGGAGCCAACAAAGUAUGUAAGCUAAAUCGAUCCAUUUAUGGAUUAAAGCAAGUCUCUAGGAGCUGGAAUCUUCGUUUUGAUGAAACAAUCAAAAGGUUUGAUUUUAUCAAAAAUGAAGAUGAACCGUGUGUUUAUAAGAAAACAAGUGGGAGCGCGGUCGUAUUCCUGAUAUUAUAAGUCGAUGACAUAUUAUUAAUGGGAAACAACAUCCCAAUACUUCAAUCGGUAAAAUUAUGGUUGUCAAAGAAUUUCUCCAUGGAAGAUAUGGGGAGAAGCAGUGUAUAUCUUGGGAAUCAAGAUCUAUAGAGAUAAAUCUAAAAGAUUACUAGGCUUAUCCCAAUCUUCGUACAUAGAUAAAAUCUUGAGAAGAUUUAAUAUGGAAGAGUCUAAAAGAGGAUUAUGUCCCAUGUCACAUGGGAUUUACCUCUCAAGAGAUAUGUGUCCUAAAAUACAUGAUGAAAGGAGUUGCAUGGACAAGAUUCCUUAUGCUUCGACGAUAGGAUCUAUCAUGUAUGCGAUGCUAUGUACAAGACCAGAUGUUUCGUAUGCUCUAAGUGUUACGAGCAGGUUUCAAGCAAACCCUGGUGAGAAACACUGGAUAGCGGUUAAGAACAUUCUUAAGUACUUGAGAAGGACUAAAGAUGUGUUCUUGAUCUAUGGAGGAAAUGAAUUGAGAAUUCAUGGGUAUAAUGAUGCUAGUUUUCAAACUGACAAAGAUGAUAGCAAGUCUCAGUCAGGAUAUAUGUUUACUCUCAACAAUGGAGCGGUUAGUUGGAAAAGUUCCAAACAGAAAACAACCGCUGAUUCAACAACAAAAGCUGAGUACAUAGCUGCUUCUGAAGCAUCAAAGGAAGCCAUGUGGAUCAAGAAGUUCAUUAAUGAACUUGGAGUCGUUCCUAGCAUUGUUGAUCCCAUACCUUUGUAUUGUGAUAACAAUGGAGCCAUCGCGCAAACGAAGGAACCGAGGUCUCAUCAACGAUCCAAACAUGUGCUAAGGCGAUAUCAUCUCAUCAGGGAGAUUAUACAAAGGAAUGACAUAAUGAUAGAGCGAGUUCCCACAGAUGAUAAUAUUGCAGAUCUACUGACAAAGCCAUUGUCACAACAGAAACAUGAUCGUCAUGUGGAUGCUUAUGGUAUUAGAUACGUGAGUAAUUGGAUCUAGUGCAAGUGGGAGUUUGUAAGUGUUAUGCCCUACAUCCAAUCGAUUUAGGUUGUAAACGCUUUUAAUAUGUUUAAUACAUUUGAUUUUGGCGAGAUCUAUUAUUUAUUUAAAUUAAUUUUGUGAUAAAUAAUAUUAAAUAAUAGAAUCCGAAGAUCCAAUUUUUAGGUAAUCUGUUAAUCACAAGGAGUUGUGAUUGUGAGAUACAAAUUACAUAUAAUUGGAUCUUGAAUAAACCAUGGUCGUAAGUAAUAACGAGAUACGGAUAUCGUUAAUACAGUUAGACCAUCACGUGUGACAUUUCUUACUUGUGAAGUAAGUAGCUGAUCUCACGAGCUAAAGUGUGGUGACACUUAAAUGAACACGUGGAUGUUUUGUUAUAGAACAAAACAUUGGAGACCCGCUAAGAGAUUCCACAUGGAUAACUAUUUGAGUGUCAGUGGUUAAUCUCUAACGUUCAGUAGUGGAAUUGGUCCUUUGACUUGAGGUCGUCAUGGUACCUUAUAUGAGGACAGUCAUACUUUGGCGGUGUUGGAUGUUGCUCUGAAAAGGGCCACUAAUACGACAUCGUUCGGGUGCGUCAAGAAUCGUAUGAAGGUUGUGAUUGAUCAAUAAAGAAUUCGUCACUCUUAGAUAGUAGAAGAUUAUGAUCUGCGUUUCAUUCAAUUAAGUCGAUGAUGAAAUCCUUGGCCAAGGUGUACUCAUAAGUCGAAAAGGAGUUUUCGAUUUAUAUUGACUUAAUAGUGGAGUGAAAGAUAUGAUCGAUGAUCGAGAUUGACAUAAUUCCAUAUCUCGUAAUUGAUCGGAUCAUAUUGACGAAGGGAUAAUAGUUUCAUGAUAAACGAACGAAUUUGGUUUUGUCAUACCACGUGACAUUUCCCAUCACAUGUAUUGCCCUGACAUAUUGCUAGAUGUCAAUCAGGGACGGCGAGUGUGAAUUGACGAUAAAUUAAAAGGGCGUUUUAAUUUAUCAAUUUUGAUUAGAUCAAAAUAAUAUUUUACGACGUUAGGCAUCGUGGUCGGAAACCUAAUGGGUCGCACACAAAAGAGAAUUGGAAGAUUACAAAUUGCCAAUUGGUUAAUUUAACAAUCGUUGGAUAAAUUAAUUAAUUGGAUUUGUUAUUUAUAUUCCCGAAUUAAUUAAUUGGAUUAAUUAAUUCACGGACCGGGUUUAAUUAAUUGGAUUAAUUAAAUAUUAGACCGGACCGGGCCGGGUCCGUUUGGGUUUAUAUAUAUACAUAAUUAGGGUUUGAGAUCCAUAAGGUUUUCAUUAUUCUUGCUAGCACAAGAGAAAAAUCCUAGCAGUUACAGUCUAUUCUCUGUGUGGAUUUCAUUGGAGGCUAGACAAUUGGACAGCUGUGGGAGGCAGAUUCAAGCUGCUGGAAAGGAAUAACGCGAAGGAGUUUACAAAUUAAAAGAAAAGGUAUAUUUCUUAUCACUGUUUUUAUCUAAAUACAAAGCUGAAUCCUGAAUGAAAAUUGAAAUUUGUUAAAUUCCGCUGUGCAUGUUUAAGUAAAUUCCCAACAGUACAUUCAGACCAUCUCUUUUCAUUUUUUUUUUUCCAUCUACAUUUAUAUUUCAGACUGCCAUUUUUUUCCUAUGGCUGGGAAGGGAUACUAUUAGAAAAAAGUAGAAUGACUAAUAUUAUACACAAAAUUGUUGGUUUCCCAUGUUUCAGUAAAGCAUUUUCGUAAGAUGCUCUCCCAAUCUUUUAUAUAGUAAACUAACAAAUUUGAUAUUUUUCAACAAAUUGCCUUUUUUAAUAAGCAUCUGCUGCUAAACCGUAUUAAAGCGACUGCACACUUCUCUAAAGGAUAUUUAUCAAACUUUUUUCCACUCUGCCAUAGUUAAGGUUGGUAAGCUUCACAUAUUUUCUCAUAAUUAGUUAUUUGUCUCUAAGGGCCUUGCUUUUGCUGUUGAUUAACUGUGUAUGUGCUAUUUAAGACUUCCUUUCUAUAGCUACAAACCUGGACUUUUGAGCAUAUUGGGCUGAUUGGAUGGGGCUCAGUCGUAUAUUAUUUUUGUUGAUGAUUCUACAAAAAAAUUAUUUUAUUGAAUUUACUUCUUGUAUGCUCAUCUUUUUUUCCCUCAUAGAUUUGUCUUAUGCAUUCUUUGGUGUGUUAUGAUUAGCAAGUGAAUUAGGCAUGUUUGAUUCAAUUCUGAAACUUCUUAAUUAGAGUACCCUAUCUUGUGGUGGUUGCUGUUUUCUAUGCUAACUGUUUCCGAUAUUUCCAUACAUUAAUGUUAGGUUACCGGGAAAGUUUGGAAAGAAAUAAGAGGCAUAUUAUAUCUUACGUGAUUCUACACCAAACCAUCUAUUUUGCUUUUCCAAAAAAGAUUUGAAAAAUGAUAUUCUUUAAUGGAAUAUUUGUGGAAUUAUGUUGAGCCAAUCCUGUCAUAAUUGUGGUCUAGAACACUUGGUCUCCUACUUGCAAAUGAUGUAUUGGAAAUGUAGAUAUUUUCCUUCUUUCCCUAUAUUUGUCUUCUUAUGACAUUGGUGCAAGUACAAGUUGGUAGUUCUCCAGUGCAUAAGACAAAAAGGAAGUUAGGUGGUAAGGGUGGUUUUGGUCAAGGUCAAGUUUAUGUCUGUUGAAGGAUAAAUUGUGGCACUGAAAAAACAGUAUCAGAUGCGAUUGAGGUAUAUUUUUGCAUUCUAUCAUGGCAUUUUUAGAUAUCUGCAACAUCAUAUCAUUUUUUAGAUAUCUGCAACUGCAUAUCAUUUUCAAAAUUUAUGUGAAAUUUUGUUUUGUUUUGUUUUAUAGGUUGCACUAAAGUUUGAGCACUGAAAUAGUAAGGGCUGCGACUAUGGUACUCCAUAUGAGUAGCACUGUAGCAGUGUACAAGUAAGCGCCAUGCGUAUAAUUGAGGAUCUUCUCACUUUCUUCGUGUUCAAAACUUCCAUAACUUUGUUAAUGUUUUAGUUAGUUUUUUGACCAUUUUUCAUUCAAAUUUGGUGACUUUUCACUUGUUUCUUGCACCAUUUCAUGAGAACUUGCCAAUGCCUAUAAAUAGGUAAUCCAAGUGCAAGAAAAUUCAAUUGAGUUCCAUUGAAAUUUAUCCCCAAAUUAUACUUCCAAUAUUGAGAAAAUUUAUCACAUAAUCCUUCCAUUUUUCACUUGUUUAUUGUGAAGAAACAUCUUUGCUUUUUGGUGUUCUUCUUGUUAGGGCUUGUUUAAUCAUACGAACUAUUUGCCGAAAAUCCUUAAAAAGCAUUGGAAAUGAGACAAAUAACGUUUGAGGACAGGGAGAUUAAUUUCGUGUUCAAGCCUACAUUGAUAUACUUUUAUAAUUUUCUUCUCCAUUGUCAUUAUUUUUUCCAACAAUCUCAAACGUUAUUUGUUACUAUUAUUACAAUGGAGACGGAAUCUACACUUGCUACUAUCAAAAUGAUGAAUCAAGACCUGGUACACUUGAACAGAUUCGAUGGUGCAAAUUUCACAAGAUGGCAAGACAAACUUAAAUUUCUAUUAACGGCCUUGAAGAUCUUCAAUGUGCUUGAUCCAAAAUUGGAGCCCAUUCCCGAUGUAACUGACAAGGAUAUCGAAGAAAUUCACAUAGAAAGGAAGAAACGGGAAGCGGACGAAUUGAUAUGUCGUGGUCGUAUCCUAAUUGCAUUAUCCGAUCGCCUCUAUGAUCUCUACACCAACACUACAUUGGCAAAAGAAAUCCGGUACGUGCUAGAAAGCAAAUACAAAGCCGAGGAGGAAGGUACCAAAAAGUUCUUAAUAUCUAAGUAUUUUGAUUUCAAAUUUUUGGAUAAUAUACCGUUAUUGCCUCGAGUACAUGAGUUACAAAUAAUUGUAAACAAACUGAAAGCGGUGAAAAUCGAACUUCCCGAAACUUUCCAAGUGGGAGCAAUUAUUGCUAAACUUCCUGGUUCUUGGAAAGGAUAUAGGAAGAAGAUUCUUCACAAUUCCGAAGACUUUGGAUAUAUGCCUUUCGAUUUCGAGUAGCUUUGCACCUCAAGUUCUAGUAACUAGGGAGGGAGACUUAACAGAGAUGAUCAAGGAAAGUUUAAAAACAAAGCCAAAAGACCUUGCUAUGUUUGUGGAAAAUCAGGACACUGUGCCAAGGAUUGUAGACGUAGGAAACAACAAAAGAAGGAAGGACAAGUGAACUCCAUUGAUGAGACUAUCGCCACGGUGAGCGAAAUCAAUACAAUCUGAGGCAAAGUUCUGGGCUGGCGGUAUGAUACAUGCGCUACAAUUUAUGUAUGUUAUGAUAAGUCUCUCUUCAAAACCUAUCAUGACAUUGAAGACAAUCAAGAGAUAAAAAUAGGAAAUGAAGGAAGAUCAAAAGUGAUUGGCAAAGGAAAAGUGACACUCAUUUUCUCUUCGAGAAAGAAGAUCACUUUGACAAAUGUUUAGCAUGUACCGAAAAUUAAUAGAAACUUAGCAAGUGGUGUACUCUUGGGAUAAUCUGAAAUUAAAUCUGUUUUUGAAUUUGGAAAGCUUGUAUUAACCCAUAAUGGGUACUUUGUUGAAAAGGGCUAUUCCACCGAAGGAAUGGUCAAACUAUGUACUAUUGACGAUAAUUCAAAUAAAAUUAAAUCUUUUGCGUAUGUUACUGAUUCAUUUAAUUCAUGGCAUGGUAGAUUAGCACAUAUAGGAGUUAAUACUAUGAAAAGAAUGAUUAAAUGUGGAUUAAUACAAUGUGAAAUUGACAACUUGGAAAAAUGUGAAACAUGUGUUAAAUAAAAAAUGAUUAAGAAGCCAUUUCAUAGCGUAGUAAGAACAACAAGAUUAUUUGAACUUGUUCAUUCCGACAUAUGUGAAUUGAAUGGAAUAUUAACUAGAGGCGGUAAUAGAUAUUUUAUUAUUUUUAUUGAUGAUUGUUAUAGAUAUACCUAUGUGUACUUAUUAAAACAUAAGGAUGAAGCCUUUAGUGUCUUUAAAACUUAUAAGAUUGAAGUUGAAAAUCAAUUAGGAAAAAAAUUAAAGACUUUAAGAAAUGAUUGAGGUGUGGAAUAUUUUUCUAAUGAAUUUAACAUGCUUUGUGAAUAAAAUAGAAUAUUACAUCAAGCUUCUGUACCUAGAACACCAGAACAAAAUGGAUUAGCAGAAAGAAAGAAUAGAACUCUUUUAGAAAUGAUAUAUGCAAUAUUGUUGAAUUUUGAAUUACCCUUUAACCUAUGGGGUGAAGCCUUACUUAGUGCUUGCCAUAUAACAAAUAGAAUUCCUAUGAAAAAGAAUAAAAUUUCUCCAUAUGAAAUUUGGAAAAAUAGAAAACCAAUAUUUGAAAGUGUGGGGAUGCCUUGCCUAUUGUAAGAAUAUGGAUACUAAGAGAACCAAGUUAGGUCCUUGAGGUAUCAAAUGUGCUUUUGUGGGAUAUGCUCUCAACAACAAAGCCUAUAGAUACUUAAAUCUAGAAACAGAUGUUAUAAUAGAAUCAAGAGAUGUGGAAUUCUUCGAAGAUAUAAUGGUGGCCAGAAAAUCUGAAAAUAAUAGUAAGGAUAUUUCAAUCUUUAGAAGCUCACCAGAAGAGACAUUCAUAAAAGAUGUUGAAAUUGAACCUCGAAGAAAUAAAAGAACUAGAAAAGAAAAGAACUUAGGAUCAGAUAAAAUAGAUCCCCAACUUAUUUCUUUUUACUUAGUAGAAGGAGAUAGGAAGGAUGUUGUAAGAACAAUUCCCUUUGUUCUUCAAGUGGAAAGUGAUCCUAAGACUUAUAAGGAAGCGGUGCAAUCUAGAGAUUGUAUUUUCUGGAAAGAAGCCAUAAAGAACGAAAUGGAUUCUAUUAUUUCAACUAACACUUGGGAAAUAGUUGACUUGCUAGCAAGAUCUAAGGCUAUUGGUUGCAAGUGGGUAUUUAGGAAGAAAUACAAUUCCGAUGGAUCUCUUAAUACCUAAAAGGCUAGAUUAGUGGCUAAAGGGUAUCAUCAAAGAGAAGGAAUUGAUUACUUUGACACAUAUGCACCCGUAGCUAAGGUAACGUCGAUCAGGAUCUUAUUUGCAUUAGCAUCUAUUUAUGAUCUACAUGUUCAUCAAAUGGACGUCAAGACGACAAUCCUAAAUGGAGAUCUCGAAGAAGAGGUCUAUAUGAAACAACUAGAAGGGUUCGCUCUACCGGGAAAUGAACAUAAAGUGUGCAAAUUAAUUAAAUCCUUAUAUGGACUAAAGCAAGCUCCCAAAAAGUGGCAUGGGAAAUUUGACUCUAAAAUAAUGUCAAAUGGAUUUAAUCACAAUUCAGUAGACUGGAUCAAAGAAACAAAAUUGUUUAUAUCCUCUACUUUCAAAAUGAAGGAUUUUGGAGAAGUUGAUACUAUCCUUGGUAUUAAAGUUAAAAGAGAUAGUGGGGCGUUUUACAUUAAGCUAAUUACACUAUGUUGAUAGUGUGAUAAACAAAUUCAAACAUUUUAAUUUUAAGGAGGCUAACACUCUUAUAGCUCCAAAUAUUAAAUUGAUAAAAAAAAUGAAGGUAGAGCAAUUGCAAAAAUAGAAUACGCAAGUGCAAUUAGAAGUCUUAUGUACGCAUCACAAUGUACAAGACCUGAUGUAGCAUUUGUUGUAAGUAAACUAAGUAGGUUUACUAGCAAUCCAAGUUCAGAACAUUGGAAGAUAUCGGUAGGGUUCUUGGUUACCUAAAGAAAAACAAAAAUCUUGGGCUACAAUAUACGAAAUUUCCUAAAAUCUUGGAAGGAUGUACCGACGCAAGUUGGAUAUCAAGUGCGAGAGAGAAUAAAUCUACUUUGGUUGGAUAUUCACUUUUGGAGGUGGUGCAGUUUCUUGGAAGUCUAAGAAACAAACUUGUAUUACUCAUUCAACUAUCGAAUCGGAGUUUGUAGCAUUGGCCGAAACUGGGAAAAAAGCUGAGUGGCCAAGAGAUUUAUUAUAUGAAAUACCUUUAUAUAUAAAGGAUAUUUCUUCUUGUGUGAUAGUCAAGCCACUCUAGCUCGAGCGUAUAACGAAGUAUAUAAUGGAAAGUCUAGACACAUGAGUCUAAGACACGAGUACGUAAGGAAAUUAAUCAAACAUGGAGUAGUUUCUCUUACAUUUGCUAAGUCUAGUGAGAACUUAGUCGAUCCAUUUAUGAAACCUCUCACAAAAAAGUUAGUGAGAUCAACAUCAAGUAAAAUGGGAUAAAACUCCUCAAAUAAUUGCAACCUCACCAAAAUAUACUAAACUAGUAUAUACAUAGGUUCAAGAGGUAAUAACAAGUUAUUCGAUAAGUGGAUGGAUUCAACACUAUUAAAUAUAUCUAAUACUAUCUUUGGAAAAUAGUGUUGGUUAUUACUGUUAGAGGGAUGAGAUAAAAUAAACUCUUAAUGAAGUUCAGUAUGGAGUACAAGUAUCUGUAAAAGUAACAAAGAUAGUAGAAGAACUUUACCUAUGUGAAUUUCGAGGUGGUACCACUUCAUUAGAGAGUUGGAGUUUUCCCUCUUUAAAAGUUCAAUGAAAUAGGAUUAGUGCAAUGCCAUAUUAGCACUAAGCGAGUUAGAAGAAUAGUGAAAAGCUUAACACUUGUGUGUGUGAUUUCAUCGGUAUUGCCACAAAGAAUAAUUGGUUUAAGGCACAUUAGCCCCUUGAAAUUCUGAUGAUACUUUAUGAAAUUUACAAUAUGAAUAGAUUCAAAUCGAAAGAUAUCUACUUCUUAUGCAUAAAUGUUGAUAUUUGAUUAUGUGAUUAAAAUAGAUUUUGAACAAGUGGGGGAUUGUUGGAAAUUUUUUUGUUUGUUGUUCAAAAUAAAAGGGGGGGGGGGGCUUAACCAUGCGACUGUAUGAAUUAAGCCCAUGCGGUCGCAUGAGGCACUCCCAAGAAUGGGAGGGCCGGAGAGGCUAUAACCAUGCGAUCGCAUGGCUAUAGCCCAUGCGGUCACAUGGUUACAAAAAACUAACCGUUAGGUUAGUUUUUUGACCCUUUUUCAUUCAAAUUUGGUGACUUGUCACCUGUUUCUCACACCAUUUCGUGGAAACUUGCCAAGACCCAUAAAUAGGUGAUCCAAGUGAAAGAAAAUUCAAUUGAGUUCCAUUGAAAUUUAUCCCCAAAUUAUACUAAAAAUAUUGAGAAAAUUUAUCACAUAAUCCUUCCAUUUUCACUUGUUCAUUGUGAAGAACAUCUUUGCUUUUUGGUGUUCUUCUUGUCAAGGUUUGUUUAAUCCUACAAACUAUUUUCCAAAAAUCCUUAAAAAGCAUUGGAAAUGAGGCAAAUAACGUUUGAGGACAGUGAGAUUAAUUUCAUUUUCAAGCUUACAUUGAUAUACUUUUAUAAUUUUCUUCUCCAUUGCCAUUAUUUUUUCCAAAAUUUGUAUCAUUAUAUUUAUGAAGAUAUUUCUGGUCAAGGACAUGCUUGCACCCAGUCUCUGGGAUGUUGGGAAUUCUUUAGGCCAGUUGUUAGAUAUAGCAUUUCCCUCUCUCUCUUUCUCGUUCACAUGCACCCACAUACUAUCUUUGGGGCGCAACUUUCUAAAUUAUCCUUUUUGUUGUAUUUUACUUUUCUCUUAUAAUGGUGAGCAAUAAAAUAGGAUGUCUCCCAGUAUGGUGGCUUGUGUUGCUACGGAGGUUAAUUUCUUGAAAAGCUUCACAUGAAGGGGCAAAUCAUUUUGAAUUGUGCUAUGUGUACACAAAGCAUUACACCCCCUCACAUGGAGGGGGCCCACGAAUAUUAGCCUCUAUGCCCACGUACUGGGUGUAAUCUAUUGUGUACACCUUAUGGUGUACACAUAGAAUAAUCCAAUCAUUUUCAUCUCGGAUUUCUCUAUCAUAUUCUUUUGUUUUUCUACAAAGAUGUCAUUAAUCUUUGGAAUCUUCUUGCCUCCUUUUUUUUUUAAUUAUUAUCCUUACUUCACUCUGUAAAAGAAUAUUAACUUUGUAGAAUGGCUAGUAGAAAAUGUUAGAAAAAUUGCUAAAAACCAUUAGUUAACCCAAUGAUAAUAUCAUGUACAUGUAAUUUUGUUUGCUUCUUUUAUAAAGUUUAUCAACCCCACCAUAAUGAAAUUCUAACAAUGUGUACUAUAUUCAAAAAGUGAUCUAUCUUUGACACUAAUAGUAUAAGAUUUUAUUGGAACAAUGAAUCUUAACGGCACACAUCUUUCUUCAAUCCUUAACAUUAAACAUGCUAAUAUUACCCUUAAAAAUAAAAUAGCCCGUGUAUUUCAUGGGCAGAAGACUAGUACUUAAAAAGAAGCCAAAAAUUAUCUUCUUUUUGGCUUUUCUUAUGAGCACGAUAUUUCAUACCAUCAAUAAAAGUUAAAAAGAAGCCACCUUUUAACUUUUUUAGCGUUUAAGUUGAAUCGAGCAUGCUCAAAACCUGAAAAAAGAAAAUGUGAUUAAAGGUGACGUUUCUAGUUUAAAUUAGAGUUUUUAAAUACAAAGAUGAAUUUCAUACAGAAAGUCAUUUUUUUAGAAAGAUACUAAUCCUCUAUUUCAUUCAGCUAAAAAUAUGAUUAAAAUUUAAAUCAAAAUCAAUAAUUAAUUUUAAUAACACAUUUCAUGAGAUCCAUAACCUUUUAACAAUAUAUUUCAUUACCAAAAAUUUGAUUUUUAUUUUAAUCAAAUAGGCUAAAUCUAUAGUUAAAUAUUCUAAUGCUUGCCCUCUAUCCUCGAAUUAGACAUUCUUGUUAAGAUUAUGACCUUUUGAAAAAUGAAUAUGUUAUAAAAAAUUGGGUAACAUGAAAAUAUUCACUGCCAUAGAUUUAUCGACGAAUCACAAGGGAGAGGGUUGAAUAAGAAUUAGACACUCAUGUGGAGGGUAUGACCUUCUAGAAAAAUGAAUAUACAUUUAAGUUAGGGAACAAGAAACUCUUCACAAUUAUUGACUUGUCGAAGGAAAGAUUAAGCUCGUGUUUAAUACUCAUUAAUUUAUUUUUUGAUUUGUUAUAGGUUCACUUUCAAUCGCACAUUCAAACAAUAAAAUAUUCUACAAAUAUAUUAAAAAAAAUUCCUUACUUUUUAACCACACAUUCUAUUAAAAAUACUAUUCAAAACUCAUUUUUCCCUAAUUAAUCAGAAUCAAACAUGCUCUAAAUAAUACUAGACACUGUAUAUAAUUACUUGUUUAAUAUCAAUCAUGUUCAAUACUUCAUGCAUGCUUAAUAAAGAGUAUAAUGAAGAUUUUAGCAUUCUAUGUGUUAACAAUGUUGAGUAGCAUCUAAUGCUUCUUACCAAAUGUAUUAUAAUUGGAUUAUGUCUAGUCGGCUCUAGAAAAUCCAAACUAAUUAUUAGUUUUUUACUUUUCCACUAAAUGCAAAAGACCGAACUCUUGAAAUAUAUAUGAUCACAGAAGUCAAUAAAUCUAUAACAAUUUCCUCUGAACUAUCGUAUAUAUAUUUUAUCCCCUUCUGAGUUUCGAUAAUUAGAUACAAGUAAAAAUGACCUUUUUGUCCUUCUAAUAAUUCUCACUAACUCAAAUAUCAUGUUCUUCAACGGUCCUAUGAACUAAUCACAAAUAUCGAAGUUUAGUCAUCACGAAACAUUGAUCUCAUAUUUUAACUGUUCAAAAGAAAAUUUUAAGUAGUCACUCUACCCAUUUUUCAAGAUGACAGUUCCCGACAUGAAUCAUGUUCUCUACUCCUCUCAUUCUCAAAUUUCCAACUCAUCGAGAUAUUUUACCAAUCAAAUUGAUCUCAUACAUUGAUGAAUAAAAAACUAUUAAGAUCAUGAAAAGAUAUGCAUAACCAUGCCAAGGGAUUUAGAUGCAGUACACAGUAAUCAAGUAGAAUUUAAUUCUCAGCACAAUCAUGUUAUAGAAUUAAACUCGACACAUGGUCCGUUUAAUACACUCCAAGUGUACUAGCGUUACCUUUAACUAUUUUUGUGAUAAAGACAAAUCACAAACCUAAAUAGUAAAUCGAUCAACACUAAAACCUUUCAGUAUAAGGUACCAACCCUUAUACAUUGAUUGUGAACAAAUUAUUUAUGAUCAAAAUAUAAGUUGUGUUACACAAUACUUCUCAACAGAAGUACCCAACUUAUAUUAUCAAAAGUGAUUAUGGGCACUUUAAUUCGCAUGCUCAAUGUAAAUAAAUGUAAUAAAUAAAUAAAACCAUAAUUUAUUUGUUAUAAAUUAUUAUUUUAUUAUAACAAUAUAAAAUAUAUGGAUACACAACCCUACAAUUAUAACCUUUGUUAUCUUGUUAGUAUUCUCCUAAUUAUUUACUUCAGACAAUUUUCUUUAGAUUCUUGUUGAAUUCACAUAUAUUAUUCUUUGUAGGUGCCCUACGAUUCGUUGCAUAUUGCUCUUUUAUCCCAUAUUUAUAUAAAUGUAUGACAAAAUUAGCCCAUGUGUGGAUUCCAUUAUUUCUAAAAUAUAUUUUUUCAAAAUUCAUUUUCAACCAUAUUUUUCCAUAAAAUAAUAUUAUACGCAAACCUAAAAUUUUUCUUAUCUUUUAAUUACUUAUUUUUUAAAAAAUCACUAUUCAAAGUACAUUUUUUUUUCCGAAAACCCUAUAAAUGGCAAAGCUAUUGCAGGUAUAUUGUAGAUUACAUUAUGAGUCACACUCUCCCAUGUGACAUGAUCUGCCCCAUAAUUUUACCUCCACUUUUUUCAUCAAUGCACAUAUUCCACAUAGGAGAAAUGUCAUGCAAGCAUUAUUCUUAAUAAUUUAUAGGAGAGUUUGUUAAUAGACUAAUAAAUUAAAACUCUACAAAAAUAAUUUUGAACCGUUCUUGCAUAUCAGUGAUACCCUAACGUAACAAUCCUAAAAUUUCAUCAAUAUUAGAAAGUUUAGAUUUAUUAUAAUAAUACAAAAAAAUAUAAUAAAGAACUACAAGAAUAUGAAUCAAAGUUAUCUCUUCUUUAUUUUUCUCCACAUGUUAAAAUUUGGAUCAACCUUUUUAAAUUUGAAGAAUAAUUACAUUAAUAUAAUUAUUAUUAAAAAUAUACAUUUCAUAUUUAGCAUAGAAGAAAAUAAUUAAAUGACAAAUGUAUUCUAACAUGAGAAGUUUAGAUAACUUUUAAAAAACGAGGAUGAGGAUGUAAUUAUCGAAAAUUUCAAAGGACAUUAAUGAAACUUAUGUAAAUAAAAGUGGAAAUUGAAAUGAAUGACUUUGCAUGUCAUUUCAAAUGAAUGAUUGAUAUUUCCCUUGAACGUGAUUGAUUGACAUUUUAAUUACCAUUUAAAAUUGUGGGAAGUCUAGCAAACUCUUAGGAUUUUUCAAUGCUUCAAGAUAGACACUUUGAUGCAUAUUAAGCCCUUGUUUGCGCCCCAUUCUAGGGGGAAAAUGAAUUUCUAAAUAAUGUGUUGAUGUGAAAUGUGUGGUUAAAAUGAUGUCAAAAUACUGUUUGAAAACAUAUUUUUGUGGAAAGAAUGUGGCUUAAACAGGGGAUAAAAGCCUAUUUGAACAUCAUUUUUGUCAAAAAUAUAUUUUAAAAUAGUGGUUUGAUGAAAAUUUGUAGUUGAAAAAAAAAAUUAGUUUACAUGUAAUAUUAAUUUAUCAAAGAAUAUGUGGUUAAGAAUAAGAGAGAAUAUUGUAUUUUAGAAUUAAUAUAUACCAAACAAGGGCUAAGAACCUACUUGAGCUUCUAAUUUAUUUUUUUUCCCUCCCCUAAUGCAUUUCAAAAUAGUAGUUUAAUUGAAAAUUGGAAAAAAAAAAAAACUUUGAAUUUGCGAGCUGAGUAUUAUGACUAAAAGAUGAGAAGCUUUGCUUUGUAGAGAGCUGUUAUGCUCCUCAGUGGAACACGUCCACACUCAACACGUCGAAGCACAUAAUGUCAAGAAACAUCGAAGCAUAUUUUUUGAAGCGGUGGUUAUUUCGAAGUGGUGCUGACGUGGUACGUGCAGGUUCAAGCCGAUACAACCAAAGCGAUAAUCGUUCUGAAGUGGUACAAGAUGGUAUGUACAGGUCCUACCCUGCGCUACGACCCAAGAUACAAAUAUUUUGGGCAAGGAUCUGUCCAAGACAUAUUUUGGAAUGAUAGAUGUAACAUCUCUAUGACAUGUGUCAACUCCAAGUCAGAAACAUUAAAUGUCGCCCCACCUAGGAAAUGAUUGAUGAGCACCUAUGAGUAGAUGCCUCAAAUCGAUAGAUAAAUCCACGUGUUCUACAUCUAACGACACUCCUUCCAACUUUCUCUCUAUAAAUACAAAGAGUCAAACCUUUGCAAGGUAGUAUAACUUCACAAUUCAAGUUUAUAUUUACUCCUCCCCAUUUGUAAUAAAAAAAGGUUAGGGGGUUGUCGUUAUCGGAACCCGUGGUGCUGUUUACAGUCGACUGAGUUGAUCGUUGGAAUGUAUGUGGCUGCUAUCACACUCUUUGCGAAUGGCCAUAUACUUUUGACAAGUUUCGGCCAUGUGUAGGGAGGAAAAUACACAUGGAGUUGCUUUUUGUUGGUUGCAUGGAAGGUCCAUUUUUCGAGGUUAGCAACAGUUUUAUCUUCUCGUCACUUCUUUCUAGCUACUAGCUUCUCAAGUGGGUGGCUUCGUAAGCAAGCUACCUUAGCAUGGAUAAAAUCCCUAUCAGUAACAGGCCAGAAUAGCGGGGAAGGUUGCUUGCUCUUCAAUGGAAAUGGAGAAUUGUCCUUUUAUACUCGAUCCUAUACAACUACAUUUUGCGCAAAAUGAUCAAAACAAAGAUAGAGAAUUGCAAAGAAAGGACGAAAUGAACCAACCCACAUGUCUUAAUCGAAAAAUAUUGAAGAAAGAAACCUUGGAUCAGCUACUGAAGCCCCUACUUGUACUAGUUAAUCCAUAAUGAAGGUGCAAGUGCUAAAGAAUAUAUCGCUAGCUCUACUAAUGAUGCUAUAGGUUACGGAUCAAUAUUAUUUUAUUAAAAAAUGUAUAAUUGAAAAUAAGAGAGAAAAAUAUAUUUGAAAAUAAUGGGGACCAAACAAAAUUGAGAAAUUGUGCAUCCACUUUUGUACUUAACUAAGAGCAUUAAUGUUAACGUUACAAAUGAAAUUUGAAUUACAGAAGUAAUCUAUUGAAAAUACAAUUAUGCCCUAUUUGGAGGCCUUUAAUUUACUUUUAUUUUUUGGAUUUAUUUUUAACUAUAAAUUCAUACAAUAAAAUAUUUUACACAAAACCUUUUUCAAUUUUUUAAUUACAUUUCGCUAAAAAAUACUAUUGAAAACAUAGUUAUUUACAGUUAAAGGCCACCAAACCGGGUUGAUUAUAAUGUCUAUUUAUUACAUUAAUGUAGACUGAAAUCUUUUAUAUUUAGGGUUUUUUUGAAACUCAUUUUAUUGGGAGAUUUGAUUUUGUAAUAAUGAUUUUUAGAAAAUGUGUUGUUAAUAUCUAAGGAAAAUUUUAAAAUUAAUAUGUGAAAUUAUUUUAGAGGGAGAAUAUAAGUACGAAAAAAAUGACUUUUUAAAGGACAAAGCUCAAACAUAGGCUCAAAGAAUUCAUUCUAUUUAUAAUGUGGUUGACGAGAUGCACAUGUGGUGCACUGUCACACUGUUAAACUUUGAGAUAGUCGAAUUUUAGUCACAAAAUGUAAAAAAAAAAAAAAAAUGUCUUCUAUUGUUCAUUAUACUUUGAGGUGAUCAAAUUUUGACCACUAAACUUUGAUAUAAUAUAACUUUGGUCACUAAAUUUUUAGAAACGUUUUCUAUUGCUCACUAUAAAUUUAAAUUUAAUUAAUUUCCUAUUUAUCUCCCUUUAAAAUAAAACUUUUUAAUUUUCAUACUCAUUUUUAACCAGACAUUUAUACAAUAAAAUAUUUUACACGUAAACUCAAAAAGAUUUCCAACGUUUUAACCACAUAUUAUCCAAAAAAUCACCAUUUAAAACUCUUCUUUUAAAAAAAAAUGACCAUCAAACAGGGGCAGAAAUUCUAAUUUAAUUUAAUUUUAACAAUAAAUAUAUUGUGUAUUUAAUUAUAAUUAGUAAUCCGUUUCUUUGUACAGCUUUGUGAAUAAUGGAAACCAAACAAAAUUAGCAAAUUGUGCACCAUUUUCGUACUUAACUAAGAGAAUUAAUGUUAAUAAAACAGAUGAAAUUUGAAUUAUAGACGUAAUCUAUUGGAUAUAAAAUUAUGCCCCACCUUUAAUUUAUUUCUCACUCAUUUUAACUACAAUUUCAUACAAUAAAAUAUUUUACACAUAAGUUUAAAUUUUUUUUCUACAUUUUAAUCGCACUUUCUUAAAAAAAAUACUAUUUAAAACAUAGUUUUUUACAAUUAAAGGUCACCAAAUGGGGCUAACUAUAAUGUCUAUUUAUUACAUUAAUGUAGAACGAAAACAUUUAUAUUUAAGGCUUGUUUGAACUUCAUUUUAGAGAAUGUUUGAGAUUUAUACGUAAAAUUAUUUUAUAGGGAGAAUAAGAUUACAAGAAAAAUGAAUUUUUAAAGAAUGAAGAUCACAUAUAGGCUUAAAAAAGAGUGUCUUUGUUAAUAAAUAAACAAAAACAAAAUAUAAAACAUGAGUACCCAAACACGUAUGUCCAUACCGAACAAGAAUUAAUAAUGAAAUAUUUUCUCAAUCAAGUCAAGAACAUAAGUAAAAAUUUUAUUAUUAUUAUUAUUUUUUUUUUUAAGAAUGUGACUAAAAAGUGGGAAAGAAAAAGUCAUGGAAAAUGUGCAAAUUUCAUUAUUAAAAAAAAAUCAUAGUUGAAAAUAAAUUCAAAAAUAUAAAUGAUCGAGAAUUUUCACCAAAUAUGAAAUAAUUGAAUACGAAACUUUAUAAAUCAGGCACUGUCUAAUCAACAUUAUUUGAAAAUAUAUAUAUAAAUAUAUAUUCUUAAACAGUGGUGUCACAUCAUUUCAAUCACACAUUUUUCAAUAAAAUAAUAUUACACUCAAAUUCAAUUUUUUUAUUUACUUUUUAACCACAAAAAUUUCAUUAAUACACUAUUUAAAAAUAUAUAUAUAUUUUUUUUUUCAAAACAACCUGGUUCAAACAAGGGUCAAAAACCCGCGUUAAAAAUUAAAUACUGAGAUUUUAAUAAAAAUUGACAAGAUGUUUGAUUAAUAAAAGAAAAAACGUGAAAUUCUCAGAGUAAAGGUCUGCUAUCAUCAAUGGAGCCCAAAUCGCAAAAGAGAAGAAGGAAAUCAAAAGAUAUGCUCGAAAAAAUCGGCACUAAUGUUUUCAAAUGAUGAAGAAGCUGAAAUUUCUCAGAGAGAUAGCAAAGAAUCUGUUGAGGAGGGCUCCAGUUCCCACUCGAAAAGCAAAGAGGAAGGAAAGACGACCCAAGAAGCUGCUUCAAAACAACAAAAUGGCUCUUCUUCUGAUGUUGAAAGUCUCCAGCAAAAUGAAUUGAUUGAGAAGCAGUCCCAUUUUUUCUUCGGUCAGAUAUUCACUGACGAGGACGUUAUUACGUUGCUUCAAGGUCAAAUAGAUUUUAAGUCUGAGCAUGGGGAUGAAAGUAAGACCGAGUUUCAUUUGUUUGUUAAGGACAAGCUUCAUAUGGAGUUUACUAAGCUUCAAGUCACUGAAAAACUUCGGAGACUUAAAACAAAAGUUUCUUGGAAAUUUCAAUAGGAAGAAACAGGCUCCUUUGGAAUUCUCUAAUGCAUAUGAAUAUACUGUUUUCAAGCUUUCGGAAAAACUUUGGGGAAAUGAGGGUCAAAGUCUUUAAAGCAGCAAAUAGUGCUCUCGGAAGAAAAAGAACAAAAUGUGGAAAAAGAAAUCUUAGAGGAUGAAGUGGACGUGGAAUCAAAUUACCCAUUAUUGCCUCAGUCUUUCCAAAUGAAUAUUGGAGGAAUCAUCUCUUCGGAUAUGCUCAAGACGAUUUGGGCGAUGAUGGGAAGUGAUAAGGCACGACACUUUGAGGCAGAAUGGAGAAAUCUUAUGAUACAGGAGCUUGAGCUGCACCUUAAAGAGACUGAGCUGGUUCUGAAAGUUCUCAAGGGUUUUCAUUUGUUCUGUCACUAGGCUAUGUAGAUUUGAAUAUUUGCUAAUCAGUUAUAGUUUCAUGUAUUUUGUUUCUAAAUGUCGAUUAGGCUAAGAAAAACAUGAGUGACUUUGUUCAUAUAUUUUGGUCUGACACGCUUUUAUUCUGUUGGAGAAUUUGGUUUCAUGGAAUAGAGUGUAAAGAAAUUUUUUUAAUUCAGGGACUUGCUUUUAUUAUUUUGUUUCUUGACACAUGAAAACGUGAAUCUGGUAAACGUUAACUUCAAGUGUGGCUUUGUUGCUUGCCAAAGUUAAGCCUAGGCAUUCAACUAUUUUCUCUCACUAUAGUUCCCACUUUGACCGUUUUGGUGAAAUUGACAAAUUGAUAGUCUUUCUUCAGGAAGAAAUUUCUAAAUUUCUUGAAUUUCAGGUAAAAGAUGAGAACUUGAAUUUUUCUGGUGGAAAAUUUGAAUUGAAAGUCGAGGAAUCAAGAAAUGGGUUCCAUUUUUUCAGGUUUCUAUUGUAACAAUUGGGUGAAGAAUGUAGGUUUAUUGAAUAUCUUACUGUCAUUCCCCUUAACGUUAUUUUCAAUUGACAAAGAAUUAUUGUUUGGACUACUCUGGCUUUCUGUGUGGUAGUUGUUCAUUGUACACGAUCUUUCUAAAUGUCAAUUAAUUUAAUAAUUGCUAGCACAUAGUUAGAAAGUCUUGGUAAUUUUCUUUGUUAUUAUGCAGUUUGCUUUGAUGAUUUAGAAAGAAUCAUGUGGUUGGAAAUCUUUUAAUAUGAGUAAGUUAUUUUCUCUGAGCUAUUAGCUUCUUGUUUGAGCAGUUGCAUUCUUGUUGUUAUACAGAAAUAGUUAGAAUUGACUUAGCUGCAGAAGAGAAUGAUAUGCAUUAUGUAGUUGUUCAGCAUUGAUAUCCCUAGUCUUUUGUUGAUUAUAACCUUCCAUCUUAGGAGUUAAAGAUGAUUCUACGUAUUUCUUGUCCCAAUAGUCCAAUUUAUUACUCCAUUUCUCGUCUUCAAUGCACUUUUGUGGUGAUUGUCCCACAUAGUUUCACGUCACUUGUAAGGAAUAAAUCGUUUAAAGUUUGUUCUCAUGUCAAAUGAUUAACAAAGAAAACAUUCUUGAUAUCUAACUCCGGUUAUUGUCCCUUUAAUAGAUAUUGCCCCAAGCAAAAGUAGCACUUUCAAAUAUUACAAAAUCGAUUAUUGUCCUUUUAAUAGAGAUUGCCCCAAGCAAAAGUAGCACUUUCAAAUAUUACAAAAUUGACAAUUGGCUUAUGAGAAUUACUUGUAAUGCAGAUAUUUUGGCUGUCACUGGAAAUGUUUUCAAGAAUGAGGAUUUUUGUUUUAGAAAAUUUUCUCAAUGUGGCUGUUGACUAUAAAAGCAUUGCGGUAAUCUUCGUUUGUUGUUUUUGGAUUAUACUUGUAAUCUUAAUCUGGGAAAGUCAACAAAUAUUGUGUUGUGUUUUGCAAAUUUAAGCUUGUUUUAGAAGAAUCUGUCUAUAUUUAGUAGUUUGAUAAUGUUACUUUUUUAUAUUUGAAAGGAGAAAUUAGAGAGCUAGCUGUAAGAGGCAAACAUUGCUGUUAUUUAGUUAAUGUAGAUUUAGUUGUCUUCUCAUGAUGCUUGAGAAAGAUUUUGCUUUUGAGAUAUCGAUCGAAAUCUUAAUAUUAAGAAUUAUGCUCCUUUGCCUGAAAGAAAUUGUCACCUUUGUUGACAAAUACUCGCAUGAAGUGGGAACCAUGUGAAUAAAAAAAAGCCCAAAAAAUACUUGCUUCCCUCCCCCUAUUGUGAGGGAGACGUCAGGGAGGGUGUCAAUUCCUUCCUAGCAGCAUAGCUGAAUUGUAAUAUUAAUGUGGGAUAUGAGACUAUAAUUUUUAGUAAACUUAUCAGAAGUAUGAUGACUGGUUUGUAUAGUUUCAAAACUUGAGGACAAUUUUGGGAUAUUAUGGAUGUUCAGGGAUCAACGUAUAAGGUUUUGGAAGUUGUGAGACCGAUAUUGAAGAUAUGUAUAAAAACCCAAAAUCAUAUGAAAAACUUAAAAUAGGUACCAAAUUGUAAAAAUUAGAGAGUGGAUGGGGGGAGGACCGCUAUUUGCAAACCAUAGCUCAACCAAGGUUAGAAGUGAUCAAUGGAUUCCAUGAUCCGAUCAUGGUAAUCAACCACAAUCAGCGUGAUUGGAGCCCAAGCUCCUUGUUGGACGUGGUUGUGUCACAGUUUUCCUACAUUGAAAAGUUUGGAUUCUUUUUGUUUUAUUCGGGGUUAUUUUAGGUUCUUUUUGAGUCAUGACUUUUGAGAUGGGCCUAUCGCUAAAGACAGAUAUAUUCUAGAUAAAAACAAAGAGGACACAAUAAAGAGUGGGGAUGUAAACGAGUCGAAGUUCACGGUUUGAGCAUCGCUCGGGUAAAAAUAGGUCGAGCUUUUUUUGCUUGAGUCAAACCGAGUCAAAGUUGAGCCAGCUCUUUUUUUUCCCCAAAAUUUUAAUUACAUUUUUUUAAGGCAACUGCCUUUAAAGCGACCUUUUCAAAGGCUCUAUACACGGAUUGGCUUGUGUUAGUAUGACAAGUCGGCUCGAGCUCAGGCUAACACUUGAAAAUGAGGCUCGGUUCGAACGAUCCCCAACGAGUAGUGAGCUGAAUCCGCUCAGAAAUUUUUGGGCCGAGUCACAUGUCAUUCGAGCCGAUGAGUUAAAUUGACAUCCCUAAUGGAGAGUCAGAAGUAAAACAGACAGAAUAUACAAGAGAGAAGAAAAGAAAAAGCUAGGAUUUCAAGAUUGUGUUCUUACUACAAGAGCGGCGAAGUACUUCAAAUGCUCCAUAUGUUCUCUUUUCCUAUAAUAUGCAACUAAAUCAAUAGUUUGGAUGAAAUAUUAUAUUAUAGUUUUGAACUUUAAUUUUAUUUAUUAUGCUUUGAUCUCAAGUUAAUAUUUGUGUAUUAUUUUUACUUUUAUUAUUCAUGCUUUAAAACAAUUUGGUAUUGUUUCAUUGAUUUGUAAGCAGGAAGGAUUCGAGAGGUGAGUUAUUAUUUUAGACCUCAUAGUAAAAAUUGAAAUUUGUGUAAAAGAUAUAUCUUCACUAAGUUUGCAGUCAUUAAUUGAAUAUUUUUGUGACUGUAUACUCUUAAUUAAGACUUAUCAUGAUUUAAAAAAGAUAUAGUGAGUUAACUUAGUUGAAUAAGAUUGAUUUAAAUUCGAGAGAUGUAAAUAAAUUUUGAUUAGAAGAACUUGACAUGAUACACAUAAUUGAGUAUUGUUGAAAUUUGGUAACUGAAAUUAGAGGGAUAACUAUGAUGAACUCGUAAACCAUAACACUUGUUCAUUAAUUAAAAUCCUAAAUUAUCUAUUUUUGCACUUCUUCAAUUAUUUUGUAGAGUUAUAAUAUUUAUUAUCAUAAUUUAAAUUAUUUUCAAAUAUAUUGCGCUAUACAUUGAAAAAUUACUUGAUUUUGGCACUGUUCAUAGGGUUGCGUGCAAACAUUUUUUUAAUCCGACCAUUGAAAACCCGUUGGCUGAUUUGCUUCUACUCUCAUGCAAAUAUCUAACUUUCCAUUUCUUUUAACACAGCUAUAUCACUCUCUAUUUCUCUUUGUAUUCUCGGCCACAAAUUGAAUCUCAUUUCUUCUUUUCCUUUUUGUUUAACACUCCAGAUUUUUAUAAACAUUAGAGUGUUAUCAAAAAUUCAACUUUCUUCACAUUAAAUGUGGAACCGACACAUAUAAAAAUAAUUCUGUUAUUUUCAACCAUAAAUAUCAAUUAAAAUGUGGAAUUCGAGUUUUAAAAUUUAACUAAUUAUUAAACAUGUCUUUGAACAAAAACAAACUAAUAAUUUGGGAGAUAAAAAAACUUAAUAUUUUUAUUCUUUCAAAUCCUCUUGACAGUCUGCAUCACCAUCUUGCCAUAGUUCCAAUCAACCCGAUUUAACUUGUAAACUUAUUAUAGGAGUGAGUAUUUUAAAAUACCUAGUAAGAUACGUGCAGUUUUCAUACGCAAGUAUAUAACAAUAAAUUAUACACUUCAUUUCACUCUUCUCUUAUAAAAUAUAUUGGUUACCAAGAGACACAUCCAUCUUAAAUCCUCUUAAAUUUCAGUAGGAUCAUAUCUCUUUCUGCAGAACCCGAAGGUCCACUUACAAUUCAUACAUAUUUAAUUAAAUACACAAAAGUAUAAGAAAACAAACUAUUUGCUCAAAAAUAUCUUACCUUGAUAGAUUUGAAAAGUUGUAAUGGAUUGUAAUUAAUGCACGUGACACCGUAUUCUUUUCCUCUCUCUAUCUUGUAUGAAUAAAAUAUAUUAUAUAGUGAUAUUGUAGGAUUCUCUCUCUAGCUUUUGGAUUUCGUUGGCCUUGUAUAUAUAAUAUAUUAGUGGUGAAAAAUUCUCGACCCAUGGGAGUAUUUAUAGGACUUAUAACCUAGUAUAUCAACUGAAUUUCAUUGCAACAAGGAGACGUGAAUAUAGUGAAUGGGUCUGUAUAGAAUUGGUUUCCUAGUGAAACUUAUAAUUCUAAUCUCAAUGCAUAACAAUGAAAUGAGCUUUACAAUUCAAAUACAAAUCUAAUCAAUUAAAAAAAAAGGUUUUUUUCUAAUAAUCAUCCUAGAUAGACAUGGCUACGCCCAUCCAAAUUAUAUUUAAUUAAAAAAAUUAAUAAACGACAAUUUGUUUAAACUUCAAUAUCUUGAAUCUAACUUAACCUAAUUAACUUUUUCUCAAGUCGAAUAGUUCUAAUUAAUUAUAAACUAUAAAAAAAAGUCCAAUAUUAAUAUACUUAUCUUCGCUCUAUCAAAAUCUAAUUAUUAGGUCCAAAUAAAAUUAAAACUUAACUAUUUCAUUUUAGUCCUUUAACUUUCAAAAUAUAAAUAUGUAGCAUAUAGAAUUUUAUUCUAUAAAAUUUCCAGGGCAUUACAAUCUCCCAUACAUAAAAGAAUUUGGUCCUCAAAAUUACCUCAGUUAGUUGAAAAGUUUCGGACACUUGACCUUGACAUACUUAUAGUAUUUUAUAACAGAAAGCAAGAUUACUCAUAAUCAUACUAAAAGAAUGACAUUUCAUUUUAUACCUUGGAUCUAUUGGAGAGUGAUCAAAUAGUGAGCGCCACGUGUUAAGGAUUCUUCACAUUAUUACAUGAUCAAAAUUUUACAAAAACAUUAUCCUUAAACUCCUAAUUCUUAUCAAAAUGCUUUGAUCUUAUUUAUUUAAAAAAAUUCUAAAAUAGGAAUUUCAUUAAAUAAAAGUUUCUAGAGAUAAACACGUAAAAUCGUGUUGAAAUCAACUUAAAACUAAUAUUUCCAUAUAUUAAACAAUCAUUUAAUAUCUAACCUUUAGAAAAGUAAAAUCUGUAAUUUUUUUAAUAUAUGAAAGUGCAUUGUUCACGUGAUUUUUUUUAAAGAUGUCUACAAGAAGGUAGAUCUAUGCAGAUACCAUAUUGUAAUACUCCAAAUUUUAAUAAACAUUAGAAUCUUAUCAAAAAUUCAAUUUUCUUCGUGUUAAAUGUGGAACCGACACAUAUAAAAAUAAUUUCUUUAUUUUCAAUUGUAAAUAUCAAUUAAAAUGUGGAAUUUGAGUUUUUAAAAAUAUUUAAACACAAUUAGUUAACUAAUUGAUAAAUGUAUCUUUGACCAAAAACUAACCAAUAAAUUGGGAGAUAAAAAAAUUAAUAUUUAUAUUUCUUCAAAUCUUCUUAGCAGUCCGUAUCACCAUUCUCCUACAAUUCCAAUCAACUCAAUUUAAUCUGCAAAAUUAUUGUAAGAGUGAGUAUUUAAAAAUACCCAAUAAGAUACGUGGAGUUUUCACACACAAUUAUAUAACAAUAAAUUAUAUACUUCAUACCAAUCUUCUCUUAUGGCGUAUAUUGAUGAUCAAGCGACACACCUAUCUUAGGUUCUCUUAAAUUUUCGGAGGAUUUCAGCUCUCUUUCUACAAAAUUCAAAGGUCUACUGGCAAUUCAAAAAUAUUUAAUUGAAUAUAUAAAAUCGUAAGGAAAUAAACCACUUGUACAAAAAUAUUUUACUUUGAUAGAUUUGAAAAGUUGUUACGGUUUGUAAAAUAAUGCACGUGAAAAUCGCUUUCUUUUGCUCUCUGUCUUGCAUGAAUAAAAUAUAUUAUAUGGUGAUAUUGUAGGAUUCUCUUUAGCUUUUGGAUUUCUUUGGCCCUGUAUGUAUAAUAUCUUUGUGGUGAAAAUUCUCUCGACUCAUGGGAGUAUUUAUAGGACUUAUAACCUAGUAUAUCAAUUGAAUUUCAUUGCAACAACGAGAUGUGGAUACAGUGAAUAGGUCUGUGUAGAAUUGGUUUCCUAGUGAAACUUAUAAUUCUAAUCCCAAUGGAUAACAAUGAAAUUAGCUUUUUAAUAAUCAAUUUUAAAAAAAGUUAUCUAAUCCCAAAGGAUAACAAUCGAAUAGUUCUAAUUAUAACCUACAAAAAGAGUCUAUAUUGACAUGCUUAUCUUCGCUCUAUCAAAAUCUAAUUAUUAGGCCCAAAUAAAAUUAAAAUUUAACUAUUUCACUUUAGUCCCUCAACUUUCAAAAUAUAAAUAUAUAACAUAUAGAUCAAAUAAAUUUUAUUAUAUAAAAUUUUUGGGGCAUUACAUUUUGCAUCGAACUCCACCACAGAAAACCCUAGCUUGCUCCUUCUCAAACUCACUCAUCUCUUCACCAUCGAAGAAGCUUACCCUCACCCCUUUCAAAAACUCUUAGAUCCCUGAUGAAACCGUAUGAAGAAAAACUCCUCUACUAAGGGGAGCAGCGUUGAAGGUACAAUCAGACGUCGAAUCUCCUCCAUCUUAUAUUAAUCAACCUAGUGGUCGAAAACCCUCUCGAGACUUCAUAGCUUCCUAUAGGGCGUCGCUCCUAUGUUAUCUUGUGUUUGCUUUAUUUUAUUGUUCCAAAACUGGUGUUAAGAUAAGUUGUUUUUUACAUUUUUUAUUUCAAUUUUACUGUAAAGUGGGAGAUUUUGCCCGUUUGAUUUCGAACUUUCCUUCAAAUUUCCAAAAAAAGGUAAAACAAAUCGACAGCAAUAGGAGACUGGCGAGCUGAGGUUUGUUAGUUUCUUGGUUGCUUCAUUUUAGGGUUAUUUGUUUCUUCAAUUUAUGUUAGUUGUUCUUUAAUAAAUAACUUCUUCGUCUGUUGAUUUGUAGUCAUUACGAUCUCUGAAUCUUGUGUAUUUUGAACUUAUUAUUUGUUCCCUUAUUUAUCUGUUUACAAUUUUAUAUUUCUUGCUUGUGGAUUCAGGUCGUAGUACUAUGCGGCUCAACUUCUCUAGAAUUUUUCGAAGCAAUGGAAAAAUUUGACACUAAAAUAGGACACUGGUUACUUGAUGUAUAUUCAUUUCGUAUUAUAUUUUCUGCAUAUGCUUCAACAUAAGGGUUUCUUUUAUUUGAAGUUAUUAUAAAUUUGUCGCCUCCCUAGAAAUUAAAGUAGGACUCUAUUAUAUUUGAAACUUCUUUUGUUCCUUGUUGUUCUAUGUAGAAAUAAUUAUAAUUUGUAAUUGAUGUCAGAAUUGUGUUCGUGUGAUCUUUGUUUGGUAAGUUUUUUUUAAUAACUUUGUUGCUUAUCUUUGGCACAAUGAAGAAAGAAUCUUAAUAAAUUCAAAGAAGAGUCAUCUUUUACCCAAUAUCGAAGAGUUUGAACCAAGAUUUCUAGAUGGAUGGGAUGGAGUAUUAGUAUAUCUAACACAAAAUUUAAAUGUGAAAAAUUGCCCUCUAAAAAAGGAAAUAUUGAAAGAAUUAAUCGUAAAUUAUGAGAUUUUACUAUCGUUUUUCCCCUUCUAGAGAAAGUGUUAGUCGCAGGAAUUUCCACAAUAAAUGCUAUCCCCUCUUAUAUGAAUUGAGCUUGCAAAUUCCUUUUGCGCCCCAAAAACUGAUUUUGGUUAGAAUAAUUAGCAGAAAUAAGAAAAUGAUUUGUUGAUACGUUCAAGUAAUUAAGUGUUUUACAAUUAGUACAACAGAUUUAUUGUCAUAACCUGGAUUUUCCAACAAAAUCAAUCUAUUAAAUCCCUAAUCAUGAGCAAAUUCAUAAAUAUACUCCUAAAAGAUCAGUGGGUAUAAGAAGUCGUAUUGUUGAGAUCUAUGUAGCAGGAAAGAAGAAAUUGCAAUCGUCGAAAAUACCAUCAAACUGAGUAUGAUUGUAUGUGUGAUAACAUCUACUAUACCUGUAAUAUCAACAAACCUAAUUAUUGCAAUUACUCAGGAUACCCCAAGGUAAAAGAGCUCCUGACCAAUUAGAAACAAAAAUAAAUAGAAACAUUCUUGAAUGAGGCCAGGGAUGAAUCGAAAAAGAAAUCAUUAUUUUUAUCAAAUCAAAAUAAUAAUUUACAUCAUUAAGUAUCGUGAUAGGGAACCUAAUGGGUCAUACACAAAAAGAGAACUAGAAGAAUGAUAUUUACUAAUUAAUUAAUAGACAAAUGUUGCACAAUUAAAUAAUUAGGCUGCUUAUUAAUGGGAUGAAGUAAAUUUAUUAGAUUAAUUAAUUUAUGAACUAAGUUUAAUUAAUUAGAUUAAUUAAAUAUUGGUCUAGGUUAGAUUUAAGAGAUGGGUCAAGUUCACUUGAACUUCUAUUAAUAGGUUGCUAAAGUUCGAGAAAUCAUAAUACAUUAAUUAUAUUACUAGCACAAAAAAGAUAAACUCUGAUUCUCUCAUUCUUGUUUUCUAGUGUGAAUUAUCAUUGGAGGUUAAAAAAUUGGAUAGUUGUGGUGUAGAGAAGCUAAUUGCAGAUCAAGGUCAGCAAAAGAGUUUGCAAAAAAAUUUUAAACAUAUAAUUCUUAUCACAAAUUCAAUCUACACACAAAGCAGAUACUUGGUAUGAAUUGAAAUUGUUUUAAAUUUCGUUGUGCAUUUAUAAGUAAAUUUUUAACACUGAUAUCAGAGCUUACUUUGUGCUUGUUAUACACAAUUUUGCAUGUUGGAAAAACCAAAAGUUGAUUGUUUAUAUUUUUUUGAAUCUAAACAAUUCAGAAAAAAUAUUUUCAUAUUUAAAAAUCUAUUUUGAAAGAAAUUUAAUUUUUGGUAGAAAAAUUGGAUAGGGGAAAACUUACAAAGCGCGCUAUAGAGCUUCUCAUAGCAAUAGUAAACGUCGUUGUGUUAAAUUGCAAAAACCCACCUACAAUUAUUGAAUUAAGGACAAAUUGCAAUUUUAAAAGUAAAGGACCUAUUACGCAAUUUAUAAACUUGGAAGACCUAUUUAUAAUUUUAAAACCAGGGGCUAGUUUGAAAUUUUCAAAAUGAUUGCAUAUUCUAAUUUUGAAAAGAUUUUUAAAUUUAGUUUAUGAAAGGGUGUUACCCCAAAUUUUAAUUUUGAACGGUUUAAAAUUAUAUUUAAAAUUGACGAACCUUUUAAAUUAUCAUUAAAAUUGAAUUUUAAUUUAAAUAUUAAAAUUUAACCCUAAAUUGAAUUUUAUUUUAUUUAGGAGUUCUAUUCUAAAUUAAAAUAUUAAUUCAAUUGAAAUUAUAAUUGAACUCUAAUUUCAUAUAAAAUUAGUGUUUAAAUAUAAUUAAAUUCUUUCAUCCUAAAUUUUUUCUUGAAACUAGAGUUAAAUUCUAAUUUGAUAUUUAAUUAAAAUUUGAUUUUAAUUAAAUUUACCUCUUUCAAAGCUUUGGAAUUAAAGUUUGGACUCUGAUUUGAUUUAGUUAGAAAUUGAUUUUAAUUAAGUUGACCCGCCCUAUAAAUUUGGAAUUUGUGUUGAACUCUAAUUUGCUAUCUAAAUGAUUUUAAUUAAACAAAUAUCUCCUAAAAUUUUGAAAUUAGAGUUAGACUCUAAUUUGACAUCUUAAUUAAAUAAACUCUCUAAUUAAAUUAAUUGAUUAAUUAAUUGUUUCAAUCAUUUUGUCUAAAUUAGUUUAGACGAUCUUAAUUGAUAAACAUGUGAAACAUAUUUAUAUAAAAUAUUAUAUUAUGUAGGAAUGCAUUUAUACAAUGAAUAUAUAUUUAGUGGGUGAUUAUGGAUUCGAUCGUGUGAAUGUGUUGAAUUGUUUGUUUUAGUUCUUGUUAUUUGGGCAUACGAAUUCUUAUUUAUUUUGGAUUGCAAGGUCAUUGUCAUUAUUAUGGUACGCAUGUCUAAUUAUUUAGGAAUGCGUGCCAACUAGUAUAUGUUACAGGUUGUAGUUGGACUAAUUGGAAAUGCAAGAAGGGAAGGAGACCAUGGAGAUGGAGCAUUGUAUGAGUUAAUGCUAUAUCCUUUAGGAGCUGACCAACUAAUCUUUCUUAUUGCUCAAAAAGACUAGAUAGAAUAAGUCAAAUUUUAUUUGUAUUCCAUCAUUAUAGUAAAAAAAGAGAGUUCCUCAUCAAUCCCAGCUUGUUGAGUACAAUCAAAGCUGAUUUAUUAGAAAUAUGUUUGAUACUAUGAAAUAUUAUAUAUUUUUGAAUGAUGAAUUUGACUUAACUAAAAUUUAUCUUCUGUUGAGUACACCUAAGAAGAAAAAAUUUAGAGACACAUUAAACUAACACAUAGAUGUGUGAAGACAAUGAGUUGUUAGUUUAAUAAGAGCUGUAAAAGGUACAACAGAUAAUAGUAUCUCUAAAAUGUUUUAUUAAGGCUUGUUGAGUAUAUUUAAGGUCUUAAUAUGACGAAUGGGAUCCUAGUUCAUCAAGAAUAAGGUACAAAUUCCAUGAAUUUAUGUGAAAGGGUCAUAAAAUUUAAUUAAACAGUGGGAGUAUAAUUAAUUUAAUAUAAGUUCAUAUUAAAUUAAUUGUUACAUUGUUUGACAUAUAGUGAAUCUUUUAUUUUCGUCAUUUACAGGUUGCAUUAUGAGUAACCAUAUGAAUCUGAGAUGCAUAUUGGAUGGCAAUGAAUUUAUCAGGCCAAAAUUUUCUCAAUCGACACCGCAAUUUUAGAAUUGUUCUCAAUCAUAAGUAAAUUGGUUAUGUCCUUUAGUGGGCCUUUCGAAAGCUACCCACUAAGAACUCAACUGAGGAAAAUAUGGCUUCUAUAAUAAACACAAUUAUGAUGAUAAUACUGCAACAUGUGUUAUACUUGGAGCUAUGUCACCUAAGUUACGAAAGCAACGUGAGGGUAUGGAUGCUAAUAGUAUGAUUGUUCAUCUUAAUGAGUUGUGUGACAAACAACCACAUCUGGAAAUAUAUGAGAUUUUCAAGCAACUAUACUGGUGCAUAAUGGCAGAGGGUCUUUAGUCAGUGCGCAUAUGCUAGAGAUGAUUGGCUACAUUGAGAAGUUAGCUCAAUUGGGUUUGAUAAUGGAUCAUGAAUUGAGUAUUAGCUUAGUUCUACAAUCUCUAUCAGAGAGUUAUUCACAAUUUAUAAGUUGUUGAAUAUGCUUAAGACUGUAGAACCCAAUAUCAAGGAUGGUGUUGGGCAAGUCUUGUCCAUUAAUUCCCUCAACGGUACUAAGAGAAAGACUAAUGUAAGCUUUAGGAAAGCAACAAAGACGGCUAAGAUAAAUAAAGAGGCAGUCAAAGUGAAGAAGGGUAAUACCAAAUCCGAUGACCCUAUUAUCACUGUGUUGUAAAAGGUUAUUGGACGAGGAACUGUAAGUCUUACAUAGCAACCUUUAAGGGGAAAAAAUCUUUAAAGCUUCCACUUCAGGUAUUUUGUAAUCGAGAUUAAUAUAUCUACUUCAUUAGUUCUUUGUGGUAUUAAAUACUGGAUGUGGAUCUCAUAUUUGUAUAAAUAUGCAAGGACUAAAGAGAAAGAUUACUGCAAAUGAAGUUGACCUACGAGUAGAAAAUGGAGCAAGAGUUGCCAUAUUAACUGUAUAAACAUAUUUAUUACCAUUGCCUUCGGACUUAGUAUUAGAAUUAGAGAAUUAUUAUUUUGUUCGUGACAUUACCAAAAACAUUAUUUCUAUUUCAUGUUUGGACGAGCGAUUUUUUAAUUAAUCUUAAGGACAAUGAUUGUUCUUUUUAUCGAGAGGAGCUAUUUUAUAGUUAUGGUACGUUACAAAAUGACAGUUUACAUUCUUGAUACUGAACUAUCUAUUAUAAACAUAGAAAAUAAAAGACAUAAAAAUAAUAACGUAAAUAACACCUGUUAUUAGCAUUGUAGAUUGGGUCAUAUAAAUAAAAAUGCAUUGUCAAAUUAUGUUGAGAUGGAUAUUUGGGGUCAACUGGUUUUGAAUCUGUUGAUCUACGAGCGACACGAGCAGGAGGCAAAUGCUUGGUAGGUCAACAGCCCAGUGAACCGGGCAGGACACUCAAAGAAAAGGGGGUACACUAAGCAAGUAUUAGAAAUUGGCCUCGCGGAGCUUUGUUAAAAGCAAGGACCACUAUGGGAGGUCAAACCAAGGACCUAUGGAAUUACAAUGACAACGUGGGCAACAAAUGUUGAAUCCACUUAUAUCCACACAAGCAAUUUUUGGCACAUUCUAAUUGAAGAUACGAUUGGAGACUUAUGACGAUAAUGGACGUGGGAGAUGCUCUAUGACACGAGACAAAAAUGUCCGGACACCAACAACGUGAUCAAUUAUGAUCACAAAUAAAAUGAUCAAUUGCAUACAACUCCAUCGAAAAAUAUAUAAGAGAUUACCAAACUCAAGCAUGUAAAUUAGAAGACUUGUGAUUUUGUGUGUAUAAAGUUAUUUUUUUUCAUCCCUUAAAGUACUACCAUUGGAUUAGAACCAUGUUGCCGCAACCCAUUAACCAGAGCUUCACAUUACUCACUGCCAUACAUUAAUUAUAUUAAUAAAGGGUCAGCCACCCUACACCCUAUGCUGAUACUUAUUAAUGCAAAUGUUACAUCAAUUAUUUCUACAAACUCUGUAGAUCUUCUUUAAAGGCAACAAGCGCUUCGGCUUGAAGAGAGAGCUUUGGAUGGGCAGUAUUUCAACCAGUAGGAAGGGUGCUCUAGCUAAAGAUCAACUUUUUUCCCUUGCUUUAUUUUGACCUUGUUGAUUGCCAGAUGUUUGCAUGUAGUGCCUCCACAUGGAGCUUUAGAUACGAGGCGUAACAGAAUCAUUUAACAAAUUGAAUUAUACCUGUUGGGCAAGAUGAUCAAAUUUCAUUUUUCAUUUUUUUUUUUGAAAAGGGAUAAAGAACUAUACAGUUAGUAGGCCUAAUACAUAUUGAUGUAUCUACCCAUGUACUUCAUCACUUUUACUUAUGAACAUUCUAAAUAUAGUUAUCCUUAAUGAAUUCAAGCAUGAAGCAUUUGAAAAGUUUAAGAAAUUUAAGCUAGAAGUAGGGAAGUAAGUAGGUAAAGAUAUUCAUACACUAAGAUCUGAUCGAUGUAUAAAAUAUCUUAAAUGAGAAUAAGUUUUCUCACAACGAACUACGUCACAUACACAACAACAUAAUGGUAUAUUUGAACAAAGGAACUCCACACUAUUAGAUAUAUUGUGAUCAAUUAUAAGACAUGCAAACCUGUCGGUUGACAAAAUUCAAUACGAGUUAUUGAAAGGUCCAACUUAUAUCAUAUUAAAGAUUGGGACUGUGACAUUUAUAUAAAGCGCACUUAUGUAAAGAAUAUGUACUUAAUAAAAAUAUAAGAUAGUUAAAUUAAAUGUAAAUUUAUUUACAAAAUGAAGUCAAUAUUUUUAAAUGUGAUAAUACUGAAUCAAUCUCACUACUAGUAGUUGUCUUGAAUCAUUUUACCUUUAUCAUCCAAAAAUGGAGAAGAAUAACAUGGAAUAAGCUAACACUUAGUAAGCAAAUAACAUACAUAUGAUAUGAGUAUAAAUUACUUUAAUAUAAAAGUAUCUUAAUAAGUAUCCCCAUUUUCAUUCAUUCUUUAAAAAUCUUAACAUUGAUAUCAUGAGCUCACUUGAUGCAUCACCUAACCAAUUAGAAUGCAAUAGUGGGCCAUGUUAUUUGAAACUCGAUCAGAUCUUCCAAUAGUACAAAAAAGCAGUUAAUGUUAAUAGUGAAUAUUGCUCGGGUGCAUUGGUCCCCCACGUCCCAUUUCUCACUCACACCUUCAUAGUAUAGAUAAACACCUCAUAAUAACAACAUCUGAGAUACAUGUCCUUUUGAAAACAUUCCUUCUCACACUUACAUUUAAAAACUCUUUAUUUCAUGAAAUUCCAUGAUGUUUAUGAAUGAAUUGAUAUGCACAAAUUAUCAUUAAUAGCAUUUAUAAUAUAAAACAUAAUGAUAAAAUAUUAAUUUCACAUAAUUAGAUAACACAUUUACACAUUGAACGAAGUAACAUAUGUAUGAAGACAAUAGAAGAUUUACUUACCUUAAGUUCUACCAAUUUAUUUUUCGAAUGGCAAGUGAAAAUGUUCCAAGUCACCCACAAAGUCAACGUGCCAAAACCCUAAGUCACUACCAUUUGUUUGUUUAUUUAUCCAUACCCCUGAACAGGGGGCGAGUUAAGAUUUAUACGGCUCUUUAAAUUUUGAUGUGAAUCAAACUGGUUACAAACAAAUCAAUAUGUUGAUAAAACAUAAAAAAUAGUAAGUGAUUUAAAUCCAAAUAAAAAUCUAGAAUAUGUAGCUAAUAUUGUAGAUUGAAUGAAGAAUAAUUUGUCAGUUUCCUUUCUAGAUUAUAAUGGAUUACUAGUUUGUUGAUUCCCAAGUUCUUACUAAUAGUUUGAUGCCAAUGAAAAAUCAUUGUAUAAAAUUAGAAAACAAUUAAAUCUCCAUAUUUUUAGAUAGGAAACGAAGAAAUUUUGCUUUAUGCAAACCAACAAGAAUUUUCUUAUAAUUUAGAAUUUAGCACACACAUAUAUGAACAUCAUUCAUUUAACUAUUUAUUUGAGGAAAUAUAAUUACCAAUUCUUCAGUUAUCCAGAUGAUAAAAUUAAUUUAAAAGGGGGAAAAUUGCACAGCAGUCCCUAAUCUUUUCAUUUUUUAAGGACUUUACCUUUAUCUUUAUUUUGUGUCAGCGAAGGUUCAUAACCUUUCAUAAAUAUGCACCUGAGGUCCAUCUAAACAAAACCUAUCCAAAACAUCGUCAGUUAACCGAAAAAAUUAAGGAAUUAACAUUCAAUAAAACUGUUCUCUAAAAUAUAUGCCGCAAGUGCACGGGUCGCGUUCAUGUAACAAAGUGGACCUUUUGAAUCCGGGUUGUCGAUCUCUCGAGGAAUAUAUACUUUCAAAUACACAACUUUAAUUAAUUCAAUUCUAACAAUAAAAAGUAACACACAAUAAAUUUAUGACUUUGGCAUUUAACUAAAAAUCAAUGAAAUAAGAAAAUAUAAAAAAUCUUGAAAAUUUUGGAAGAGAACUUGGUUGGGAUUCAUGGUUUCAUUUAAUCAUCACCUAAUUAAUUUCUCCAUGAGCCAAUUAACGAAUUACUCAUUUUCUAUGUUAGACCCGAUUUUUCAAUUUUAGUUAAUUACAUCUCUCAAGCGAAAUUAACUCUAAUUGAUUAGUUUAACCUACUAUAUCUCUAUAUCGAUUAAAACCAAACAACCGCAUUAAAUAUUUGUGAAAAUAGCUCAUUGGGUUACCUAGGGCUAUGGAUAUAUCUCUAUCCCUUACACAAACCUAGGAUUUCUACUAUUUGGUCUAAAAGGCACAAUCUUCUCUCGAGCAAUGUACAAAUUACUAAACAUAACCGUUCAUUGGCCACAUAAAUAAAAAUACAAGAAAUACAAUAGUAAAAACACAUGAAAAUAAGCAAAUUAAUAUCAAAAGGCAAAUAUUAAAAUUAAUCAAGAUUAGAUUAGACUACAACCAUAAAUCUCAACACACUUAACUUAGCCCAUUUUAUAUGGAUGAUAAAAGAAGAAUAUUUUAUACAAUAGAUUGCAAGUUUGACAAAAUAAUUGAGAAAAUACAAGGUAUAGAUAAAACUCUUUUUUGUUGGAUUUUUGAAAAUGAAAUUGUUUCCUUUUGAUUUCUCCAACACGUUGCCAAAUCCUUUGAUUGAAUCUCAUUGUGCUCUCGAUUUGAUCUCCAAAAUACUAAGAAUUUACAAAGAAAAAGAAAGAAGGAAAAAAAUGAAAGGAAAAGGAAAAGAAAGAAAAAUAAAAAUAAAAAGAAGAGAAGAAGACAGAACCCGCAAGAAAAAGCCAACUGGGACCAAAAAUAUGGUUUUUUUUAUAAUAAAACCCUAGCAAAAUUGCACCCAAGUCUUUGGAUUUUGAAAAUAAAUUAGAAACAGUCCGGUUAGGAAGCUGUGUAGUAGUGCGCUACGGCGCCACUUGCCUUUUACUAUUUUUGCAGCUUAGUCCUUUAGGAAAUUGCGCGCUAAGUCUCUCAACUUUGAUUUUGUACAAUUUAGUCCUCGAAUUUUGACUUUGUUUGAAUUUUACCCUCCAAAAUUGCAAUCCUAAGUCCUUGAACUGUUGGUCCUUUUGAAUUUUGGUCCCCAACUUCACAAUUUUGCACACCUUUAGUCCAUUUUCCCUCAUUUUGCUUCGUUCUCUUUCCAUAGGUGAUUUUCGGCCUACAAAAGAAAAUACUACAUAAUUGUAAGUAGAAUUCCAUUCAUUUAAUCAAUUAAUAACAAAUUUAGAUAUUAAAUAAUGUAAAAACACACUUACCAAAAAUCGUUCAAAAACACUUUCCAAAAGGGAAUCAAUAUCCAAUAAAAUCAUCACGGUAGCAGAUAGUUAAAAGAAUUUUUUCUCCCAAUCAACUGACAGUGUUUUGGACGGUUUCCGUCCAAAUAAAUCUCAGGUACAUAUUUUUGAAAGGUUAGGGACCUUUGCUGACACAAAAUAAAAGUUAGGGUAAAGUCUGUAAAAAAUGAAAAGGUUAGAAACCACUAUUGCAAUUUUCCCUUUAACAAAAGAAUCAAAUGUCAAAAUAACAAAGUGAUUCUUGCUCAAUUAAAGUUAUGCAUAAAGGGGCUCUAAAGGACCAUUAAAUUAUAUACAUUUAUCUAUGGUUGUAUAUGUGCAUGUGUGUGUAAAAAAUCAUAUCCUUAUUCAUUCAAUUUAAAGAGAUUUAGUGGCCUAAUAACGUGUUUAACACUAAAUAACCAUAAAAUAUUAAAAUGAUGAAAUAAUUAUACCUUCAAUUGCAAAAAUUCCCACUUCUAGAAGUUGUAGCUGAUAACAGUGGUGGUUUGAAUACUAAUUCAAUUAGAGAAGGAUAUGGAAUUUACUCGAGAAUUAACAAUUGGAUUUGGGUAAAGAUUUGAAUUCUUUAUUUUUGAUAUAAUAGACAUGUGAAUAUCUAAACUAUAUUGUUUAUUAAAUUAUUUUUUUAAUGUUUGGGCAAUUUCGUGUCCGCAUUCCAACAACUGGUAUCAGAAUAAUUUAGAUUUUUUACUUGUUCGUUAUUUUUGUAUCUUGACUGCAUAUUCUAGUUGAGGUUUUUAAACUAUGAUCAUAUUAUUUGUGGCCAGUUCUUGAUGUAGUUUUUUAUUUUGAGUUUAUAACAAGAUAGGUGGAUUACGAUACCAUCAUCUUGAUUAAAUUUUCAUUUCAAUUAGGUUCAAAAUUUGAUGUGAAUGGAACAUAUGAAAUAUGUAAUUCUUAUAAUUGUUGAUUCUUAUAAAUUGAUUGAAGACCUAGAAGACAUGACGAGAAAGAAAAUUCAAGAAUUUGUAGUGGUUUAAAAAAAUUAAGUUGUACAGCAGGUAGCUGUGCAGUAGCCACUAUUGCUAGACGCAACGAUAGCAGCAGGCUUCCCAAGCAGGCAAUUUCUGAUCGUCAAAGCAGCACUAGCUGCCUUGGGCAACGACUAGUUGAUUAGUGUCUUGCUUACGUUUGGUACAAUAUAUUGCAUGACUUUGAUCUAGGUUUAGUUUUUUAUGGCAAAUCUGGAUAAGUCGGGUUUGAAGUUAAUUAAUUUUUGAAGGUACGAUGGUGGAUUACUGUUGUUAGAUCCUUGAAAACUUGUGGGCUGAAACUUUAGAUUAAGUAUUGGGCUUAGGUCCAAUUAGUUUUAUAUUUAAUUUUUGAGUCGAUUUUUGUGCUAUAAAUAAUUGUUAUUUAUCGCUUUAUAAAUGCUUUAAAUUAUCGUGUAAAAUAAUAUCUCUCUAAAUACCAUAAUAUAUAGAUUUAUUUAUGACAUCGCUCGUGAUAUAAUAAAUAGGAUGCAUAUCAUUGUACACCGAUUUUUCUUUGAUUAAUUAAUUUAGAUUAAUUUUUUUUUUUGGAUGAAAAAUUCGUAAUAAUUAAAUUGCAUAUUAAUUUGAUAAUAUAAAUAGUUGAUAAUUAUUUAAUUUUUCUUUAUUAAAUUAAUUUAAAGAAAAUUUAUCUAGAAGGAAAAUUCUUAAUAAUUAAACCAUAUAUUAAUUUGAUUUACGUUAAUAGUUGAUAAUUAUUUAAAAUUUUCUUGAUUAAUUUAAUUUAGGUUAAAUUUAUCUGGAAGAAAAAUUCGUAAUAAUUAAACUGUAUAUUAAUUUGAUUUAUGUGAACGGUUGGUAAUUAUUUAUAAUUAAAACUCAUUAAUUUAAAAUAUUGAGUGAAACGGGAAUUUAUUUAAAUAGAACUCCAAGGUCUCUUUUGGUUAAUUCAUAAGCAAAUUAACACACUUGCCUCGUGCGGCCAUACAACAAACUCCCUAUAGGAGGGCCACGUAGGUCGAGUUGUUUGGUUGGAUUUUCCUAUUAUAAGUCUGUCUAAAUAAAAUAUAAUUUGAUAUCAUCUUAUAGACGGUAAAAUUAUUUUCAAGUAUUUAGAAAUUAAGACAAAUGCUAUACAUUGAAAUCAAGAUCAUUAGCGAACUUCCUAUAAAGACUCUUGUUUAUGAUCUUGGUGACCAAAUAAAACGAUACUAGACUAAUAUAGAAAUUGUUGUCAAAUAUGAUUUAUUUAGUGGGAGGAUCACAACCAGAUUAGUAAACACAGUGACAUUUCCUAUAAAGGGGCCUUUUGAAUAACAAGGAUCAAGUAAUUGUUAUAUUAUUGUCGUUAGAUGGAUCUAUAUGUAUAUUCAUGCAUCAUAUGUUAAAUUGUUAUUUGCUACUCAAUUUUAAUAUGCAAUGUAUGAUUGUUUUUAUGCGAAAUAUCACUUGGCUAAUUUUUCUAUUAUUCUAAAAUAAAACCAACUAAUCAAAAAAAAAAAUUACGUGGAUUGAAAACAUAAUUUGAUGUUUAUGCUCAAUACAGAAAAACUUACUUUUGCAUUUGACGGAUGUCUUGAUGGACAUACUAAGACCAUAUAAAAGUGUCCAAAAAGCUAAAUAUAUUGAGUGAAAGAUUGUAGACAAGAUGGCUAGCUGUUCAUUUUGGCUUCAAUGUCAAACAUGUUAUAAAAAAUGCUUGAAAGUCAGAGUACCUUCAAUGACAUUCCAAACUCUUUAGGCCAUUUUUUGUCAUCAAAGUGGGAAGGCUGGUAUUGUGUUUUGAACACUUAUUUAAUACCUAAAUAUGCUUAUUAUUGAUGAAAAGAGUGGAUAUCAAGUCACAAUUGAGUAAUUUUAACUUUUGUAAGUCAUAAACCCCAAAUGGAAAGAGAACAAGGCAAAAAGGAGUUAAAAGGGAUGGAAAGCAUACAAAAUUGCGAAGUUGGGACCAAAAUGCAUAAGUGAAGAAAGUUGAUGGACCUUGGAUGCAAUUUCAUGGAGGGCGUAAUUGAAAGAAAAGUCAAAAGUUGAGGGACAUUGAGUGCAAAUUGCUAGAGGACUUGUGUGUAAAAGAAAAAGAAAAAAAAUAAUGAAAUGAUUCAUUAUGGCAUAGAGAUGGUGCCUAGACGCUGGAAACAUGGUGCUUAGGGACCAUAUAAAAAACUUGGCAUCAUUUUUGUUGUUUGUUCAAAAUAUAGGGACUUAGUUGCAAAUUCUCUGGGUUUAAAGUUAAAAGUCAAGAGCCUCAUUCCAUCUCCUUCCUUCUUCGAUUUUUCCUCGCUUUCAUUUUUCUUUUCUUUCUUUUUCUUUAUUUUUUCUUUCUUUUCUUGUCCUUUUCAAUUUCUUGGUAUUUUUGGAGCAAAACAUAGAGUACAAGAUGAAUAUAUUCAAGGAUGUAGAGAGAUUUUGGAAAAAUCAAGUUUAAGCCUUUAACAUCUUCAAAAAUCCAAAAUGAUUGUAUCCCGGAUCUUGUAUUUCCUUCAUUAUUAUCUUCUAUUUGCAGUGUAUUGAAUAAAAUAUUCUCAUUUUUAUCAUAUAAUUAAUGUUGGCUAAAUAUUUGUACUAGGAUUUAUGGCAGUAACUUAAACUAGCUUGGAUUAAUUUCAAUAUUUGCUUUUUUGACGUUUAAACACUUUUUUUCAUGUGUUUCUACUAUUGUAUUUUUUUGCAUUUUCAUUUAUAUGUCCGAUAAAUGGUUAUGUUUAGUUAUUUGUACACUGUUCGAGAGAAGAUUGUGUAUUUUAGAUCAAAUAAUAGAGACCAUAAGUUUGUGUAGGGAGAUAGAGAUUUACUCCUAACCUAGGUGACUCAAUGAGCUAUUUUUCACAAAGAUUUAAUGUGAUUCUCUGAUUUUAAUUGACAUAGAGAUAUAGUAAAUUAAACUAAUCAAUUAUGAUUAAUUUCGCUCGAGAGAGGUAAUUAACUAGAAAAAUCGAGUCUAACAUCAUAAAUGAGUAAUUUACUAAUUGACUUGUAGAGAAAUUAAUAAGGCAACGGUUAAGCGAAACUAUCAACCACAUUUUUCUCCGAAAUUAUCAAGCAUUUUUAUUUUCUUAUUUUAUAGACUUUUAGUUAUUUUCUUUAUUUUCCAAAUUCAUAAUUUUAUUGUGUAUUUAUUUUUAUUGUUAAAAUUAAAUUGAUUAAAAUUGUGCAAUCUAAAGUAAACAUUUCUUAAGAGAUCGACAACUUGAACUCAAAAAUUCACUUUGUUACUUGAAUGCACCCCUGCACUUCUUGGCUCGGGUCUGGUAGGUGGUCAGUAUUAAGAUAUCUAAUUGCAUUCGAAUCGAGCUUUGAACUUCGUUAUUCCAUUGGAAAUGGACCAUUCAACCUAUAUUUCCCCUUUUCUAUUGUACAGAUGACUUGAGGGAAAAUAAAAAGGAAUAAAGAACCUUAUUAGGCUUAGGCUUAGGCUUACAACAGGAACUCGAAUUACACAGGACUAUGCAGCGGAGGUGCUUAUAAAGGAAUUCCGUCCAUCUCAAGAACAUGUUUGCAGUAAGGUAAUAAGAAAAAAUCCAUUGUGCUUUUUGGCUUUAAUUGAUCAUUAUAUCGGAGAGUUUUACAGUUUACACUUUCAUAGCAAACAAGUUUUUGAUGCCGUUACUAGGAAUUUUUUUACUUUGAUUAUGACUUUAAUUAAUUUUAGUUUUAAUAAUUUCUUUUAUUUAUUUUUAAGUGAUUUUGUUUUAGCUAACCCCCUUAUUAAUAAUCUAUCUUGUGUUGGUAUUCUCCCCUUAUCUUUUUAGCUAUAUUUGCAUUAUUCCCAUCUUAUAAAGUAACAAAGUUUUUGCAGUAUCUAAUCUCUACAUUGACUAUGGAUUUAUGCUUAGAGGUCCAAAAUGUGAAAUUUGUCAAGCGAUUCACUGUACAGGACAAUGCUUGUAUUCGUGCACCGAUACCUCAAUGUCGCAAUUUCUUUGCUUUAGGCAAUAUUGGAAAUGUCAAAAAUAAGCACUGGACAAUUUUCGAAGAUAGUUACAUGCUCGCAGGAAAUUAUGUACCUGAUAAUUAGGACAAGGACAUCAAAUUUUCAAGAGAUGGUCCUCCUUUAUUAAACUUAUCAAGUUGGAUCAAGACAUGCUUGUGGUAGAUUACAAAUAUUGCGAUGGAUUUCAAAAGUGGAGUAUAAUUCACUCGACCGAGUUAAUAGGAAAGACUUGCCAUUAACUGUAGAGUUUGAUUGUGGACCAAUCAUUCAACCUAAUGAGAGUUCAACCCUUGAAGAAGAGCCUAAAAUGAGAGAAAAUUUAAUCACAAUGGAGCUAAAUGAGGAUGAGGCAAUCAAUAAGAAGAAAAUUAACUUACGUUUUUUCAACUUAGUUGAUUGCCAAGAUAUUGAUUUUGUGAUUAAGCCGGAUGAAGAGGUAUAAAUCUUCAUAGUUGAAUUUAAACUGGAUGGAAUAGGCAAGUUCUAUUAAAUGGAAAGGGGCAAUUUUGAGUUUCGGAGAUCAAAUGAAGAGCGGAACAAAGUCAAAAGAAGAAAAAUGGGCAAGGCUUCCUUCUUUAGAUGCCCCUGAUUCAAUUGCCAAAGUCGAGCUAAGUAAUAUAAAAAAAACGUUUAUUGGGAGGUAACCUAAUUUUAUAACUUUUAAGUUUUUUAUUUAUUUUAUAUAUUUUCGUGCUUUCAUUUAAUUAGCUAUCAUUUUUUGUAGGUAAGUUUGAAGUCCCAUGUAUCCAUGGUUCCUCACAAGUUCGGAGGUAAAUUAUGUACGAGAAGGUCAUUUGCCCACGUUCAUUGAAAGCAUCAAAAGUCCAAGUCAAGUAUUGGUAACUCUUCACAAAUAAACAACUAGAGAAGUUUUACGACCCUCUCUUCUAUUUUAUCUUGUUUUUUACACAUUGAGGACAAUGAGUAAUAUAAGUUUGCGGGUGAUUGUGCUUUAAUUAUUAUGAUUUUGUAUUGUCAUGUUAGAUAGCCUUUUCGGCUUUGGAUAUGUUGAUGUUUAAAAUUUUUAUUGAUUCAUGAGCUAUGACCAAAUAUGCUAUUUGUGCCUAAAUUUUUUUUUUUCAAAAAUUUUGCUUGUUCAUAUGAGAUCCCAAGUUAUUUUGAGCACAAUACUUGUGAAUAAUUGUUAUCUAAAUGUGGAAAAUUUUGAUUGAUGGAGAGAUUUUGAAUUGGUAAGAACAAGGUUACGAGUUGUACAUAAGUUUUGUAUUCACUUCUCUUUCACUUAACUAUAUUGCGAGAUAAGUUUGGGGGUGAUCAAGUAGGUAAAAGAUAUUAUUCAGAAGUGCGCUGAUUCCAUACAUAUUGAAAAAUUUAUUUGCAGUGUGUUUUCCCAAAUAUAAGCUAGAUAAUGACCAUAUGUUAGGGAUCUAAGCCCCCAUGUGUCAUGUUGUUCUUAAAAUUAUGAUUUUGCAUUUGUAGAAUCCUAGGCCUCAUUUCAUAGUUUCUUUUUUUACUCAAGUUAUUAAGUUCGUUGGGGCAUCUCAAAAUUCAAUACCCUUUAGUCUAAAGAACUGGAGAGCUAUAGACCUAAAGCUCGCCAUAAGAAUCAAAAAGGAAGUUUAAGGGAGUGAGAUAAAGCACGAGAUUUAAUUGAAAAAGAAAAUAAUUGUAAGCGUGCAAUUGUAUUUGAUGUUUAGGUUUAGAUAAAUAGUGAGAUACAAUUACCUAGUAUAAGUUUGAAUGUGGAAGUACUCAUUAGUGGAAAAUCAUUAUAUGUCUAGAUGUUAGAUUGUUAGUUAGACCAACCUAGCUAGAACGAAAAAAAAAAAAAAAAAGAGUGAAUUGAGAGAAACCUUUAAUUUCCACCUCAGAAAAUAAAAGAAAUAUCAAUUUUAGGAGUGCGAAUCUCAUGAGCAAGAAAUGAAAUAUAUGACCACUAAGGGUCGAGUUGAAGCCAAUUUGAAAAAUUUUCCAUCUUGACAAUUUUUUUCAAAUUUAAAUGAUGAUUAAAAGUAACUAUGAACAUACAAACCGAUGGAACAUUGGAUAAACUUAAAUUAUUUUUGUUAGCAUUAUUUAGAGCAUAUUUGUGAAUUGAUCAUACUAUUUUACACUCAUAGAUAAUUUUGUAAGUUAUCUAAUGUGUUGAUCUUUAUCUCAUUUUGCUUGAUUCUGUUAUAGAUAAUCUUGCUUAGAACGAGCAAGAACUUAAAUUUGGGGUAUUUGAUAAGUGUAUUUAUGCACAAUUAUUUAAUACCUAAAUAUGCUAAUUAUUGAUUAAAAGAGCAGAUAUCGGUUCAUAAUUGGGUAAUUUUGGCUUUUUAGGUCAUAGACCUCAAAUGGAAAAAGAAGAACGCAAAAUGGAGUGAAAAUGGACAAAAAGUAUACAAAACUGUGAAGUUGGGACCAAAAUGCAUAAGUGCAAAAGGUUGAAGGACCUCGGUUGCAAUUUAUGGAGAGCGUAAUUGAAUGAAAAGUCUAAAUUUGAGGAUCAAAUUGUACAAGAUUAAAGUUGAGGAAAAUGAGUGCAAAAAGGAAAAGAAAAAAAAAUAAUGAAACGAUUCAUUUGGAGAGAGAGAUGAUGCCUAGGUGCCAUGUACAAAAACUUGGGAUCAUUUUUAUUGUUUGUUCAAAAUAUAGAGACUUAAAUACAAAUUCUCUAGGUUUUCAAAACUAAAAACUGGCAGCCUCAUUCUAUCUCCUUCUUUCAUUAAUUUUUCCUCUCUUCAUUUUUCUUUACUUUCCUUUUUCUUUCUAUCAUCUUUCUUUUAUUUUUAGUUUUUUUCCUUUUCAAUUUCUUGGUGUUUUUGGAGCAAAUCAUAAAGCACAAAGAAAAUACAUUCAAUUAGGUAAAGAAUUUUUGAGAAAAUCAAGUUCAAGCCUUUAACAUCUUUAAAAAUCCAACAGAAAGGGUUGUAUAUCGAAUCUUGUAUUUUCUUCAUUAUCGUUUUCUAUUUGCAAUGUAUUGUAUAAAAGAUUUUCAUUUUUAUCAUGUAUUUAACAUGGACUAAAUAUUUGUUUUGGGAUUUAUGGUAGUAGCUCAACCUAGUUUGGAUUAAUUUCACUAUUUGCUUUUAAUGUUUACAUACUUAUUUUCAUGUGUUUCUACUAUUAUAUUUCUUGCAUUUUUAUUUAUCUGGCAAUGAGUGAUUAUGUUUAGUGAUUUGUAUACCGUUUGAGAGAAGAUUGUGUAUUUUAAUCAUAAUUGUAAUUAAAGUAUUACGACUGCACAUAUAAUUAAAUAUAAACUAAUUAGCUGUAGACUUUAAAAUUAAGCCCCCAUUUGAACCCCAAUAUUUGAAAUUUUAAUCGUUGAAAUAGUGUUUGUUUAAAAAAAUGUAUAGUUGAAAAAGAAGAAAAAAAAUUGGGAUUACAUGUAAUAUUAGUUCAUUGAUGAAUGUGUGAUUAAUAAGAAGAUAGAUUAAAAUAAAUUAUAAUUUUAAUGGGACCAAAAUGGGCUAAAACUCUUAAUUGGGUUUUAAUUAUGACUCCUAUUUGAAUGUGCAAUUUUCAUUUUAUAAGGAUUUUAACUAUUAUAUCUCUAUAAAUAGAGAUUGGAUGGAAUCUAGUUAUCCUACUCCAUGGUGUUCAAAUUUGGAGAAAGAAAAAAAGAAAGUAAUUAUUUUCUUACUUAUAUUCAUAUGGUCAGCUCAAGAAUUAGUUUCUUGAUUUAAUUAAAAAAUGUGCCACCCACUAGGUGUAGUCUUAAUUGUGGAGAAUACCGUAGAAUAGUUGAAGGUUUGAAACAUCGAGUUCUUGGAAUUAAAAGUUGAAAAUUCAUGAUCUAAAAGUCUGGGAAUUCGUAAUUUAGAAUUUACUCAAAAUUUAACAAUCGAAUUUAGGUAAAAAAAAAAAAAAAAAACCGAUUUCUUUAUUCUUGAUAUAAUAUACAUGUGAACUUUAGACGAUCUCAUUUAUUGAAUUAAAGAAAUUUUUUAAAUUUCCGAUUAAUUCUUCUUUCGCAUUUCAAAAUGAAUAUUUUUUGUAUAAUAUAGGAAGUGUAAUACUUGGUCCCAAUUCUUUGCUUUUAAGGACUCAAUGGCCAUAAUUAUGCUAAUUUGACUUGACCCUAUUAAUUUAAUCAAUAUUUACUCAAUGAAUAAUUAAUCCUUUUAUUUGGUUCCAUUAACGAUUUUUAUCCUGAAAUAGGAGUCAAUUAAAUUAGAAAUUGGUGUAAACUACUUAACUUGGAAUAAACUCACAUAACAUGAAUAUAAAGCGAAGGAUUAUUGGAACAAGUCAAGAUUGUUAGCCAAAUUGUAAGCAUGCAAUAUAAUAAAAAUAUCAUACAAAUUAAUGAAAUUUUAAUGGAACUUAAUGCAUGUUAAAUUUAUAAUUACUAGGAACGUCGAUUGUUUAUGGCGUUUAAGGUGCAUUCCAUUGCAGCAAAUAGUUAGCCAAGACUACAAUGAUUAAAUAAUUCAAUAGUAAAUGUAAUAUAAAUGCAACGAAGCAAGAUAGAUAUGAUAAUAACUAAAAUUAAGAACCUGGCUUUACAAAAUUCUAUCCAUUAAAAUAAAUUUCGUCCUCAAGAUUAAAUUUUAUCAAGUAAAUGUGGGUAUUUGGCAAAAAUUUCCAUAAAAAUCUGUUCAUGAACUUCAAUAUACAACAUGCAAAGCAUAUGCAAAUUAGAAUGAACUUUAAUCAUGGACUUGAAUUAAGUUUAAGACAACCCUUUUUUAAAGAAUAUAACACGUUUUAUCAUUUCAAAUUCACUUUAGUAUAACAUAUUCAAAAUUCAUGUAAGUCCAUAAUAUAAUUAAUAAAAACUCAUAUUCAUAUUUCAACCUAUCGACAUAGCACACAUAAAUCUUAUAUCGAGAUAAAAUCCUAUAAAUAAUAUUUAAGUUCUAGUAGAAAAAUACAUUUGAAAGAAUUUAAUAAUCAUAUGAUUUUAAAAUCAAUUCAAAAUUAAUAAAAUCAACUCAAGAUAACGACUUGUGGUGACAUGGACUUAAUAUUGAGAAACAUAAAUGACAUCAAUAAAUAUCAAUGACUUAUUAGUUUAAAAUAAUUUAAAAUGAAAGGCAUUUCUCAAUAUGUACCCACUUUUAUUUAAUUUCUUUAAAAACUUUAAUGUUGACAUCGUGAGUUCACUUGGAGUAUCACUAACUAAUCAAAAUGCAGUGUGCAAUUAUUAUAUGAAACUCGAUUCGCCCUACCAGCAGUAUCGCAAAGUGGUUAACAAUAACAUUGUCAUUAAACAUUGGUUGGAUGCCUACCCCUCAUUUUCUAUUCACGCUUUUCAUGGCAUGGACAUACAGCUCAUAAUACAAUAUAUUCGAGAUACUUAUCUAUUUGAAAUAGUCAUUGACUCAUUGACAUUUGGAAAUUUUUUAUUUCUUAAAACUUCAUGUAUGCUUAUAAAUGCAUUUGCAUAAAUGAAUAUGUCAUGAGAAGCAUUUAUGACAUUAAAAGUAAUGAUCAAAUUUCAUGUUCACGUAAGGACAAUUUCAAUAACAUAUUUAUACAUUUAAGCAUGACAUACGCAUUAAAAUAAAGAGAUGUUUACUUACAUUGAAUCCUUAGGAAUUUUUUUUUUUUUAAACAAAUGAAGUUGUCCCUAGCUCCCGACAACAAUAUGCCAUGAGUCCUAUAUCAUUGUCAUUUAUUUGGGAACAUGAACAUACUUAUUCUUUCUUUUUUUUCAUCGGUAAAUGUAAAUUUUCAUUGAUCAAAAUUUUUCAUAUACAAGUACACCGUGCAUACCCAAGCAAACAAAAGCUAAUAUCAAAUACAACUACUCUAGGGCAUACCCGAGAGAUACAAAAUAAGUGAACUACUGAACAAGUCAAUGACCCAACACUAAGGACUUGAUAUAGAUCAAGACAUCCAGAUAUAAAGAGAAUAUAACUUUGUAUACGUGUGUCAUGAUUCGUCUCACAAUGCAAUCCAAGUUAGGUGAAAGGUCUUCAAAAAUCUUCCUAUUACGUGUUAACCAAAUGUAGUAGACUGUACUUGCAAGUGCAAUCCUCUUUGCCUUGCUUUGUCAUGAUGUCCCACAAGCCUCUUUUUUCAACCACUUAAGAGCACUAGCAAUUGUUGACAUAGAUCUUUUGAUGUUGAGCCAAUGUCUAAUAUUCCCCCAUAUGGAUGAAGUGAAAGAACAUUCAAAGAAUAGGUGACAUCCCGUUUCCACCAUAUGUCCACAAAAAACACAAUUAAGAUCAAUAUCCAAAAAUUGUAAUUUAUCUUUCCUUAGGGUUUAGAUUGAACCCCUAACCAAAGCAAAAAGGAGUGCUUUGGAGUUAUGCACGGUCUCCAAACAUCGACAGCCCAAAUCUUCUUUGUACCCCUCGGUCUAAAGAAAUCAUAGGCCAUUUUUGUGCUGAAUUAUUCACCUGUCGACCAGCCAUGAAAACUGUCCAGAAAUCCCAGAAAACGGUUGCUGUUUUGACCUGUCGACCAGCCCUGAAAUCUGUCCAAAUUACCUUGAAAUCGGCCCCUGUUUUGAGGAAGACCAGCAUCCUGACUUGAGGUAAAAGCAUCAUUAACAAACAGGUUAUUUCCACCAUCCACCUGAACGAGCAUCACAUGUUGUCCUUGUCCGAGAAACUGGGGGGCAGCAACCAUUUUAAGCCAUAGAUCUCUAAUUUCCAGCAGUUUUUUGAAGAGUGGAGAGUGAUCUUUCUUAGGUAGAACAUCCCAAAUGCAAGUCCCUUUAAGAUAAACAAGGUGAACCCAACGUAUCCAAAGAGUGUCCUUUUUAUGUUGGAUAUUCCAAAGAGAUUUAGCAAGUAGAGCUAAGUUCCAACUCUUCAAGUCUUUCAACCCGAGGCCCCCUUCAUCCUUUGGAAGGCAAAGAUCCUUCCACGCCACCAAAGGCUUCUCGGAUCUCCAAAGAAAUUUCCGGCCUAGGCUAACAAUUCUUAAGAUAAUUGUAGCUGGGAUAGGAAAAAUAGAAAACUAAAAGCAUUCAACUCCUUGGAGCAUCGCUCUAAUAAAUUCCAACUUACCGGCAUAAGAUAAAGAUGAGCAAUUCCAAGCCCUAAUAUAAUCAGCAAUUUUAUCAAGGAAUAGAGCAUAACAACUCACUUUGAGCUUCUCCGAAGCGAGAGGAAUACCCAAGUAACGGAAAGGCAUAGUACCUUUCGGUAUAUUUGUGACUUCCAUGAUAUUAUCAAGCUCAUACCCAUAAAUUUUAGCUGUAUACAAGCUGGAUUUUAAAGUGUUCAUCCUCAAACCCGAUGCAAAACCAAAGUUGGUAAGGCAAUCCAUAAGAAUUUGCACCGACAUAACAUCUCCCCUUGCAAAGAGCAUCAAGUCAUCCGCAAAAGCUAAAUGAGUUAUCUUUAAGGGGCUAGAUUUGGGGUGAUAAUUGAAUUCACUAUCAUUUGUGGAUGCCUUAAUCAUUCUAGAAAAAUAUUCGAGACAAAGCACGAACAAAAAGGGAGAGAACGGAUCACUUUGUCGAAGACCUUUCCCACCCUUGAAGAAGCCAUGCAUACUCCCAUUCAAAGCUUUGGAAUAUGUUGGAGAAGUAAUACAUUCCAAACCCAUUGUAUAAAUCUCAAAGGAAAGUGCAACCCUUCAAGUACUUCUUUAAGAAAAUCCCAAUUUACCAAAUCAUAAGCUUUCCUUAUAUCAAUUUUUUGGAGGCAUCUUGGAGCUACCCUCUUUCUAUUAUAUUGUCUCAUGAGUUCUUGGGCAAGAUGAAUACUUUCCGUCAUACUCCUACCUUCAAUAAGAGCGGCUUGUGGUUGAUCCACAAUGUUUCCCAAGAUAGGCCUUAAUCUAGAAGCAAGGAUUUUAGUGAUCUCUUUAUAGAUGACAUUACAACAAGAUAUGGGCCUAUAAUCCCCAACACUAGGUGCGUGACUUGACUUUGGCCCCAAAGCAAUGAUCGUAUGGUUGAUUUGUUUGAGGAUGGAUCCCGAUGAGAAGAAUUCCAUGAUAGCCUCCACACAAUCAUGUUCAAUAGUUCCCCAUGCCGUUUUAAAAAAACAUGAAGUGUAACCAUUCGACCCGGGAGAUUUAUCAUCUCCCAUCCCAAAUAGAUCUUCUUUGAUCUCAUCACUAGAAAUGUCUCGGAUCAAUGAGUUGCUUUCCUCCAAAGAUACCAAAGGCCCGUUGUUAAUAAUUUCCAUGUCAAUAGGCCAAACCGGCUCUUUUUCCCCUAACAAGUUGGUGUAAAAAUUGACAAAUUCCCGAGCAACUUGGUCAUGUGACGUAGUAUACAUCCCAUCCUCUUUAAUAAUAGUAGUAAUAAAGUUUCUCCUUGUGAUCCUUUUCACCACCGAGUGAAAGAAUUUAGUACACUUAUCACUUUACUUAAGGAAAAUGCACUUAGCUUGUUGAUAAUAAAAGCUACGUUCCGCUUCACAUAAUCCCAUGGCUUUCUUUCUUAAUCUUGCCACCAUAACUUGAUAAUGCUCGUUUGUAGGUUGAUCAUGAAGUAUGAGUUGGGUAGCAUCCAAUUCACUUUUAGCCUCAUUUGCCCGAGUUGAAAUGUGCCCAAAGUGCUUAAUAUUAAGCUCCUUCAAUGCUCCUUUUAAUUUGCGCAACUUCUUACAAAGAAUAAAUUGCUUUGUUCCCACCACAUUAAAAUUCCAGCUCGCUUGAACAAUAUCAUAGAAGUCCUCGUGGUUUGUCCACAUGUUAAAGAAUUUGAAUGAUUUCCUAGUGUUCAUCAUAUGGUCAUGAAUGGAAACAAUGCAUGGAGAAUGAUCGGAAAGGCAUCCGGAAGGCAAAAAAUCAGCAAAGACAUGUGCACCAUUUUGUACCCAAAUGUCAUUCACCAUACCCUAUCGAGUUUGCUCCGCACCGAUUUAUUAGUCCAUGUGUAAAGCCAACCAACAAAGCGCACAUCCGUAAGACCAACAUGAAGGCAACAAUUAGCAAAGUCUUUAAUUUCAUAAGGAGUAACUUCUGCCCCAUUGCUUUUCUCAUCAAAUUUGAGCACAUUGUUAAAAUCACCAAGAAUCAUCCAAGGUAAUGACACAUUUGCAUUGAAAUUCAUAAUGUUGUUCCAAAGCGGUCUCCGGCUAACAAUUGUAUCAAAAGCAUAAACAAAGCUAACAAGGAAAAUAUAAGAUGUUAUCUUGCAAGUAGCAAUACAAUGGAUGGCUUGUGGGUUAGUCUCCAAAACUUCCAACUUGACUUUAGAUUAAUUCCACAAGAUCAAAAUCCUGCCGGCUCUAUGAGUGCAAAAAUUGUUGGCUUGCAUGAAACCAUCAAAUUUAUUCUGCAUAAUUCGGAUCAACUUUCAAUCUCCAAGCUUUGUCUCCAAAAUACCCAUAAAAUCAAUGCAAUGUCGCUUGAUAAAAUCUCGAAUCCCAUUUUGUUUGAGGGGGGAUUCAAGCCCCUAAUAUUUCAAGAUGCAAUCUUCAUGAUUUUGAAGCGAGGGAAGUUCCCUUCUUGUCAAUUUUAGUUCCCAUUUUCCUUUGCUCAUUGACCUUUCCUUUGAGCAUUUCAUUGCUAGACUUAUUAGAAUCUGCCCAUCUAACAUUUGAUGUAGAAUCUGCCCCCAAAUCUUCCCUUUGACAGCCUUCAUCUGCCGACACUUGAGAAGGAGUAAUACGUGCUGAAUUUUUUCCAUUUUUCCUGUUAACUACCUUAACAAAAGGGGAAACUGUCUGGUCAUGAAUCUGCCCUUGCUGGCCAUCUACAACCUGUGAAAAAUUCUGAUUGAGGGACUGCCCCUGCUGGACAUUUAAUUCCCUAUCUUGCUGUCCAUUUUUUCCGGCUGAAUUCUCAUGAGAUUUUGAUGCUGUCUUGUCUGAAGAUAGCUGCAAAUUUGAAUUUGUACACAACUUCCCAGCAUGGACGUUCUUUUCUAGUGCAGCCGGCAUGGAGGCUUUUGAUGUCUCACCAUUUACAAGCUUCCCCUUGUCAGCCAUGGCAUGUUUAUUGUAAUUGCAACCGAGAGUGGAAUGCCCAAACACUUUACAAGAACCGCAAAAUUUUGGUUCAUGCUCAAAUAUAAUUUCUUGCUCCCUCAAAAUGCCAUUAGGAAGCCUUAUCUUUUCCACCCGCACAAGCUCAAUAGAUGCACCAACUUCAAUUAGUGCUCUUGCAUAUGAUAGUCUACCUCUACUUGCCAUGACCUUAUCGGUCGAUAUGGGUUUACCAACUUUGGAGACAAUUUUACUCAAAGCAUUCGUGUUCCAAAACUCCAAUGGCAAUCCCGACAAGUUGAUCCAUACCGGCAUAGUGCUAACAUCCUUAUCAUCAAAAUCAAAGUAACGGGGCAUGACUUUUAACAUUAAUGGUCUUCCAUAUACAAAGUAGGGACCACCAUGCAACACACUUAGUCUUUCCAAGUCCGUCUCAAAUUUGAAGACCAACCACCCGCUCGAGUGCACAAAGUAUUUGUAAUUAACCUUCCACGAAUCACACAAUUGGAGUAAGGCCACUUUCCCCGGAAACCUACUAGCAAAAUACCCAACAAGCUCAUAUCCCCAAGUAUUUUCAAUAUUAUCUUCAUCCGAUUCACCCAAGACAAGUUCAUCCAAAUGAUUUUCGGAAGGUUUUAACUUAAUAUUUUCCUCCAUUUUUCUAUUGUCUUUAAAAAGAUUUACCCAUGGAGCUUUUGUAUCUUUCACACCAUCAACAUUAAUAUUUUUGGGUUCUUCAAUUACACCGAAUGCGAUUCAAAAUCAGAAUUUUCAGAUUCCGUAUCAUUUUCACCAAGUGUUAAUGAUACACUAGGUGAGGGCAGAUUUACCUUAUUAUCCUCCACGAAAUUGGUCUUCGAAUUGGCAACAACACCCCCCUCCAACAUCAGCCUGCUGACCAGCUAGGGGUUUAAGCGGAGCCAACCCACUAUAUUGGCCAGCAACAGAUUUUUUCUUCCCCGUGCAGAACAGAAAACGGGGGCAGCUGGGAAGAUAAACACGUGCAGGACAAAGACCCAACAGGAAGAAGAAAAACAGCCCAAAAAAUUAACCCAAUAGGAGAUAUACCAGCCCAACACGUUCAGGCCUAAUCUGGCGUAAAAAAAUGGGGGAGAAAUGGGCCACCAACAGAAUUCUGGGAAUAAGAAUAAAAGGCCCAAAAGGAGAGAUAAAAUACCCAAAAACCAGCCCAAACGUAGGCCCAAUAAGGGGGGAAGGGCCGGGUCAAAGGUAUAAUAAUGGCCCAAAGAAAUCCAGCUGAAACAGGCCCAAAUAAAGGACUCGACUCACACCGAAACCCAACAGAAAGUCUGCAAAUAAAUGUUUGAAAACUUUCCCAAAGAGGAAAGCCAAGGAUCGCCUGAUUAAACUUACAAUGGCUCAAAAAUAGAUUGCAAUUAAUGAGAAAUCACCCAAAAUGGAAGCCCUUCAGACCGACACCAAAAUAUGCAAUAAAAGAAUCUGAAAAUGGAUGGACCAGUCUGCAAAUCCAGGAACCACAGCUUUGACCAGAACAGUCCAGCAACGGUCAACAAGUUCAGAAUCGAGAGACCACCAAUACAUACAAAAUACAUACAGUCCCAGCACAAGGAAGAAUACCAAGAACACACGCUAGUCCCAGGCAAAUCGAAAAUCAAUCCCAAACUGAAACUGAAGAAGAUAGAACCUGAAGAAGGCUGGACAACCCAAAACGAAGCAACGUCCAAACAAAACCCAGCUGGAAAAUACUGAAAAGCAC